rnacentral:lncRNA from 1 species
UUCUUCCAUAAGAUAUGUAUCAAGUCGUCAAUUUCUGAGCAAUUUUAAGUUUCAGAAUAACGAAGCUCAAUUUUGUUAUGGGUCCUUUACGAAGCAAAAGAACCUUGUAAAGGAUCAACAAGAACUUCAUUCUAGCUGAUUCUAGGUUUCCCUCAUAUUCUUGCCAUAGCGUCUCAUCAAAUCUCAGUUGGGGUAGUUUGACCCAUUUAUACCUCCAUUGUUUUGAAUACUUGUCUUUGCAGCAUCAUGUAAAGUCAAAUGCAUUAGAAUGCUAUCAGCUACAUUGUCAGUAAGGUUGCUUAUCCUAUCAACAGGUUGGAACUGGGUAAUAUCCAUUCUGCAGUGUUAUUGAAACGACAACCCUUUAAUGACACCUCACAAGUAAUAAAUAUAUAAAAAUUACCUUAGAAGUAAUAAGCAUGCACACAGUAGAUAUUAAAGAUCCAACAUGAAGGUUCCCCAUUUUCUUGCAUUAUUUUAAUAAUCCUACGCAAAAGUUUUAUCAUUUGUAUUUUCCUUAUUUUAUAUCCCAAAAUUUGAAAAAUUGGGGAUUAUAGUUUCUCAAGCAUGGAGACACUUGCCCUCAUGCGUUAGAAAUUAAAAAAUUAAAAAAUAUUGGACAACAUGUGGUGUGUUGAACACAUCUGCCUCAAGUCUCGGAAAUUUAAAAAUGAUAUAUAAAAGAAUAUACGCCAAGUGACAUAUUGGUAGUAGAAUGAGUGUCAUCCUUCAUAGCUGGUUAAAUUACCGAAACAUUCAUAUGUUACCCACCAGGAAAAUAGAGACAGGUUUCACAAUUGAAAUUUACAUUUGUACAUGCCCUCGACAAAGUGGUUGUUAAGGGAUAUAAACCCACAUCGAAUAAAGAUAAAAAUAUAGAUCAACUUAUAAGAUUUUGCGCUACUCCUGUUUAUAAGGUUGACCUUUUAAGAUGGAAUUCCCAAUCUUAACAUAUCGAAGACAUUAAGCUCUAUCAAACAAUUCGAUCCGAUUAAGAAUAAAAAAAAAAUGAGCAUACGGAUACCAAGAUUGGUUUGCUCAAAAGAGCCACAAUCUUGCGGUGGGCUUGUUAAGGAAUAUAAUCUCAUAUCGAAUAAAGAUGUAAACUUGGACUAAUUUAUAAGUUUUGGACUACUUCUCUUAACAAAGUUAACAUUUCAAGAUGGACCCAAGUCUUAAAAUGGUAUGUUAAGGGAUAUAAUCCUACAUCAAAUAAAGAUGGGAACAUAGACCAACUUAUAAGGCUCUGGACUACUCCUCUUAACAAGAUUGACCUUUUAAGAUGGACAUAAAUCUUAACAUGGUAUUAAAGCUCAUUAAGCUCCAACGAGCGAUUCGAUCCGAUUAAAACUAAAAAAUGAGUACACGAAUUUCAUGAUUGGUUUACUCAAACGAGCUAUCAUUUUGCGGGGGGUAUGUUAAGAAAUAUAAUCACAUAUAAAAUAAAGAUGAAAAUAUAGACCAACUUAUAAGGUCUUGGAUCACUCCUCUUAACAAGGUUGACCUUUUAAGAAGAAACCCAAAAUCUAAACAGUGGCAACAAAAUAUUCAUGUAGUCAAUCCCAAAUUUAUUGGGAUUAAAGUUUAGUUUGUAGUCAUAGAUGCAAAUCUAACAUAAAAAUGUGUACUGCUCUUCACAUAGUAUGCUUGAUGAUGCAGUAGUGCCUACCUGUUAUAAUUCGAUGGUUAAACUAGUUGUGAAUCCUGAUGACAGAAAGUGUGCUAGGAUAAUAGUUUGUAGAGUGUUCUAAAAAAAAAUUCUCUCUUGUAUAUGACCUAGGCGCCACUUUAUAGGUAGAGACUACUUAUGCAGAUGGUGUGUUUCUUCAUUUUAAUAAACCCGUUGCUCGAGUUUUCUCGAAAUUGAGUCUACCGUAAAAUAGGUGAUCGAAUGGAUUGACUCAGUCAGAGAAUUGAUUUAGAUAAGGAAAGAGUCUGGUCGAAUAUCUAUGUCCAGUCUGACCAUAAGUUAAGAAACAAAAAAGAAAAUCAAAAUACCGUCUAUAGCUACAAUGUAACUGCUCAGAAAAAUCUAUUGUUUGAAAAUUAGAAAAGCAAAAUAUCAAGGAAAGUUAAACUUAACAAACUGACUAAUUGCUAAACUAAUUCUAUUUACAGUAGCCUACAGAGUUGAGGGUCAUUUUUAGGAUUUUUCUUCCAUCCUCAUCAUCACCAAAGAAGUCAAUCUUUAUAUAAUGUAUGUAUCAAUAGACUAUGCAUUUUCCAUUCAACCCCACCCCAUUAAAAGAAAGAAGGCAUCUUCUGGUAGUAUACACUACUUCUGAAUCCUCUUUUAUCCUGUCAUAAUACUAAAGAUUUCACUCAUAAAUAAAACACUACACAUUUCUACAAAUAUUUCAUAUAAAAAGUUAAUGGGAGGGACCGUACAAAAACUGUUUCAAUUUAAGAAAAUAGAAUCGUACCUGUAAUGGAGAGAGUGAUGGCACCGCGGCGGAGAGGGUUUUGGGUUGCAAUCUCAAAGGAAAUUAACGCGCAAAGGGGAGCUGAACCUUCAAUGGUGGAUUAAAACACUUGGGUCUAACUUAAAAGUUGCUGACAUUUUUUGCUAACUGCUAAACUUGAUUAAAAUUUUGGGAUGUACUCAGAUUGAGAUCGUAAUGAAUUUUAAAAGUCAUUCUAAAUUUAGAUCCUUGUUUGAGCCCUAUUUUUGCCAAGAAAAUACAUUUUUAAAUAGUAUAAUGAUGUGAAAUGUAUGGUUAAAAAAUAAGGAAAAGUUUUAGAUUUUCGUGUAAUAUUAUUUUAUUGAAGAAUGUGUGGUUGAAAUGAUGUCAAAAUAUAGUUUAAGAAUGUAUUUUGUCAAAAAAAUGGGGCUCAAACAAGGGCUAGGUAUCUUCAAUUGAGAUUUUAUUGGAUUUUAAUUAAAUUCAUUAAAAUUUAGGUGUCCCCAAUUGAAAUUUUAAUGAAAUUCUUAAAAAUUUAGAUAUCCUCAAUAAUUAGUGGAUUUAUAAAGAUUUCAUUGAUAGAAGGAUUUUAGAAGAUUUGGAUGGAUUUCAAGCUUAAAAAUACAUAUAAGUAAAUCUUUUGAAAUUUCACCAUAUUUAAUUAGAUUUUUUUUUUUUUGAAAUUUGUAAGAAUCUAUUUAAAUCCACCAAAGUCAUUAGAAUUUAUAAUCAUUUAAAAUUCAUUAAAAUCUUAGUUGAGAACACCUCCGUUAAUUUUAAAUUUUAAAUAACUUCAUUUUGAAAUAUAACUAAAGACCUUGUUUAGUAGGGAUUAAAAUCAGUUUUUUAGUAAAUUUUGAUAAAAGUCAUUGAAAUGUAGCUAAAAAGUUGUAGAUCCCUUAAAAUGUUUGAUUAAAAAUAGUUAUUCACUUUGACUCAAAUAAAAAUCUAAAUUUUAAUUUGUAUCAAACAAGUUUUUAAAUAAUUAAUUACUUUUUUCUUAAUUAAAAGCAUUUAGCCCCUGGUUGGUGGGUAUUAAAAUCGAAUUUUGAGUAGGUUUUAAUAAAAGUUAACGAAAUGUAUGGUUCAAAAGUUGUGGGUCCCUUAAAAUUAAUUUUUGGUUAAAAUUAGUUAUUAACUUUGAUUUGUAUUAAAAUCUGAAUUUAUGUAUAAAAUAGGGGCUCAGUAUAAAAGUAACUUUUAUUUUACUAUAAACACAACAUGUUUGCUAGUGAGAAUGAAAAGAAAAAAGAAUAACAUACUUGGCUGAGUUUAAAAAAAACAUAAAAGUAUCUAAGAUUUACAAAACACGUCAUCUUAUCAACGUUUUAAAAUCGGACUGACCCCAAUCCGUUCAACCGCAAGAAUCGAGAAUCGAGUCCAAAACCAAAACCGAUCCAGUUAGGCUUAUAAAACCUCUAAUUAAAAAUCCAUCCCAAAACUAGUUAAACCGCAAAAAUCACUAGUUCGAUUCUGAUUCAACCUUUUGAUGCUUGACUCUCUUUUUCAAGUAAUAAGUCGGGUCGAUUCUUAAAACAUUGCAUAUUACUGAUUUGAUAUCUUUAUUAUUCAUUUUAUUUUGAUUUUCAAAUUCGCUAUAGACUUGUAUGAAAAUAGGAUUUACUUUAUUGAACUCCUCGACAAAAUCAUACCAAAUGGGGGUUGAAACAUAGCUUCUUUUGAUUAUUCGUAAGCGCCAAUUAGCUAAAAAAUUACAUUAAUAAUUUCUACUCUUGCCCUAGCUCGUCCAAAAGCUAGAUUCAUAUCUAUAUUAGUAAAAAAUAUAUUUUAAAACUAUAAAUAAAUAAUUUUUAUUAAUCAUUUUUUUCUAAUUCACUGUAGACUUGUAUGAAAAUAGGAUUUACUUUAUUGAACUCCUCGACGAAAUCAUACCAAAUGGGGGCAGAAACGUAGCUUCUUUUGAUUAUUCGUAAGCACCAGCUAGUUAAAAAAUCACAUUAAUAUUCUCUACUCUUGUCCUAGCUCGUUCAAAAGCUAGAUUCAAAUCUAUAUUAGUAAAAAAAAUAUUUUAAAACAAUAACUAAAUAAUUUUUUUUUAUUAGUUUUAUAAAUAAAUUAUGUUAUUUAUUUGAACAAUAAAAUGAGAAUUACUUUAGAUCAAGUAAAUGAUUUUAGGACAUGUUUAAAAAUAAAAAAUGACUACAAAAUAAUUAUACAUGUGAAUAUCACACUUAUUUUUUGCAUAGUUAACAAGCUUUUGUUGAUUAUUAUAUUCAAUUCUCUAUUUUUUUAGAGUGAAUUAUUCGAUUCUAUUCUCAGUUGAUUUGUGCAAUAUUUUCGUGUUAUUGGGCAAACAUUUGAAUUUUGACAAAUUUAUGAUAUAGAGUGAAAGAGGCAAAAAGAGGACUAGCUUUUGAUGGUUUAAGUUUCACUGUGACAUUUUGAUAUUGAAAUUGAAUAUAAAUUGAGUCUUUUUUUUUUUUUUUUUUUUUAAAGGGGGGAAGGGGGGGUUCCCAAGUAUGCAAAAUUAUGGUUAAAUUCCUGGAAAUUAAAUUCCCACACAUAGCUCUGCUCCCUUAAUCUUGAAUGAAAAUUUGGAAGUCUGGGGACACUUAAUUUUGUGGAAAUUUUGAUGAGAAAAUCGGACGGGAGCAAGACAAACAACCUUGGGCUCCCAUUAAAUUUUCAUUAUUUGAGAGAGAUAGAGAGAGAGAGAGAGAGAGAGUUAUUAUUAUUAUUUUUUCUCUUUGUUAGUUUAAUCCAAUAAAAAAUUUGUUCCCUUACACUACCCCUUAUUAUAUUCAUAUUUUUAUCAACUUGUGAAUGGUUUGUGAGCUUGGAAUAAAAAUAAGAUAAUUUGUCAAUUGUUGUAUUAAAAAUCAUAAAUCCAGUAGAUGGUAAAAAUAUGCUUUUAAAAUUUGUGUGGGUCUUGUAAUUGAAUUUCUUUGGGUCCUAACGCACUUUAAAUUGUUGAAACUUAUCAAGUGAUGUGGUCGUUUCACACAUUAAAGUAGGUUUAAUUUUUCUUGAAAGAGAGAUCAUCAAGUAAAUUUGAGAAAUUUGACUGUCAGCAUAUGUGAAAUUUGUCAAAGUGUAAUAGUUAAUGUUAAAAAAAUGUUUGAAUCGGUAGAUUAUGAGGAUAGCCAAUCUAAUUGGGAAGUCUCGGCUCACUCAUUACUAUCGCUAACAUCCUUACGCAAAAAUAGAACUGUAAAAUUAUAAAGUAAAUAACUUUUUUAUUUUACGAGAAUUAUUAAGAAAAUAAGUUAUUAAUUUUAACAAUAAAUUAGCACAUGUUUAAAAGAAAAACAAAUAUAAGGUUACGGAUUUGAAAAUAUAUUUUUUAAAUUGAAAAUUUAAUCCACAACAAAAUCAUAGAAACACUACGUGUAAAUGAUCAAGAUGUCCAUUAACAUGCUCCUUUUAUGGUGAAUUUCAAUGUGUAUAUUGUGAGUAUGUCUAGACAUAAGAUACCUUAGCUAAAAAGUUGAUAAAAAUUUAAGUUUGAAAAGUCAACAAUUAACUUUAAUCACACAUUUCUUAGGAUCUUCAAUUUUUAUCAACUUUUCUAUCACACAUUUAUCGACUUUAUUAAAAUUUACUAAAAAUAUAAUUUUUAGCUAAAUCAAAUGGGGGCUAAUUCGUAUGUAGUAACAUGCAAUCCAAUGCGAACACUAGAAGUCAAUCUAUGAAUUUUCGAAGCUAUUAUACCUUUGAUUUUACCCCAAUACAAGGAAUCCACAUAAAAUCUUAAACUCAACCAAACAGGAGCUAAUUUGUAUCCAAUAGCAUGCAAUCCAACGCAAACAUUAGAAGUCACUAUAUGAAAUUUAAGAACUAUAUACCUUUAAUUUUACCCAAUACCAGAAGUAAAGCAUUCGUCCACGGCUAGCAACAAUUAAGCCCUUGUUUGAGCCACAUUUUGGGGGGAAAUCUAUUUUGGAAUAGUUUAUUUUUAGAGAAUGUGUGAUUAAAAAAUAAAAAAUAAAAGUUUUCGAUUUACGUGUAAAAUUAUUUUAUUGAAUAAUGUGUGUUUGAAAAUAAAUUUUGAAAAAAAAAUGAGUUUUUGAUAAAAUGGGGCUCAAACAAGGACUAUGUGCUUCACCAUUGCAUUGUGUCUACUUGCUUUUAUAUUGAUCUAUCCAACGAAGUAAGGCAUUAGCUCAAGAAGACUUUUCUUAGCCCCCGUUUGUUUUUCAUUUUUGGAAGAAUGAGAAUGAAAACUAUAGGCGUUAUGGGUUCCACACAAGAGAUAGAAAUUCAAAUUCGAUGGCUUGAUGUGAUGGAUAACGAUCGUAUUUUUCAUUUUAAUGAUGAAAAAAUGGAAACCAAACAGGGGCUUUAGACAGUUUGAAAUCUGAGAUAUAGCUCGCAUAAUAUUAUGCGCCAUUCAGAUAAAAGAGAGAGGGGAGGGGGAUUUUCUAGUCCCAAGAAGCCCACGUCAUAAGAUUUCAAGAACUCUUGACCUCCUUGAGCUAGUAGCUGAGCCAAUAUUAAGCUAAACUACUAAAGUUCAUUUUCAUCCAAAGCUUUAAAAAUGACAUUUGCAUUUGGUGAAGGACUAAUCGAACAAUUCCAGUGUAAUUAGUAUCAAUGAUGACAUCAAGCAAUUCCAGUGUAAUCAGCCUAUUAAAACCUUUGAAGCUUGGUGGAGGACUAAUCAAACAAGAAGAAAGUUUCAAAUGUUUCAAUAGUGAACACAUAAACAGUGAAGAAGGCAAUUUGCACCUUCAUUUUCAAAAUGAAUUCUUUAACACCUUUCUUCCAUAAGAUAUAUAUCAAGUGUUCAAUUUCAGAACCACCUCUGAGUUUUGGAAUGUAGAGAAUGAAGUCAGCAAAACUGAAUUCAAGGCUGAAGAUCAGAACCAAAAUUACAGCAACAGAUUUGGUGAAAUUAUAGCAGCAAAUCAGGAGCCUAAUCACAGCGGCAAAUUUGAUGAAAUACCAGCAGAUCAGGAGCUUAAUCACAGCAGUAGAUUUGAUGCAAUCUCAACAAAUCAGGAACGUAACAGAUGAGGAAGAUUCGAUCCUGCCAUUAUGUUAAAAUUGUAUAACUGUAAAGAUUGGUUGUAAAAUUUCUUUAUAAAUAUACUGCUGUACAUAUACAAUUGAAUUCAAUAAAAACAGAGGAAUUAAUUCCUUUACAUGGUAUCAGUAUAGCCAUCAACAGACCAACGUCUAAAUGUCUUCCUCCAAUUCUUAAACCCAAUCUCCCUCUGUUAUCUCCAUGCCUAAUAUUUCUACUAUCAAACUAACCCAGGAUAAUUACCUUCUUUGGAAGGCCCAGAUGGUAUCAUAUUUCAAAGGUUAGGACCUCUUUGGUUACCUCGACGGAACCACACCAAAACCACCGAACUCAGUUUCUGCAUCCCACCCUGAAACCAAUGUUGUUUCUGAAACACUCAAUCCGGCUUACUCUCAAUGGGUCAAGUAUGACAACCUCAUUCUUAGCACUCUCAUAUCUUCUCUUACCGAAUGAGUGCUUGCUUAGGUUGUUAAUUAUACCUCUUCCCAUGAUGUCUGGUCUGCCUUAAAUGAAACCUUUUCCUCAAAAUCUCGUGCACGCAUUGUUCAAAUUCCCACACAACUGGCCACUGCUACUAAAGGUAGUAAAUCUGCCACUGAAUACUUUCACUUCACCUUGAGGCUGGGGGACGAACUAGCAAUUGCAGGCCAGCUAAUGACACGAGAUGAUAUUAUCGCAUAUAUUCUUGCAGGUCUUGGCCAUGUAUGACAGUUUUGUGGCCUACAUUUUCGCUCGCACUAAUAGUGUGACACUUGAAGAAAUUUAUUUUCUUUUAAUAACCACAAAAGCUCGUCUUUCUCGACACCAACUCACUCCAGCAAUUCAACAAAUUCUGCCAACUUUGCUCAAUGCCAAUCACAACCAUUUGCAAGAAAUGGCCAUGGUGGCCCUCGAGGAAGAGGACGAAUCCAUCGUGGUGGCUUUAACUCUUUCAAUCGAAACAAUGAUCAUUCAUCUAUUAUCUGUCAGCUCUGUGGUAAGUCUGGACACUCAGCUCGUAAAUGUUAUCAUAAAUUUGACCUUUUUUAUCAGGAUGCUCCAAAAGACACACCCAAGCAAGCUAUGGUUGCCGUGAAUAAUGGCAAUCCUAAAAAUUGGGAGACUGAGUGGCAUGUGGAUACGGUGCAACCCAUCACCUUACAAAUGAUGCUUCCAAUCUAGACCAAUAGAACAAUGCAUAUAAUGGUUUAAAUACCGUUCAAGUGGGAAAUGGUAAAGGUUUGCACAUCUCUAAAACUGGCUCUUCUAAAUUCAAAACCCCCUCAUCCACCUUUGUUCUUAACCAAGUCCUUUUAGUUCUUGAGAUUCAAAAGAAUUUGAUAUAUGUUCAGCAAUUUUGUAAUGACAAUAACGUUUAUUUUGAAUUUCAUGCUCACUUCUUUCUUGUGAAGUAUUACUUGGGGAAGGUCCUUCACCAAGGAUAUCUCAAUGAUGGCCUCUACAGUUUCACAAACAAAACAAGUCUACCUCAAGCACACUCCAGUAUUCGAGUUUCAUUUCAUAAUUGGCAUCGUAGGCUUGGUCAUGCUCUAAUCCCAUAGUCCACAAAGUUCUCUCCACUUUCAACGUUCCAGUAGAGAAAAAUAAAUUGCACAUUGUGUGCCCUGAUUGUCAAAUGGCUAAAAGCCAUAAUUUGCCCUUUAAAUUAUCUAUGUUUGUUUCUUCAAAACCCUUGGAUUUAAUUUUUACUAAUGUAUGGGGACCUGCUUCUAUUGCUUCCACUAUUGGUGCAAAAUAUUAUGUGAGUUUUCUGGAUGAUUAUUCCAAAUUUAUUUGGUUAUUUUCUCUUAAACUCAAAUUUGAUGUGGAACAAGUUUUUCUUAAUUUCCAACAAUAUGUGGAGAAACAUUUUGAAAGAAAAUAAAAGCCAUCCAAUCCGAUUGGGGUGACGAAUAUAGGCGGUUAAACACAUAUUUUAAAAACACAGGCAUCAACCAUCAUCUAGCUUGUCCACAUACACAUCAACAAAACGGGUCUAUUGAAAGAAAACAUCGACACAUUGUCGAAGUUGGUUUGAGCAUGUUGGCACAUUCAAAUCUCCCAAUGAUCUAUUUCGAAGAUGCCUUUCAAACUGCAACUUAUGUGAUUAACAGACUUCCAACGAAUGUUUUAGACCAAAAAUCACCAUUUGAGAUGAUAUACAACCGUGUUCCUGAUUACAAAUUUAUGCGUGUGUUCGGGUGUGCAUGUUGGCCUAACUUGAGGCCUUACAAUCAACAUAAACUCAAUUUUCAUUCAAAAACAUGCAUUUUCAUUGGCUAUAGUCUUUGCCAUCAAGUGUACAAGUGUCUUGAUCUCUCUACUGGUAAGAUCUAUGUCUCAAGAUAUGUCAUUUUCGAUGAAAACCUUUUCCCCUACACUUUCAAAAAUAAACUUCAAAAUCCCAGUCAUCAUGUUUCGAACACUAUCCUUCUUCCCUUGCAAAUUAAUUCUUCCCCAUCCAUAAGUUUCAGAGAUUUGCCUCCCAAUCCGAUUCCCACAAGAAUUGAAUCUGCCCCAUUAUAUUCUACUUCUGCAGGAAUAGAUUUUGGAACCUCUUCGCACCCAGCAACCAAUGCACUUUGACUUUUCUGAUGCAUUACAAGAAGAUGAACAGCCGCUCCUACAAAUACUCAUCCCAUGCUCACCAGAUCAAAGAAUAAUAUCCAUAAGCCUCAGCAACUAAUUGAUGGCUGCACUCGGUAUCCUUUAUCGAGAGCUUUGAUAGCAGAAACAAUAACUCUGGCAAAGGAGCCAACUUCAUAUACUGAGGCCUCCAAAUCAUCUCAUUGGCGAGAUGCUAUGAAUAAAGAAUUUACUGCAUUGCUACAAAAUGGCACUUGGUCUUUGGCAUCACCUUCAACUAACACCAAUGUUGUGGGCUGUCGUUGGGUGUUUAAAAUUAAAAAGAAGGCAGAUGGAACCAUUGAACGUUAUAAAGCACGACUAGUCACUAAAGGAUUUCACCAACAAGAAGGUGUCGAUUUUUAUGAAACUUUCAGUCCAGUCAUCAAACACACAACUCUUCGGCUAGUGCUUUCUCUUUCCAUUUCUUAUAACUGGCCUAUAAAGCAAUUGGAUGUACAAAAUGCAUUUUUGCAUGGUGAGUUACAGGAGAACGUGUUCAUGUCACAACCCCAAGGCUAUAUUCAUCCACAAUAACCAAAUCAUGUGUGUAAAUCACACAAGUCGCUCUAUGGAUUGCGGCAAGCCCCAAGAGCAUGGUUCUCAAAGCUCUCUGACAAACUCAAAUCUUUGGGCUUUCAAGAAAGUAAAGCUGAUACUUCUCUUUUUAUUUUUCGAAAAUUAGCUAUUAUUACUUACAUACUCGUAUAUGUGGAUGAUAUUUUGAUAACGGGGUCAAAUUUAGAUGCAAUCACUUACGUGAUUAAAUGCUUGAAAAAUACUUUUGCUGUCAAAGACUUGGAUGCACUAAAUUUCUUUCUUGGUGUCGAGGCACUUCGGUGUUCAGAUGGAAUUUACCUCACUCAACGCAAGUAUAUUGUUGAUUUACUCAAAAGGAGCAACAUGGACAAAGCAAAACCUUGCACGAGUCCAAUGGCCCCUAAUUGUCAUCUGACUUCCACCGAUAGACAUCCUUUUGAAGAUAUAAGUCUCUACCGAAGCAUCGUAGGAAGCAUACAAUAUCUAUCAUUCACAAGGCCUGACUUAGCCUUCACAGUACAUAAAGUCAACAAAUUUAUGCAUCGACCUCUUAAUACACAUUGGAUGGCAGUCAAGCGCACAUUGUGCUAUCUUAAACACUCGGUAUCCACUGGUCUCUACAUCACCAAAGCUCCUGAUAUGAGGUUGCAAGCUUACUUAAAUUCUGAUUGGGCUGCUGAUAGAGAUGAUCGACGCUCGGUUGGUGCUUUCUGUGUCUAUAUUGGCCCCAAUUUAAUAUCUUGGAGCUGUAAGCAGCAGCCCACAGUUGCAAGAAGCAGUAUCGAGGCUGAAUACAAGACACUAGCAAACACAGCAUUCGAGCUCACUUGGAUAAAAUCUCUUCUCUUUGAACUUGGUCUUUCUCAAACACAGCCACCAGUUCUUUGGUGUGAUAAUAUUGGAGCCACUUACCUCACCUCAAAUUCGGACUUUCAUGCAAGAACGAAGCACAUAGAAAUUUAUUUUCACUUCGUACGAGAUCAAGUUUUCAAUAACCAAUUGACGGUUCAAUUUAUUUCAAGCCGAGAUCAGUUGGCAGAUGUGCUUACAAAGUCGUUACCUCCAUUAAAGUUCAAGUAUGUACUAGACAAUCUCCAUGUCCGUGAACUACCCUCCAGAUUGAGGGGGCAUGUAGAGAAUGAAGUCAGCAAAACUGAAUUCAAGGCUGAAGAUCAGAACUGAAAUUACAGCAACAUAUUUGGUGAAAUUAUAGUAGCAAAUCAGGAGCCUAAUCACGGCAGCAAAUUUGAUGAAACACCAGCAGAUCAGGAGCUUAAUCACAGCAGUAGAUUUGAUGCAAUCUCAACAAAUCAGGAACGUAACAAAUGAGGAAGAUUCGAUCCUGCCAUUAUGUUAAAAUUGUAUAGCUGCAAAGAUUGAUUUUAAAAUUUCUUUAUAUAUAUACUGCUAAACAUAUACAAUUGAAUUCAAUAAAAAUGGAGGAAUUAAUUCCUUUACAUGGAAUAAUGAGGCUCGACUUUCAUAAGAUACUGAGAUGACCUUUCAGCAUUUAAUAUCUUGUAACUAAAAGUUUUAUUGUCUGUCAAAGAAUAACAGUGAUGUUUAUCAUCACUUGGUUUUUUGCAAAGUGGCACUAUUAUAUUAUUUGUUGCAGUAAUGGCUGUAGAUUUGUUAGGGUGAGAAGGGAGGAAAAUCAUGAAUUGAAGGCAAAAUUAAUUUUUUCCCCUACUGUUUUCUCUUUCUUUGUAAUACUAUAACGCAAGGAGUGACAUUGCAGAUAGAUAUCUACAAAAGAUGGCUGCACAAGAAGGCUCGCCUAUUAAUUUUUCUAUGAGCUCGUACGCAUUAAGAUGCCGAUACCUGCUAUUUUCAUCAAUUUCCUACAAAGAUUACGGAAGCUCCUUUGAAUUUUCUGUGUUAGAAUCUAUGUGUUGGUAAUAAUUCAUUUGUUUUCUUUUAUUCCAAUUUGAAGGCGUGAUUAUCUGAAUAGAUUGUGUCCGGGCAACUCUAAUGAGAACUUCAGAUCUAAAGUUCCUACAAGAAUGUAUCUCGCUACUGGUGAUGAAUACUGUUUGUACACUAAUGAGGCACAUUUUCAAUCAAAAGAUGUCUUUUGAAUUGUUUCAGAUGCACUAGAAAAUUCGAUUUGUUGUUCUUCAUCUUGUUUCUAGAAAUUUCCGUGCUACAUUUUUGAAUGUUUCGUUGAUUGGUAUAUUUACAAGCAUUCCAAAGUAAACCUGUUUGUGAAUGUAUGGAUGAGAAGACAGUUGGAAAGUUCUCUGGGUACUUGAGUUGACUUUAUAUUCAGUUUCUCAUGAAUAGUGUUUUCACAUGUCUAUCUUUUGCUCUCAACAGAUUAUUGACAUUUAGAUUCAUAAUUUGGCACUGAUAAUAUCACUAGAUGGUAGUUUUGUAGCUUGUAUGGUAGUAUUUCUCAUCGUUCAUGGACAUUUUCAUUUAAUUGCUUCACAUCAUUUCUUGAGAACCGAAUAGGUUAGAUGAGUCAUGGUGUUGGUACAGUUGUUUGGUUUUACACGAACGGCUGGAUGGUUCAAGACAUCGUGUUCACCAACUAGCCUAGUAAAUCCGAUUGUAUUCAACUAAAGAAGGUUCAAGGCCACAAGCUACCUAUCUUGAUGCUACGACUUGUCGUGUGUACUCCGUUUGUUAGAGUCUGCAUUUCAUUUUCAUUGCAUUCGCUUUGUGUUGCGCAUAUCGAGGAAUUUCCAUUCAUGUGGGGGAUUGUUGGAUAUUGGUUAAAUAAAUUGAGAAUUGAAAAUCGAUUAAAGUUCGUAUCGAAUUCGGCCAAAUACUCAAAAGCUCGACUCAAUCCGUUUAGGCAAAAUUGUUUGCCACUUCGCCGCUUCGGGGCGCACAAACGGGGAUCGACCUGCCCGGUCAGGUCGCGAGGGUCGAGGGGGCAGCGCCCCUCGUGGGGGGUCGGGGGCAACGCCCCCGAAAGAGAAUUUUGAUUUCUCUGCAUGUAUUGAAGGGUAUAUUUGGCAUUUCGAAAACCAAUAUCGGAUGAAUGAGAAAUUACGAAAAAGACCUCAACCAUUAGUGAAUAGACACCUUUUCAUAAAGGUGCAUUGUUUGGAAAUGGUGCAUGGUUUGGUCUCAACCAUUUCGUCCACACCCCUUCAUGGUCUAUAAAUAGGACCCUUUGGGUGUCCUAUUCCUCACAGUUUGAUAUGCAAAAACGUCUCUCAUCCUUUCUUCUAUCCAAAAUCAAAAUCAUUUCAUUUAUUUUGAUUUUCUUUCAUUUCAUCUGUGGAGUACAUAAGCCUACAUUGGGUUCGUUGUACUUGUGUUUUGGAGUGCUACAAACACAAGUGUAGCCGUUGUAUCUUGGGAGUCGAUUGGCGAAAUCCGUAGGCACCGUUGCGGGGCAAAUUCGACUUAAGGACAAAGAGUCCAACUCUUGCCUCGGCUUUGUCACCAUCAUUAUACUUAUUUCGGCGUCACUUUUCACAAAAUUCUUCCAACAGAACUUGUAUCCUCGUGAAUUCAAUUUUUCUUUUCAUCAUUUGCUACUGCCAUAACAGUGACUAAUAUGGAUAAUUGUUAACGUGCCUUUGCUUUUCCUUAGGAAAACAUUGCAUGAUACUUGCAAUUGUCUUUACACCUGUAUAUGACUUAAAAAAUCUUCAUUUUGUAUGUGAUGUCUCAGGUUUUUGGAGACUUUGCCAUUGAAAAACGGUGCAAAACUUGGCGUCUUGAGGUCUGUUCCUACUCACUUUGAUCUCAAAGCUGUAUUCUAUCCUUCUGGUCUACAUGUAUAACAUGGAUUAAACAGCAAUUUCAGAUUGCGCGAUUGAUGUAUGAAGUUGAUGGAACAGGGUUCUCCAAAUCAUGGAUUUGACGCUCUAAAAGCACCUAGCUCUAGAUGAGUCUGUUGAAGAAGUUUUGGAAGUCCUGCAGGAAUAUGCUCGAUUAGUCCAAGGACUGUGGGUUCCAAAGAGUUCGCUGGGACAUGGAACAGAUUCAGGAAUUGAAGUUUUAGCCAGGGACUAUGUUCUUCUAUUGUUUAGAAAGAAUCCACUAGGUUAACGACUGACAAAGACCUCAACGUCCUCAACUUCCUAAAGCAAUGAAAGAUGUCCUAAAUGUAUUGGCGUUGAGAGACCCACCCUCCUUCAGUGAUUGGCAACUCAGAGAUCUUCUUGAUCGAAGAUUCAUAAAACUCGAUCCUAUUGUUGCAAAGAAAUAAGAAGAAGAAUGGGAAUCCUUGGAAAAGAAGAUAAAUGAUCUUCUGUUUGGAGGAAGAAACGGACCUGGUACAAAGACUUCUUCAAAGUCUAAUGUCAUGAACAAUCCGGUCACGUCAAUGAGUUCCAGUAAAUUAGCUCUCAAAACUCCAAAUGAGGCAUCCUUGAGGACGCCAAUGCCAAAAGAGACUCGAGAAGCUUUAAUGAAGGCCCUUCAGAAACUUUUAAAAGGCAUCAAGGUUUGCAGGUGAGAUCACUUUAUUACAUCAAGCCUUUAGUUUCAAAUAGUAGUUAUAUGUGGUCAUAUUUUUUAUUGAAGAUAGUUAUCGUCACUGCAUUAAAAGUAUUCUAAAUCACUAGGUCACAGUUAUAUUGCAUUUUAUUUGAUUAGUAUUUGACAAUUUUCUUUGCAUGCAAUAAGUGUUGCUGUGACCUUGACAUUCAUGGCCUGGCUCAUUAAAAAAAUUGAGACACAGUAUAGUAAGUAGAAGAGAUGAGGAAGACGAGUGGUCUUGUGAAUUAGUUCUCUGCUUGCACUUAGGACACUAGUAUGAUUACAUUUUUGCAUUAACUGGGCUGGAGCAAUUGACACUGUUUAACAAAAUGCCAAUGGACCAUAUUUAAACAUUUUUUGCUAUUAUUACUUUUGUAUUACUUAUAUUCUCAAUGCAAACGCAAAGAAACUAGUUUGAAUUUUCUUAUUUAAUCAAAAUUUAAUUAAGCUAAUGUGCCCUUUAAUCUAGGAAACAUAACUUCACGCUUAGAGUGUUAUGGUUAUCCCGUGGCAGUUUAGUUUGAUUGUCAAUAGAUAAAAUUUUACUUGGCGCUGUGUAUGCCAGUUUUCAACAAAUUUGCCAGCGUUUGAGGGACUUGGCAGAUUCUGAGUCCGCCCGUUCGAGGGGAUUUGCCAAAGAGACAGUUGCUGCAGCAAACAGCAUUUGUGCUUUUGCUGAUGAGCUUCAGGCAAUCAUUAGUCGAUUUGCAUUUAAUAUUCAUGGUGUCUAUGUUCCAAAAUUACUCCAGAUCAUCCACAAUAUGAUCCAUUCAGGUUACACCUGCCUUCAUUUAUUUUGGUUCUAGAACAUUGAUAUUUUUCUUUUAUUAAGUUCUCUUUAUAAGAAAGGAUCACCAUUUUAUAUUGUUCAUUAUUGAUUUGUGGUUCUUUCUCUUCCAGGAAGGUUGUCAUUGAUCUUCUUAUUGCUGAAGGACCAAAAGCAAAACUCAAAGAGGUUCCCAUAGUCGAGGCUGCUAAGAUGGAACUUAAAAGGGAUAUACCUCAGAUUGGAUAUCAGAAGGUCAGAGUCAAGCUUACAGAUUAAUUAUGACGAAAUUGUAAUUAGGUGUUGAGAUCAAACACGCUCUCUCCUUGACACCAUUCAGGCGAACUUACUAAUUCCUGAAAUUUUUUUAAUUAGGUUUUGAUUAAUUUUUGAGGCCUUACGAAAGCACAAACAAGAUUGAGAAACUGAGGAGAUUGUCACAGGAGAUAUAGGAGAUUUCCACUCUCAUUGUGUGGGGGUGUGUGGUUGAGAGGGAGGUAGCCCUAUUUGCCUUGCCCUUAAUCUGGCAUCUAUCUUACCUGCCUAUCAUGACAGCUUCCAAUGUUUUUCCUUCCUAUGAAAGAUUCUUAAGCGUUUCACAACCUUUGUCACUCACUUCUUUUAAAUGAGCAGUAAGGACUUAAUCUAGCAUUAUUCUCAUGAGAGGAAGCUAAGCAAUGGAAUUAUAAAGCAGAGAAAUGUGUAGUGAAUAUACUUUUGAGAGCUGGUGAUAUGUGAUGUGAGGAAAGAUAUAUUAUGCUUGCUCCUAGAAGUUUCCCCAUGCAUAUGCUCUUAAAAUUCCCUCAAUAAUUUAGAAUACUCUUAGUGACCACCGAGCUAAUUUUCUGAUUCUCGUGUGAAUGUCUCAAGUCAGACCUCCUUGUGGGAAAAAUAUAUAUACACAUGGUUUCCUGAGCACACAGUCUUAUAGUUUCUUAUAAGCUUCCUAUGCCGAACCUUAGUUACUGGGAAAAGAACGGGGAUAUAUUUUUCUGGUCAUGUCCUCUUCACUGUCACUCUUGGUAUGUUCCAGCACUUCAAGAUAAAUAUUAAUUGACCUUUUGAGCCUCUUGUCCUCUUCCCUAUUAUCGUCGAUGGAAGCCUCAAUGACUUAUUUGUGAUAAAUUGCUUGCUAAUUUAGGUUAUGUAUUCCCUUAUGUGCUGCAGGUUUUACAGGAACUAUGUCUAUCACAAGGUUUUGAAUGGGUCCUUAAAAGUGGCGAUGGAAAUCCACAAAAGUAAAGUUCAUGCAACCAAAUUCUACGUUAGUCUACGAGGUAAGAAUUAGCAUAUUUACUAUGUAUUACGAUAAGUAAUAAAGUAGACACAUCUCACCACAAGACUUAAUGGAAAAUUUCUAAAUUGCAUGAAAUUCUUGAGCUUUGUGUUCAAGAAAGAAAAUCUCUGCUUAUUCUGUUUACAUGGAUCAUUGUGAUCUGUUGUUGUUUGUCUGAAUUUACCCUUAAGUGCCUUGGUAAUCGAGUUGAUGUGAUGUCUGAGUUUUGCAGUUUGAAAAGAGGAUUUACAUCGUUCCUUGAAGUUAUAUCAGUGCAUAGCAUCAGUUUAAAUCAUCCUUGAAUAUUGCCUAAUUGAUUCUCAUCACAUAUUGGAAUUUGAAAAGUUAAUAGGUCUGUUUAAUGUAAAUGCAGAAGUACAUAUACACAGAACAAGGAAUGUGUGUUUAUAUAUACGUAUUUGUGUUUAAACUACUAUUAAGAUGGCUGAGGUACAAAAGUCAUUUGUUGAAAAUGGUAAGGAACCUGUUUCUUUGGAAGCAGCAAGGGAUGUAUUCUUGAUAUCUCGAGUGGCUCUUUGAACAUUCAACCUUCAGUGCAGCUAUGAUGAUUUAAAAUAUACAAAGGAUACCAAAUACACUGGGGAUGAGUGUUCCAUGUAAUUAAACACAUUAAUAUAUACCAUCAGAAAUAAUAUUUUGUUAAAUAUAUAUGAUUUCAUGCUGCUACAAUAUUGUAUCCAUCUGUUAUCAUUAAUUCUUUUUCCCUUUAAAAUGUUCGGCCUUAUUGUCACUUGUCAAUACCGUGGUUCAUCCAAACAAUUCAUAUUUGAUAUUGACGAAAAUGAAAAAUUAUAAUGACUUGCAAAUGUAUUAAUUCUCUUAAAUGAAUUAAAGAACCUUAGUGCUACAACCUUACUCGUGGUCGUGGUUGUCGUAUUCAAUUUAAUUUUGUGCACCCAACCCUUGUACCUAAGUCGAAGUGAUGCAGUAGACACCUCGUGCUAUCAGAAUUUUCUUACGAGUGCCUUUGGAAAUUAAACCUUAUAUGUGGUAUCGUGUUUGCAGGUGCUACACCAUUAUUAUACUUCUCUGCCAACUUUAUUUAUUCACUAUCUGGAAUUCUAUUUGGCCGGAUUAGGUCACCAGAGUAUGAUUUGCUAUCUAGCAUGAUCUUGUAUGGAGUGAUGAUCUCAGACCAUAGGAAGGCAGGCAAGAUAAAGAAAAAGACAAUAGAUCUCGAAAUUUAACUUCCUUUACAUAUAUGGUUAUUCAUUGUACAGCUAAAUUAGUCUCUAAGCCAAGGAUCGAUGAGUCUUUUCCUUGUGUUGGCUAUUGGUUGACUGGGCAUUGUAAGAAUCUUUUUAGAGGGUAAUUUUUCAUGUCCAUUGCUUCUAACGGCUCUUCUCUCAACAUUGAUAUAGGGUAUAAUAUUGAAAUGUUGUGAACUCUUUAAGUCCCUCAAAGAAACCCAAAUGUCGAGUUGUUUAAUGGCUUGUUUGGUUGGACUUUGAAAAAGUCAAAGCUGUUUAUAAGAUUAUCGAUGUUUUUGGAUAAUUUUUAGAAAAUGAUUUGACUGGUUUGAUGAGCCUUUUAAAAUUGAUAACUUUUUACAAGUAAAAGUCUUGUCAAACAGGUGUUAAAGUAUAAGUCCUGUUAAUUGAGUUGAGUGAGGAUUAGUUUGUUAUACUAAAAUGUGCUUUUUAUAAUAAAAAGUGGACUAAAGUAGAUCAUGAUAAAUUGAUCUAUAAACAGCCCAUCUAACUUUAAAAAAAUCGAGUCAUUUUUACAUUGACAUUCAGUGCAUGUUUGGGAAAGUUAAACGGUUGAUUUUGUUAAAAGAAGUGGAAGGUCUUUUGAAAUGAGUGGUGGAAAAGAGAGUAAUACUGGUGAAUUUUGUGUAAUGUAAGAUUACUAUUAAGGGUGGUUAUAUUAUCAUCACAAUAAAUGUUUGGUACCCUAUAAUUUUCUUAUUUAUUUUAAAAAAUCACUAGUAAAAUGACAUAAGUACCCUAUCUUUUAUUCACUAAUAUAUUUAUUCAUACAAUCACUAUCAUCCGCACACAAAAAAAUACCUAAAGUCCUAUUUAAAGAUACAAAUGCCAAGAUCAAAAGAUCCAAGAUUGAAGAAAAGAGCAAGAAAUUUUAGGAUAUGGUAUAGGCAUUUUAGAAUAUUUAAUCUAUUAUUUUAAAAGUUCGCUAUAUUUUUCUGAAGAAACUCGUCAUUAUUGUGGAACAUGCCAUUAUACAACCUGCAAGAGGCAUUGGAUUUGGAGGCUAAAUGUUAUAACCCAUUCACUUAUAGUCAAAGUCAGGAAAAUUAUUUAGUCAAAGUCCAAAAUUCAAUUGGUUAAAGUCAAUUUCAAAUAGGGAUUUAAAUGAAAUAAAUUAUUUUAUUAGGGUUUAAUUUAUUAUGAAAAAUAGUUAAAGGUUUAAAAUGGAUAAAACUUAAUUUUAGGGAUCUACUUAUAUAUUAUUGGAAGUAAAGGACUAGAUGUUAUAUUAAAUUGAAGAAUAAGGACUUCCUAUGCAAAAAUGGGUUGUGGAGUGCAUGUGGCAAGUAAUUAACCCAUUACCAUUUUCAUAUGAUAUAUACAUACGGAGAGAUGAGGCUGGAGAUGGGCAGAAGCAAGAAAAACCAAGAAAGAGAAGGAAAAGGAGAAAAAGAAAGGGAGAGAGAGAGAGAGAGAGAAAAGGAGAAGAAAAGGAAGUGGGUCUUCAAGCUUGGAUUCUCCAUUUCUUCAUUGAUUUAGAGAGGUGGGUGUAAGUAGGAUGAGUUAUCUUUUUGAGUUUAUGGAAAUUUUCUAAAAUUUAAGGUUUAGCAAAAUUAAUGAUUGUUGAUAUAUGUUUGAGGCAUUAAAAACAACAAUAAUAUUAGUGUUGAAAGGAAGGAAAUGUGAAAUGGGUUUGUAAAUUAGAGUUCCAAUCUUUGAAUUAUUGUGUUUACACUUGAUUUAUGAUGAAUUAGAGUGGUGAAAAAAUAUUUAGGUUAGAUUUUGGUAUUUAUAAUAAAUUUUCGAGCAAAAUUCAUGUGCAGUUGCUAUUCAUGAAAUUCUGCCCAGAAAAGUGCCAUUUCUGUCAAUGGUUUUGAUGCCAGAUUUUAAUAUGCAGAAAUUGGUGCCAGGUUUCAAUUUUUUGGGAUUUUAGUGCUGUUUUUGACAAAACUCUUUUUUUUUUUCAGAUUUUUAAAGGCUUCAAUGAAGUUAUAUGAUAAGUAUUGAGGUUUAUGUAUUGGAAUAAAUUAUGUAUAGGGCUUGUAAAUGUAUAAGUUAAUGAUUUUAAGGAAGUGUGGUAAUUUAAUAGAUUUGAUAAUGCAUGGUGUUUAGUCGAUGAAUUAAUAAAGAGAAUAAAAGUUGGGGAUUAGAGAUGUAAGAGUAAAUAUAGAAGUUGAGGAGUUAAGUGGUGGAAUUGUAUUGAUUUAAUUGUCAAGUUUCAAUUUGAGUAAUUAUUAUACCGUUAUUUCAGGUAGUGACGUGAAAACUUGAAAAGACUUGUCAAUUUAGCUAGAUUUCUAUCCAUAAAUCUGUGAAUGGAAAAAAGAUAAAUAUUUUUAAAGUAUUUAUAAAUUAAGUAUAUUGUUAAAGUAUGUGCAAUUAUGUUCUCGAAGUAUAUGGUUAUUAUGAAAAUAUCUUUUAUUACGAUACAUGUGAUAUUUUAAAGAUUGUAUAUGGUACAUUGUGAAUUGGAAUAUCAGAUAUGAUUUUGAAAUCGACCAAAAAAGUACCCGUGAUUAUAUAUUUCUUCUAGUUCACUGAGGAGCCUUGGCCAUGUUCUAUACUACACUGAAGGGUUUUGGACCGGGGAUGAAAGAGUCUCGACCGUAUACAUAGGGUUGCACAAAAAAAAUAUGAAACCGCAAAUCGAACCGAAACCGUUGAGUUGAAACCAUUGGUUCGGGUCCACAUGGACCCAUGGUUUCUUUUUCGUCAAACCGAACCAAACCGUUUCAAAAUAGUUUGAUUUAGGUUUUGAUUUUCAAAAAUCGCACAAACUGAACGGAACCGUUUUUAAAUUUUUUAAUUAAAACAUUAAUUUUAUUAACUUAAAAAUUUUACAGUUUUUUCUAUUUCUUUUUAAAUAUCAAUUUAGUAAUACAAAUUAUAACCAACUUAUUGAAAUAAUCAUAAAAAGUAAAUUAUGUUCAUUAUUAUUGACCUAUGAUUUAACAGGUUCACAACAAAUGUCUUACCCGAUAUCUAAACUAAACUAAAAUUAUUUCAAAAUCAUAUGAAAUGAAGAAAAAACACAUAUUUUCACAAUCCAAAUCAUGAUUCAACAAAAUUACGUAAGUAAAUCACGCCCAAAACUUUAGAAGCCCUAACAUAAACUCUCAUUUUUCUAACAUUUGAUGCUUUUCUGCCACUGUUGAACGAUUACUAAUUGCAUUUGUCUGUUUCUGUUAGUCUACUAAUCUCUUCCUGAGUCGUCUCUUUCUCUCUUCUCGUCUUAGAUUCUUAUUCAAUCCAUUUUUCCAUUGUUCUUUCUUUUAUUUUAUUUUUUUGAACUUAUUAUAUAUUUAUGAGUUCUGGUUUGGAUAGAAAAAUGAUUAUUCGUGUGCCUAGUUGAUUAAUGAACUUGUUUGUGAUUUGGAAAAAACAAAAGACGGAAUGUAUUGAUUAUAUGAAAAUGUUAAAGAUCCCUAACUAGUGUUACUACCUUCUACUUUCAUAAAAUAGUUAGAGGAUAAAAUUCCUCAAUUUUCAAUAAGUCAAAAAUCAAUCAAUCCUUGUACAUCUAAAGAUAUCACGUUCAAUUCUUAUUUUACAUCUCACUAGCAGGACGAAAGGAAUUUUAACCAAACUAUAAUAACAAAAUGUAACUCUACCUUUACCAAUAGUUAUAUGACAAUGCGAAUGUCAAAUAAGAAAAGAUAAAUAAAAAUGAAGAAAGAUGUAUUUGUUCUAUUAACAUCUUUUAGAAAACAACUUUGAAAAUAAUUUAUUCAUGGGUUUCAUAGUAAUUAUAAAUGUAAUUUAGCAUUUAACAUAAUUAGUUAUUGUUUAAACUUAUAUUUAACUUACGUUAAAUACAUUACUAUAAUGUCGAAAAGUAAACCGCAGAUUAAAACCGAACCAAACCGCAAAUUAUGGUUUGGUUUGGUUUGGUUUGAUUUGAAAAAAUUUCAAACUGCAUAAAAUGGUUUGAGUUGAAAAUAUAGCACAAACCACUCAAAUCGAACCGCGAUCACCCCUACAUGUACAUAUAGUUCACUGACGGGCCUUGACCGUGCUCUAGAAUUGAUUAUGAGAGGUCUUUGAGAUCAUCUUUCGUUCAUGGAGGGAGUCAAACGCUCGUGGUAAAAGUUCUUAGACCGAGGGGCGGAUUACAUAUUUCAGCCAGAGGGUACAUUUUUAGUGAAUUUUUCAGUAUGCUUGAUGUGCUGAGAUUAUAGCGUGGUUAUCAGCUGAUAUUUAUAUCAUGAUUUUGAGAUGAUAUUUUACAAUGUUAUGUGAAUGUUUCACUUUUAGUUAUAAUUACAUAAUGUUAUCUUGUGAAUUAUUAAAUGAUAUGAACUCGAUUUUUGAUAGAAAUGUAAAAUUGAAUAAGUAUAAUUAUUUUUGAACUUCUUCAUUCACUGAACUAUCAACUCAUAUAUUUUCCCACAAUUUUUCCUAUAUGUAGCAAUUGAUUCUUUUUAACUGAAGAGCCUAAUGAUUUUGGAAUGAGAGCCACACAGUAUGUUGAAUAUUAUAACUCAUAUUGAUGAAACAUGAAGUAAAUAUUUUGGGCCCAUCGCAUUAUGUUUUACAUAAGUAUUUGAUUUUGUUGCAUUUUUUUUGAAAUAACUCAUAGUCAGCCUUGGUGAUAGAUUUGACAUCUAGUCAACAUUUAUCUUCGGUGCACGUCUCGUCUCGUCUCGGGUUCACUAAGGUGAUUCGGGACGUGUCGUGUCAGAGUGGUAUCUAAGCAUGGUUUUGAAAAUUUUUAUGAUUUAUGCAUGCUCAGUGGGUAUGAUCACAUGUCGUGGUGACAGAAAUCAUAAGCUCUCUAACUCAAAUGUAUGAAACCAAAAAUAAUAGAAAAAUAUUUUUUUAACUGAUUUAGAAACGACUCGUAUGUAAGUAUGGUAGUUGUAAUGAUCUAAUGGUUGGAAAUGAUAUUAGCUAUUGGGUUGAAACUAUGUGUGUAUGUAACCUAUUAAGAUUUGAACAUAUUGUGAUGAUUUUGUAGGGCAUUUGAAGUUACAGAUAUUACAACCACUUAAUUAUCAAUUUAUUUGUAGAGCUACAUGAUUAUUUUUAUGAGUACAUAGGAAAUUUUUUAGCUAUAGCUUGCACGAUAAAUACAAGGAAAUGAUAUGAUGUGUAAUCAGUGACAAUCAGUGGGGAAUUUUAAUUAUUCUUGAAGCCAAAUGGUUAUUAGUGUUAUCAAAUUUUGUGGUGAUUUAAGGCCACUUUAAUGGGAUGAUAAUAGAAAUCAUGAUGAUGUAUAUUUAUGCUAUAUGAUAAGGAAUUGUGGAAGACAAAAUGAUAAUUUGUUGAUUGAUAGAUAACAAUGUGUUAUUGUAUACUUUAAGCAUCAAGGAAAUUAACGGUAAUUUCAAUUAUUUAUGAGUAGUUUGAUUACAAGGAAUGUGAGAAUAAUAGAGAUGAACUUCACAAUGUUUACCUAUUAGGGGGUGAUUUGUUUAUUUAAAAAUAGAAUUAAUUGGAUAUGUGCAUUUAGGUAUGUUUAUGUGAAAAAAAAAUUGAAAUUGAGAAUGGUAGAAUUGAAGUUUGUUGAGAUUGGGAAAUUAACAUGCGAUAUAUUGAUAUGUGAAAUGUUCAAGUGAUAAAUAUGAAGGUUAUCAUCUUGUGAUAUUAAGGGAAAUUUAUAUAAUUAAAUGUUUUAGGUCAUACAAUAUGACGAUAAAUGCUAAGGUUACAAGAUCAUAACAUGAUAUGGUGAAUAGCAUGAAAAUGAAUGUAAUGGUUGUCCUAUAGCAAAGUAAUGUGAUGAUUUAUUUGGGUUAUUUAAGUUAACAAAUUUUGUUAAGGCCAUUUGUUGAUUAUUGUGUUACAUUUCAUACAAUUUGGAAGCGUUGAGUUAAAUUUUGAAGUUAAGAUGAAUUUAUUGAAAUGUUAGUAUGUAAAUUUUGGGCUAUUUUUAAUUGUAUUUUGGAUCAUGAACAAAGUAUUCAAUUUUUGUCAAAAUAAAUUUGUUAAGGAAUAUAAGUAGGACAUGUUAGCUAUGUCUAAAGUUUAAGAUGAUCAUCAAAUAUAGAUUUUACUCAUUGUGAACUAGUAUCUUUUGGUUACAUUAUCUUAAUUAAAGGUCUUUAUGUGAUAUACAAAAAAGAUUAUGCAUUGACGAUAGAUCAACGAUCUAUUUAUGAAAUAAGAGUAUAGAUUUUUAUGGAUCAAAUGUUAUUAUUGUCUCUUUAUAAAAAGAAAGAACAAAAUUUGUAUGUGUAUAGAAAUGUCAAAAGUUUUGCUAUCAGGAAAUAUUGAAAAAAUAUUUGCUCUUAUAUCUAAAGAUGAUAAGCGAUUGAUUCACGAUAAUGAUUUAUGUUAUGGUUUAGAAAUUGUUUUCUAAGUGGAAUGAUAAAAUAUGGAUUAUGUUGUAGAUUGAUAAAGAGAUAUGAUUAAAUCAUGAUAUAUGGUUGAUUAUAUUGGGAUUGACAUUUAGGAAUUGUGGCGUUAUCACAUGGUGGGAAGAUCAAUACUUACGGACCACAUGAGUUUAAGGAAUAUUUAUAUUUAAAAAGGAGCCGAACUUAAAGCUAUGUAUUUAUUAUCGUUAGGUGAUAAAAUGAAAAGUUAAAAAUAUCACAUAUUUAUAUUAGGAUGAUAUUUAAGGUAUCGGUUCAACAUGUAUUUCAUAUGUUCGGUGGUUAGUAAAUGGACGUCAGAUUUAACUAAUGCUAUAAGAUCAUCAGUGGAGUUGGUUGAAAAUCUUACAUAUGAAGAAAAAUCAAUUCGGAUCUUGGAUAGGAAAUGAAUAGAUUUUGUGCAGAAAGUCUAUUCCGCUAGUUAAAGUUUGUUUGGAAAAAAAAUAAUAAUAAAAAAUAGAGGCUUCAUGGGGCAAGUAUUCAAAUAUAUGCUCUAUAUCUUUGUGCUCGAAUCCUAAUUGAUUGAAUUUCGAGGACGAAAUUCUUUGAAGGGGGUAAGAUUGUUAUAACUCACUCACUCAUAGUCAAAGUCAAGAAAAUUAUUUAGUCAAAGUCCAAAAUUCAAUUGGUCAAAGUCAAUGUCAAAUAGGGAUUUAAAUGAAAUAAAUUAUUUUAUUGGGAUUUAAUUUAUUAUGAAAAAUAGUUAAAGGUUUAAAAUGGAUAAAACUUAAUUUUAGGGAUCUACUUAUAUAUUAUUAGAAGUAAAGGACUAGAUGUUAUAUUAAAUUGAAGAAUAAGGACUUUCCAUGCAAAAAUGGGUUGUGGAGUACAUGUGGCAAGUAAUUAACCCAUUACUAUUUUCAUAUGAUAUAUACAUACAGAGAGGUAAGGCUGGAGAUGGGCAGAAGCAAGAAAAACCGAGAAAGAGAGAAGGAAAAGAGAGAAGGAAAAGGGGGGAGAGAGAGAGAGAGAGAGCGAAGAAGAAGAAGAAGAAGAAGAAGAAGAAGAAGUGGGUCUUCAAGUUUGGAUUCUCCUUUUCUCCAUUGAUUUAGAGAGGUGGGUGUAAGUAGGAUGAGUUAUCUUUUUGAGUUUAUGAAAAUUUUCUAAAAUUUAAGGUUUAGCAAAAUUGAUGUUUGUUGAUAUAUGUUUGAGACAUUAAAAACAACAAUAAUAUUAGUGUUUAAAGGAAGGAAAUAUGAAAUGGGUUUGUAAAUUAGAGUUCCAAUCUUUGAAUUAUUGUGUUUACACUUGAUUUAUGAUGAAUUAGAGUGGAAAAAAAAAAAAUUAGGUUAGAUUUUGGUAUUUAUAAUAAAUUUUCGAGCAAAAUUCAUGUGCAGGUACUACUCAUGAAAUUCUGACCAAAAAAGUGCCAUUUCUGUCAAUGGUUUUGAUGCCAGAUUUUAAUAUGCAGAAAUUGGUGCCAGGUUUCAAUAUUUUGGGAUUUUAGUGCUGUUUUUGACAAAACUCUUAUUUUUCAGAUUUUUAAAGGCUUCAAUGAAGUUAUAUGACAAGUAUUGAGGUUUAUGUAUUGGAAUAAAUUAUGUAUAGGGCUUGUAUAUGUAUAAGUUAAUGAUUUUAAGGAAGUGUGGGUAAUUUAAUAGAUUUGAUAAUGCAUGGUGUUUAGUCGAUGAAUUAAUAAAGAGAAUAAAAGUUGGGGAUUGGAGAUGUAAGAGUAAAUAUAGAAGUUGAGGAGUUAAGUGGUGGAAUUGUAUUGAUUUAAUUGUUAAGUUUCAAUUUGAGUAAUUAUUAUUCCGUUAUUCAGGUAGUGACGUGAAAACUUGAAAAGACUCGUCAAUUUAGUCAGAUUUCUAUCCAUAAAUAUGUGAAAGGAAAAAAUAUAAAUAUUUUUAAAGUAUUUAUAAAUUAAGUAUAUUGUUAAAGUAUGUGCAAUUAUGUGCUCGAAUUAUAUGUUUAUUAUGAAAAUAUCUUUUAUUAUGAUAUAUGUGAGAUUUUAAAGAUUGUAUACGGUACAUUGUGAAUUGGAAUAUGAGACAUGAUUUUGAGAUCGACCAGAAAAGUACCCGUGAUUAUAUAUUUCUUCUAGUUCACUAAAAGGUCUUGGCCGUGUUCUAUACUACACUGAGGGGUCUUGAACCGAGGAUGAAGGGGUCUCGACCGUGUACAUAUAGUUCACUGAAGGGUCUUGGCCGUGUUCUAGAAUUGAUUAUGAGAUGUCUUUGAAACCAGCUUUCGUUCAUGGAGGGGGCCAAAGGUCCGUGGCGAAAGUUCUUAACCCGAGAGGCGGAUUACAUAUUUCAAUUAGAGGGUACAUUUUUGGUGGAUUUUUCAGUAUAUUUGAUGUGAUGAGAUUAUAGCGUGGUUAUCAGCUGAUAUUUAUAUCAUGAUUUUGAGAUGAUAUUUUACGACCUUAUGUGAAUAUUUCACUUUUGGUUAUAAUUACAUGAUGUUAUCUUGUGAAAUAUUAAAUGAUAUGAACUCGAUUUUCGAUAGAAAUGUAAAAUUGAAAAAGUAUAAUUAUUUUCGAACUUCUCCACUCACUGAACUAUCAACUCAUAUAUUUUUCCACGAUUUUUUCUACAGGUAGCAAUUGAUUCUUUUUAGCUGGAAGAGCCUAAUGAUUUCGGAAUGAGAGCCAUACGGCAUGUUGAAUAUUAUAACUCAUAUUGAUGAAACAUGAAGUAAAUAUUUUGAGUCCAUCGCAUUAUAUUUUACAUAAGUAUUUUAUUUUGUUGCAUUUUUUUGAAGUAACUCAUGUUAGCCUUGGUGAUAGAUUUGACAUCUAGUCAGCAUCUAUCAUUGGCGCACGUCUCAUCUCGGGUCCACUAGGGUGAUUCGGGACGGGACGGGUCGUGUCACUAAAGGACAGCAUUUAGAAAUGGAUCAUUGCAUGGAUCGUGAUAUCCCAUUUGCUGAAGAUUGGAUAAAAGUUAGAGAUAUUUGUAAACUUGUUCAAAAUGUAUAUGAUGUUGCUGAAGUUCUUUUCGAGACAAAACAUGAUAGUGCAGGCAUCUAUGUUCACAAAUUUCAAGAAUUACAAGCAAGUUUUAUAGAAGAAUCCAGAAAUUCAGAUAAAUUUGUUAGAAUCAUAGCUCGGAAGACACUAAAGAAGUUUGAGAAGUACUGGAAGAACAUGUUCCUUGUACUAACCGUUGUUACGGUUUUGAAGCCUCAAUAUAAAAUUAAGUAUAUUGAAUUUUCUUCCUUGAAGUAUGAUACUAGUUCUAGUAUAUCAGAAGUGACAACCAUUUCAAAGUCCAUUCACUCGCCUUAUGAUGAUUAUGUUACUAGCAAAACCAGAUAAGAAUAUACAUCAAAGAAAGAUGCAUACACCUAAAUGUUGGUUUUAAUUGUUGAGAUGAGUAUAACCAGUUUAUCCAAUCUAAUAGUCAAUCUCGAUCCCUAGGCAAGAGCUUGAAUGCUACUUGGAAGAACUUGUCGUGCCUUGGAGCAAAAAUUUCAGAGUGCCAUCACGGUGGCAAUCUGUGAGCCCCAAAUAUCCUACCAUGUCCAAAAUGGCUCGUGGAUCUCUGCACAUAAAAUGUUGAUAUUUCAUGUCCAAAAGAACAAAAGAUCCAAAGAUUAUUGAGCCAAUGGAUGAAGGAAAUGUUGAUAUUCCAUGUCCAAAAGAACAAAAGAUUCAAAAAUUAUUGAGCCAAUGGAUGGACGAAGAAUGGUUGGGGAAAAAUGAGGAGUAAUUUUGGGACGGAGAAUACAAUACUAUUAUUAUUAUUAUUAUUAUUAUUAUUAUUAUUAUUAUUAUUAUUAUUAUUAUUAUUAUUAUUAUUAUUAUUAUUAUCAUCAUCAUCAUCAUCAUCAUUAUUAUUUUCAUUUUUAGUUCUUUUUGGGGUUAAGACUAUAAUUGUAAAUUUGUUAUGGCAUUUUUAUUGGAAACAUGUUAUUAUUGUGGUGGUGUUAUAAUGUGUGUAGCAAGUAAAAUUUGUGGUGGCAAUAUAAUUACCCUAAUGUUAAUUGUUACUUUUGAUCCCAUCUUUUUAAUCUUUUUCAAACAAGCAUUUGCCUAAUUUUUUUAAUUAAUUAGACAAAUAGUCAAGUUGAAUAUGGUCUUUACUAUUAAAAAAAUGUAAAUAAACAAUAAUUAUUUUUCAUAAGACUAAAUUCUCCAACUCAUAAAAGGAAUGGCAAUACGACAGGUGAUUUUCCUUGUCUUUUGUCGCGUUGGAUAUUCUUGGGUAGAGGAUAGGAAAUUAGGAAUAGGGAAUUUGCUACUCUAUUUACUCAAUUUUCUAAUAUCAAAUUUCAAAUAUGAUUUAAGUUUAAAAACAUAAAUAUACAUAUAAAACUAAGAGUCUGAACAAGUAUGAAGUGAGUAAAAUGUUCUCAGUCCCUAUAUCGAUUUUCUAUUCGAUGGGACGUAACAAGACAUUUGCUGUCUUUGCCCAUAAAGAGCUUUUUAUAUUCUAAAAAAAAAAAGUCAUUUCCUCACUGUCAUUUAAAAGUAAAUAAGAUUAUUCAUAGUUGCUUACUAUUAGUAAUUGCUCUACGUGAAAGUUUGUUAUUUGAGACAUUAAUUUUUUAUAAUUUUAUUUCGUAAAACCAACCUUUCAUUCUUUAGCAGAGCUCUCUCUCUCCACCAUUUCAUUCAAUUUGAUAAUAAACUCAUCCUUGUCGAGGGUUAAAAUUAAAUUUUUAGUUUAAUUUUGAUAAAAAUUGAUGUUUAGAGCUCAUUUUCAUCUUAUUUAUGGACAAUUUUUAAACGUUGCACAGUACAAAACCUUUAUCGUGAGGGAUCUAUACCCUAGGCUGGCAGCUCUGUUUCUUUAUUUCUUAUUUCUGAUACCCAAUUGACAACGAUUAGUCAAAGUGAACCUGGAAAAGUGAAAAAACAAUGCAUGGCUUUUGUUUGGAGCAAUUCGCGUUCACAUUUCAAGAUAGGGGUAAAAUUGGAAGUUGGACAUAUAUAUGCAUAACACCAUUUGGACUAGCUUUCACAUGGUGGGCCACAUGAUGUGAUAGAAGAAUGCAUUUUUUCCACAAUAAAGGCGUCCAAACGUUAGCUUUCACAUGGUGGGCCACGUGAUGUGAUAGAAGAAUGCAUUUUUUCCACAAUAAUGACGCCCACACGUCAAUAAUGGCGCCCAAACGUCCAUUAUUGUAGAAAAAAAUGGAUUCUUCUAUCACAUCACAUGGUCCACCAUGUGAAAGCUAACGUUUGGGCGCCAUUAUUGUGGAAAAAAUGCAUUCUUCUAUCACAUCAUGUGGCCCACCAUGUGAAAGCUAGUCUAAAUGGUGUUAUGCAUAUAUAUGGUCAACUUCCAAGUUUAAAAAAAGGUGGAACCUCAACCUUGAGGGGCUUCACUGCCUCGCUCUUGGAGUAUCGUGAGGGAGGUAAAUUGCGGGAUGUGCCCCAACAGAUCAGGGAACAAGAACUUGUCCGUACACUGGUGCUUACAAAGAAUCCAAUUCCACAUCUUAGGAAUCGACCCCUUUGCGGCUGCCAACAAAAUUGAGAUUACCUCACUCCUGUCCUUUGCACCACUGGGUUAUGCCCCGGGGGCGUCAACUUCCAAGUUUACCCCUAUCUUGAAAUGUGAACACGUAUUGUUCCAAACAAAAGCUAUGCAUUUUUUACUUUUCCAAUGAACCAAGUUUCCAUUAUUGAGGAUAGAGUGUUGUAAAGCUCAUAUAAAGCAAAUGUCGAUAAGAGGGAAUUAAAAUUUUAGAGGGUAUUUGGUGGGGAUAAAAAUUAGAUUUUUUAGUAGAUUGUGAUAGAAGUUGUUAAANNNNNNNNNNNNNNNNNNNNNNNNNNNNNNNNNNNNNNNNNNNNNNNNNNNNNNNNNNNNNNNNNNNNNNNNNNNNNNNNNNNNNNNNNNNNNNNNNNNNNNNNNNNNNNNNNNNNNNNNNNNNNNNNNNNNNNNNNNNNNNNNNNNNNNNNNNNNNNNNNNNNNNNNNNNNNNNNNNNNNNNNNNNNNNNNNNNNNNNNNNNNNNNNNNNNNNNNNNNNNNNNNNNNNNNNNNNNNNNNNNNNNNNNNNNNNNNNNNNNNNNNNNNNNNNNNNNNNNNNNNNNNNNNNNNNNNNNNNNNNNNNNNNNNNNNNNNNNNNNNNNNNNNNNNNNNNNNNNNNNNNNNNNNNNNNNNNNNNNNNNNNNNNNNNNNNNNNNNNNNNNNNNNNNNNNNNNNNNNNNNNNNNNNNNNNNNNNNNNNNNNNNNNNNNNNNNNNNNNNNNNNNNNNNNNNNNNNNNNNNNNNNNNNNNNNNNNNNNNNNNNNNNNNNNNNNNNNNNNNNNNNNNNNNNNNNNAGGUAAAUUGCGGGAUGUGCCCCAACAGAUCAGGGAACAAGAACUUGUCCGUACACUGGUGCUUACAAAGAAUCCAAUUCCACAUCUUAGGAAUCGACCCCUUUGCGGCUGCCAACAAAAUUGAGAUUACCUCACUCCUGUCCUUUGCACCACUGGGUUAUGCCCCGGGGGCGUCAACUUCCAAGUUUACCCCUAUCUUGAAAUGUGAACACGUAUUGUUCCAAACAAAAGCUAUGCAUUUUUUACUUUUCCAAUGAACCAAGUUUCCAUUAUUGAGGAUAGAGUGUUGUAAAGCUCAUAUAAAGCAAAUGUCGAUAAGAGGGAAUUAAAAUUUUAGAGGGUAUUUGGUGGGGAUAAAAAUUAGAUUUUUUAGUAGAUUGUGAUAGAAGUUGUUAAAUGUGUAGUUGAAAAAUUGUGGAACCUAUAAAAGAUGUGGUUAGUGUUGAUUGUUUGACUUUAACUUAGAUUAAAAUCAGAUUUUAAUCCAAAUCAAAUAGUCUGUUAAAUCCUUGUCAAAGUCAAAGUCAAUAAUUCAUUUAAAUCACGUAUUUUAAGACAUUCAUAAGUUUUUAAUCAUAUACUGCAUCAAAUUUUAUCAAAAUUUACUAAAAAUUUAAUUUUAACUUGUAACAUCACAUUUCUCUUUUCCUAAUUUUUGCGAAUAUGAUAUUCCCUAAUGAUAUAUUUAAUGCUUAUUAUUAAUUUAUUGUCAAUGUGACUACUAAUAUGUUGUAGUGGAUUAUACCUUGAACGUCCUAGGUGAUUGACAUGCCAAUUAAAGCUAAUUAUAUGAAAAUCAAAUGAAAAUCUAGAAAAGGGAAGGAAAUGUAAAUAGAUGAAGAAAGAGGACUAGUAAUUAUUGAGGAGAGUGUGCUGUACAGCUCAUAUAAAGCAAAUGUCAGUAAUGGGGAAUUAAAAUUUAAAUAUUUACCAAAGUUGGAGUCAAUAAUUGAUUUAAAUCAAGUACUUUAUGAUAUUCAUAACUUUUCAAAUAUGUUAUUGAGUUGUGAAUAUCACAGAAGAAUGCAUUUUUGGAAAAAGUUUUGUCUGAUUUGAUGAGCUUUUUUGAAGGAAAAUGAUAACUUUUUUACAAGGAGUAGAAGUCUUGUCAAAGCGGCGUUAAGUAUAAGAUCUAAUAAUUAAGUUGAGUGAGGAUUAGUUUGUUCUACUCAAAUGUGCUUUUUACAAUAAAAAAUGAACCAAAGUAGAUCAAGAUAAAUUGAUCUAUAAACAGCUUCUCUAACCUUAAAAAAAUCGAGUCAUUUUUACAUUGACAUUCAGUGCUUGUUUGGGAAAGUUAAACAGUUGAUUUUGUUAAAAGAAGUGGAAGAUCUUUUGGAAUUAGUGGUGGAAAAGCGAGUAAUACUAGUGGAUUUUAUGUAAUGUAAGAUUAAUAUAAAGGGUGGUUAUAUUAUCACCACAAUAAGUGUUUGGUACCCUAUAAUUUUCUUAUUUAUUUUAAAAAAUUACUAGUAAAAUGACAUAAGUACCCUAUCUUUUAUUCACUAAUAUAUUUAUUCAUACGAUCACUACCAUCCGUACACAAAAAAUACAUAACUCCUACUUAAAGAUACAAAUGCCAAGAUCAAAAGAUCCAAGAUUCACUAAUAUAUUUAUUCAUAUGACCACUACCAUCCGUACACAAAAAAUACAUAACUCCUACUUAAAUAUACAAAUGCCAAGAUCAAAAGAUCCAAGAUUGAAGAAAAGAACAAGAAAUUUUAGGAUAUGGUAUAGGCAUUUUGGAAUAUUGAAUGUAUUAUUUUAAAAGUUCGCUAUAUUCUUCUUGGAAACUCGUCGUUAUUGUGGAAUAUGCCAUUAUACAACCUGCAAAAGGUAUUGGAUUUGGAGGCUAAAGGACAGUAUUUAGAAAUGGAUCAAUGCAAGGAUCGCGAUAUCCCAUUUGCUGAAGACUGGAAAAAAGUAAGAGAUAUUUGUAAACUUGUCCAAAAUGUAUAUGAUGUUGCUGAUGUUCUUUUCGAGACAAAACAUGCUAGUGCGGGCAUCUAUGUUCAUAAAUUUCAAGAAUUACAAGCAAGUUUGAUAGAAGAAUCUAGAAAUUCUGAUAAAUUUGUUAGAAUCAUAGCUCAGAGGAUGCUAAAGAAGUUUGAGAAGUACUGGAAGAACAUGUUCCUUGUACUAACCGUUGUUACUGUUUUGGAUCCGCAAUAUAAAAUGAAGUAUAUUGAAUUUUCUUCCUUGAAGUAUGAUACUAGUUAUAGUAUCUCGGAAGUGACAGCCAUUUCAAAGUCCAUUUACUAGCCUUAUGAUGAUUAUGUUACUAGCAAAACUAGAGAAGAAUAUUCUAUGAGUGAUUCGAAUUCUGAGUUUGAAGAAGAGAUUCCUACAAACAUCAAAGAAAGAUGCCUACUCCCAAACUUUGCUUUUAAUUGCUUAGAUGAGUAUAAACAGUUUAUCCAAUCUGAUAGUCGAUCUCGACCAUUAGGUAAAAGCUUGAAUGCUACUUGGAAGAACCUGUCGUGCCUUGGAGCAAAAAUUUCAGCGUGCUAUCUUGAUGGCAAUAUGUGAGCCCCAAAUAUCCUACCUUGUCCAAAAUGGCUCGUGGAUCUUUGCACAUAAAAUGUUGAUAUUUCAUGUCCAAAAAAUAAUUGAGCCAAUGGAUGAAGGAAAUUGAUGAGGAAGAAUGGAUGGGGGAAAAUGAGGAGUAAUUUUGGGAAGGAGAGUACAUUGUUAUUAUUAUUAUUAUUUUUUUUUUUUUCAUUUUCAGUUUUUAUUGGGUUAAGGCUAUAAUUAUAAAUUUGUUAUGGUAUUUUUAUUAGAAACAUGUUGUUUUAAUGUGUGUAGCAAGUAAAAUUUGUGGUGGCAAUAGAAUUGCCUUAGCAUUAAUUGUUACUUUUGAUCCCGACUUUUUAAUCUUUUUCAAACAAGCAUUUGCUCAAUUUUUUGAAUAACUAGACAAAUAGUCAAGUUGAACAUGGUCUUUACAAUUGAAAAAAUGUAAAUAAAUAAUAAUUUUUUUUCAUAAGAUUAAAUUCUCCAACUCAUAAAAGGAAUGGCAAUACGACAGGUAGUUUUCCUUGUCUUUUAUGGCGUUGGAUUUUCUUGGGUGGAGGGUAGGAAAUUAGGAAUAGGGAAUUCAUUACUCUAUUUGCUCAAUUUUCUAAUAUCAUUUUGAAAAACAAUUUAAGUUUAAAAACAUAUAUGUACAUGUAAAAAUAAGAGUCUGAACGAGUAUGAAGUAACUUGUUCUUCCUAUAUUGAUUUUCUAUUCAGUGGGAUGGAACAAGACAUUUGCUGUCUUCGCCUAUAAAGAGCUUUAUAUUCUUAAAAAAGGUCAUUUUCACAUUGACAAUUAAAAGUGAAUAAUACUAUUCAUAGUUGUUCACUAUCAAUUAUUUCUCUAUAAUUUUAUUUCUUAAAACUAACCGUUCAUUCUUUAGCAGAGUUUUGUGUUUCUCCACCAUUUCAUUCAAUUUGACAAUAAGCUCAUACUUGGAGGGGUUAAAAUUAAAUUUUUAGUAAAUUUUGGUAAAUAUUGUUGUUUAGAGCUCAUUUCAUCUUAUUUAUAGACAAUUUUGACCACUGCACAAUACAAAACUCUUUCUUUAUUCUGAUUUAUGACACUGAAUUGAAAUAAUCUAUCAAAGCCCUUGUUUAGGAGAGCUUUCGUUUUCAAUUGUAGCCAGUGACCAUUAUACAUAUAUGUUAAAUAAGGCAAGUUGAGUGGGAGCCCUCAAGGUUGGAGUUCAACCUUUCAAAUAAGGCAAAUUGCAAUUUUUGACUAUUUUAAGACAGAAUGAUCCCUUAACAUUUCAUUCAUUCUUCAUGAGACAAGGACAUUUUUGGUAUUUAAUUUUGAGACAGUAAAAAAUUGCAACCAAAAUGAGACCCAUGUUCAACUGUGUAAGGGAGAAAAAUUGCUAAAAAUGGAAAAAAAGCUCUCCCAGACAAGAGCAAAGUGAACUUCGAAAAGUAAAAAUACAUUUUUUGUUUGUAACAAUACUUGUUCACGUUUCAAUAUAGGGGUAAAAUUGGAAGUUGCCCAUAUAUAUUUAUAACACCAUUUGGAGUUUGGACUAGCUUUCACAUGGCGGGCAAUGUGAUAUGAUAGAAGAAUGCAAUUUUCCACAAUAAUGGCGCCCAAACGAUGACCUGCUAAUGUUAUUGAAUGAUUUAAUUGAAUUAUUAACUUUUACUUUCAUAAAAAUAUAAUUGCUACAUUUGCUUUAUAUGAGCUGUACAACACACACCAAGAAUUACUAGUUUUCUUUCUUCAUCCGUUAACAUUUCCUCCUCUUUUCUGGGUUUUCAUUCGAUUGUCAGAGCUGCAACAUCCAUUUCCAUGACUUCAAAGCUAUAUGCUAAUCAGAAUUUUCUGUUUUUGCUUUAGUGGUAGCGUCUAUUAUUCUUCAAACAAGCAUUUGCUCAAUUUUUUGAAUAACUAGACAAAUAGUCAAGAUGAACAUGGUCUUUACAAUUGAAAAAAUGUAAAUAAAUAAUAAUUAUUUUUUAUAAGAUUAAAUUCUCCAACUCAUAAAAGGAUGGCAAUAUGGCAGGCGGUUUUCCUUGUCUUUUGUCGCGUUGGAUUUUUUUGGGUAGAGGGUAGGAAAUUAGGAAUAGGUACUUUUACCCAAUUUUCUAAUAUCAUUUUUUUAAAAAUACAAUUUAAGUUUAAAAACAUAUAUGUACACGUUAAAUUAGGAGUCUAAACGAGUAUCAAGUAACUUGUUCUCAAUUCCCAUAUCGAUUUUCUAUUCGAUGGAUGGAACAAGACAUUUGCUGUUUUUGCCCAAAAAGAGCUUUAUAUUUUAAAAAAGUUCAUUUCCACAUUGACAUUUAAAAAUAAAUAAUAUUAUUCACUCACUGUCAAUUAAUUUUCUAUAAUUUUAUUUCUUAAAACCAACCGUUCAUUCUUUAGCGGUGUUUUGUCUCUGUCCACCAUUUUUCCCACUUCCACAUGGUGGGCCAUGUGAUAUGAUAGAAGAAUGAAAUUGUUCCACAAUAAUGGCGCCCAUACGACGACACGCUAUGUUAUUGAAUGAUUUAAUUGAAUUUUAAUUGCGACAUUUGCUUACAACACUCAAAAUUACUAGUCUUCUUUCUUCAUCCGUUUACAUUUCCUCCUCUUUUGUGGGUUUUCAAAGCUAUAACAUCCAUUUCCAUGGCUUCAAAGCUACAAGCUAAUCAGAAUUUUCUGUUUUUGCGUCAGUGGUAGCGUCCAUUAUGCUUUAAACAAAAGUUUAGGGGGUAGACAACUCACAUACACUAUCUUUCUCUUUCCCUGCAAUUCGACCAUCCUUUCCUUUCCUUUCCUUGCAAUGGAUAUCUCACUCACUAAUUCGUUUACUAGUCCUGCAGAUCUCUUUCUAAUUGUGAGCGAUCAUAUAUUAUAUAUCUCCUCCAAACAUCAUCCUAUAAUUGAUACGUUACUUGGUUUUAUACCUUUACAAACGCACGGUUUCUUUGAUGAAUUUCACAGAAACAUUUUCUAUGAAUCAGUGUUAGCUGGACUUGAUCAAGAGCUUAAGGUGUUCUUUACAGUCCCUGACCAGCAAAUCUUGUCCAAGUUAACUCCUACUCUCAAUUCUAAUGAAGUUGUUGCGGCGUUCAUCAACUUUCUCCUCCUGAUGGUAGAAGUCAUUCUACAUUUUGAGGAAGAUUCGAUUGCUCGUGUAAAGGGUUCGUUCCAAAAUCUCCGGACAGAGCUUGGAUUUCUUAUCACUUUUCUUGGGGAUACAGCAAUGCAUUUGCAGCCCACCGAGACUAUAGUGAUAGAUAUUGAAGAUGUGGUCAAUGAGGUAGGAUGUUUCUUGUAUUCCUUCCUUUGGGCCAUUGUUAUGUUCAUUCUAAUCUGUAAAGAGAAAGAAUUAUAUACUAGAAUGUACGGUUGGAAAGUUGGGGUUAAUGAGGUAGGAAGUCUCCGUCUUUCUGACUUUAUCCACUUUCUUGAGGAUCAACCAUUGCUAAACACUAUGUUGAAAGCAACGAAAGAUAUUAAAGCUUCGCUCCAUAAGAUAGGAAGUUUAUUAGAUUCCUUCAUUUCCAAGAAGAAUGAUCAAGCUAUGGAGCCAGGAAACUUAAAUCUUGCUCUUUCUGAUUUGUUAGCAAAGUUUGAGACCUUGAAAACAAAGAUCAAGGAGCACUGCAUCAGAGUCUCAAAGAUCCCAAGUGAUAUGGCUCCUAAGACUGGUGUGGUUUCACUCUUCAUUGUUGAUUCCGUCCUCGAUGAUCUCAUGGAUCUAAUAAAUAACAAGUCUGACUCGACUGGUGUUGUGAAUGAUCAAAUUGUAAUGCUUCAGACGCUUCAGAAGGAGCUAAUGUUAUUGGGAUCAUCCAUCACAGAUAUAGCAUUGCAGCAGGAAGCAGAACAUGAAGAACUUGUGAUACGGAGCAGAGACAUAGCAUAUGAAGUUGAAUAUGUUAUCAAAUCAUUUCGUCAAGCUUGGUAUCUUUCUCUCCGGCUCCCUCAACUCAUUGACAAGAUUCAGCUUAUUACGAUGGCUAUCGAAAAAAUGAAGAACAAUGUUGAUAUAUCUAGAAUGUCAAUUUUUUCGAAACAUCCACAUGAACAUGUAGAUCCACAGUCAGAAGAAUCUCCCAUUUUGGAAGACUUUGUUGUGGGAUUUGACAAUGUAACAAUUGAAAUUGUAGAACAACUUGCUCGAGGAAUAGAAAAGCUACAAAUUAUUUCCAUAUUUGGGAUGCCUGGACUUGGUAAGACGACCUUGGCAAAUAAAUUAUAUAAUCAUCGCUACGUUUUAUACCAUUUUCACAAUCGUGCCUGGUGUGCUGUUUCUCAAAUAUAUAAUAAGAAAAAUGUGUUGAUUGAAAUUUUGAGCUCAAUGAGUAACAAUAAGAGGGAUACAUACAUGAAAAAGGAGGAAAACAGCUUGGUCGACGAUCUUUACAAAAACUUAAAAGGAAGGCGAUACCUCAUUGUGAUAGAUGAUAUAUGGGAUAUCAAUGUGUGGAAUGAUUUAAAAAGAUGUUUUCCAGAUGACGGAGUUGGAAGCAGAAUCUUAUUCACUACUCGAAAUAAAGAAGUGGGUUUGAAAGCUUUACCUCAUAAUUUCACAAAGGAACUUCCUUUUUUGUCGGAAGUUGAAUGUUGGGACAUAUUACAAGGGAAAGUGUUCCAAGAUAAAAAAUGUCCUCAAGAAUUGCUAGACAUUGGCAAGCAAAUUGCAAAAAAUUGUCAUGGCCUACCACUCGCAGUGGUUGUGAUAGCUGGAGUUCUUGCAAACAUGGAGAAGAAAAAACACUUGUGGGAAAAAGUUGCCAGAAAUUUAGGUUCUCAUAUAUCUGAAAUACCAGAGAAGUGCAUCCAAAUAUUGCAGCUUAGCUACGACCAUUUACCAAUGCAUUUGAAAACGUGUUUUCUUUACUUUGGAGCAUUCAAAGGAGACAUGAAGAUCCCUGUACGGAAGUUGAUAUCUCUUUGGGUUGCCGAAGGAUUUAUAAAGAAGGAAGAACAGAAGAACAUAGAGGACGUGGCACGAGAAUAUUUAAUGAAAUUGAUUGAUAGGAGUCUAGUACUUGUUGCUGAAAAAAGAUAUGAUGGAGGAGUCAAAACAUGCAAGAUUCAUGAUCUAUUGCGUGAAAUGUGCUUGAAAAUAGCUGAAGAAAAUAACUUUUUGAAGUUUAUCAAACAGUAAGUUCAAUGUCUCUUCUUUUUCCUUUCCUUUCCUUUCCAUCCAUUUUUUAUUUUAGCUUACUUAGAAGGUUAUUAUAUUUGAUAAUCGUAACAAUGAUGUGAUUAUGUUGUUUUUGUUGCCAGUAAUGAUGAUGAUGAAGAUAAACAACGGUUCUUCAGUCAAGUAUCAACGUAUCAGCAGCACCAUUGCCUGAGUAUCAACUGUACGAUACCUCCGAGUUCACUACCUUUUGGCCUACACGUACGCUCUCUUCUAUAUGAUAUUCAUUUUGUGGGAUCGAGCACACCAAGACCGACCACAUCAAUCUCAUGCAGCCACAAACUUCUUAGGGUCUUUGAUUUUAGCAGCAGGUCACUACCCUGGGGUCUAAUAAUAGGAUUGGAACACCUGGUUCUAAUAAUAGGAUUGGAACAUCUAGUUCACUUGAGGUACUUGGCACUUUCAUGUACACGGCCACCAUUAAAUUUGGAAAGGUUCCACAAACUAGAAUUUCUUGUUGUGGACAAUGAUGUUGAAGUUGAAAUACCUGAGAUCCUCCUUAAUACAGUGAGUUUGAGACACAUGGAGUUCAAGGGCGGUGCACGCUUCAGUGAAUCUAGUUGUCAGCUGGCAACUAACAGUAAGAACUUCCAAAUAAAUAACCUACGAAGUAUUUCUAGACUCUCAAUUUACGUUGAAUUGGAUGAGAAAGUUUUGGGACGUUCGCCCAAUCUUCGUAGACUGAAAGGCAGGGUGGAUAAAGAUUUACUAAAUCCUUCUUUCGACUUCCUUAAUCAGCUCGAAUCACUAAAGCUAUAUGAAAUAUUUCAUUGUUCUUUUAGUUUGCCCUUAAAUUUGAAAAAAUUGACACUAGAUCAUGCAAAGGUGUCUCGAAAACAAAUGGAGAUAAUUGGAAGGUUGCCUUGCCUUGAGGUUCUCAAAUUAGAAUCGGUUGCCUUUGAGGAAGAACAAUGGAACACAAGUGAGGGUGAAUUCCCACAACUCAAAUACUUGAAACUUGCAAAUGUAAACAUUGCAGAAUGGAAUGCCUCAAGUGAUCAUUUCCCGGUACUUCAACGAAUAGUAUUGAAAUCUUGCGGGAAUCUAAAGAAGAUCCCUUUCAGUUUAAAUGAUAUUCCAACGUUACAGGAGAUUUGGUUAUAUGGAUGUCCACCAACUACCAACGAAUCAGCUAAGGAAAUUAAGGAAGAACAAAAAGCGAUGGGCAAUGAAGAGCUUGAAGUCAUGAUCUCUGAAAAACAAUUGGAGGAAAAUGAAUACAACGAACUUCUGAAGGUAAUAAUGAGAGAGAUUCUCUUCUUUAAAUCUCUUUCACGUUCUCAUCUUGGUCCUAGGUAUUUUGUAUUAUGCUAAAAUGAAACAUCAAAAAUAAAUUCUACUGUAAUUUUGGCUUGUAUUGGAAUUAAGCCCCUCUUUGGUUUGGGUUAAAAUAAGAUUUUUAAUAGAUUUUCAUAAAGGUCAAUGAAAAGUGUGAUUGAAAAAUUAAUAAAAUUUAUGAAUUUCAUAAAAUAUGUGGUUGAAAAUGAGCUAGGGGAAAAAAUUAGUUUUAAAAAUUUGGGACCAAAUAGGGGGCUCUAUUUUAUGAGCUUCUUGAUGUUAUUCUAGGAAUAAUGAUAAGUGCGUUUUUAUGCACUUAUGUUUGAAUUGUGGCUUAAAUUUGUUUGAUUCUUGAAUUGCAGGGUAAAUUGAUGGACACGGUGGAACUCAUGAGAAAAAUGAAGCGACAAGAACCAAAAGGAAUCAAAGUGCCAAAACGAAUCAAAGUGAAAGUUCAAGGACCAAAGCGCAAAUAUCCAAAAGAUGAACCGAAGGAGCAAGAAAAGAUUUGAUAGAGCCAAGUACCAAUUGGAGGUUAAUAUUGGUAACCUCUGUCAUGGUGAAUUCAAUUUUAUUACUGUACACUCAUGGUGAUUUAAAUCAAAAGAAAAUAUUUCGUGAACAAAUUACUAAUCCAUAAGGUUCUAUGUUUGGACAUUGAUCUCUAUUAUUUCUGCCUUUCACAUUUUUUACCAUAAAAUCGUUUUUACAUAAAAUCCCAAAGGUCACAAUUUCACUUCUAGUUAGAUUUUGUCCUUGGAAUAAUUUGAUUGUUUAGGCCCAAUUCCUUUGUUAAUUGCAUGGAGGUCCUUUAACUUCCGAACUUCCGAACUUGUUAUCUUGGUCCUUGAUUCCAGAUUCUGUCCAAUGUCCAUCCUUCUUGAUCAAAUAUCGUCCCCUUUUAUUGUUUCCUGUUCAAUAUUGUUUUUUCUUCUAAAAUAAUUAACAUAUACACAAAAUUAAGUAUCUGGCUCAUAAAAGUAUUUCCAAACACCCACUUUUGAUGGCUUAUAUAAGUGUAAAAUCAUACUUAUCAACUGUCAUAGAUAUACAACUUCAAGAGCCGAAUGAUCUUUUUUUGAGGUAAAUAGUGAUUUACUCAUUUGUAUUGCAUAUUUGUGUCCGCACAAUUCACUAAAGGACAAGUGAAUUCAAUUGUGUGAGUAAUAUGCCCAAGAUUUUAAAUCAGUAGAAACCUUGGCAUUGAUGAGCAAAUUUAUAUAUAUAUAUAUAUAUAUAUAUAUAUAUAUAUUAUUGAUAUGCACACUCAUGAGAUUUUAAUAGGGCUAGGAUAGGAGACCUUAAUGAUAUUGCAUAAAAGUUGUUUCUAACGUGAAAAGGUGUAGCAAUUACUUUACAGGCUUGUAACAUUGGUGUUAGUUAUUUCAGGCUUUAGAGAUGAUAAUUCUCGGCGAUGAAGUUUGUGAAGAAUCGAUUGCGUAAUUAGAAAGGAGAUCAAUGGUUGAAUGACACUUUGGUGGCGUAUAUUAGAACGAUGUAUUUGACGAUAUCGACAACGAUGUAAUUAUACGAUAUUUUCAAAAUAUGUAAGCGUGUAGGCUAUAAUUGUAGUAAAAUAUUGACUUAUUUUCAUCAAUACAUUGUUUUAAAAAAGUGUAUCUUAAUUUUCAAUCAUACAAUGAAAAAUGUCUGGCUUUGGAAUGAUAUUAGGCUUGAUAAAAUCAAUUAUCUUCGGUGGCAAAACCAAUUUCUGAAUGUCAUCAUGGCUAAUGGAUUAGUAGGUUUUAUAGAUGUUACAUUUACUUUUCCAUCCAAGUUUGUUGUACAACUGCUCAUUCGGUCGAAAUUUUUAUUUUUUCGAUAUUAUGACUUCAAGCUUUUCAUUUCCCAUCGCAUGUUGUUCUUCCUGAAUUUGCUUAUCAGAUUCUUAAAUUGCUUGCUCAGACCCUCUGCCACAGAACUUUCCUUAUCAUGAAUUUGUUCGUAAGAUUGUAGGUUAAGGAUUUCCUUCAAAUAAAAUAGAAGAAGAAAAAUGAUAGAUUUUCAUGUAUAUCAAAUUGAAACAGCAAUCUCUACAUAUAGAUGUUAGUACGCCUUUCCAAAGCGUUACAUUUGUCAAAUCUAUUCAUGAUUACAAUUAUAUAUUCAGCAAUACUGAAUGAAAAUAUUCAAGCUUCCCUUCUUAAUUUCUGUACAACUUUUUUAAUUUGCUAUAUGCAUAUUUCCAGAAGCAGCUAAGUUGAUAUGAAACAAAUAAAAUUUUAUUAUUCAAAAAUCAAAAAAACAGAAGAACUACAAAGUUAGCAGUCAUUUUCAAGAUUAUCUUCCACUCUAUCCAUCCCCAAAGUUCAAAACAGGAGGGGGUGUUUCUCCUCUUUCAGUAUUAUUAUGUAAUUGACUCUUCAUGUAAAGAGUUGAUUGAACUGAUUGACUCAAACAAAAAAUAUACAUGGAGGCACCAACAACAAAUGACGACGUAAUUAUAGUUGAUGACGCAAAAUAAGGAUAAUUUCAUUGAAAUAAAUGACGAGCAUCAUUUUUUACUGCCAUGUCAUCGAUAUCCAAGUGACAAAACUAGACUAAGAUCAUGUAAGCAUCUGAAUUCUUGAACACACCAUUCUUUGAAAAGAUUUUCGAGAUGUCAAAUUUGAAUAAAGUUCCUUUGUAUUCAUCAAAAUAACUACAGGCUCUAUCACAUUUGUCGACCUUUAGUUCAUUUUCAAAAAGCCCGUGUUGCAAGAUUGAAGUACUCCUGACCUCCUACCUCCUAGCUAGACAGAGGAUCAGGAUUCGUCUUCAUCUUCAUCUUUGCCCUCGUCUUCCACUUCAUCUUCAUCUUCAUCUUCAUCUUCAGAAUCUACGUAAUCGACCUUUGCAAUAGGAGAUGCAAGCCAAAACUUGUUCAACUGUUUCAGAAUCUAAAGUCCUUUGUCAGCGUUAGCGUUGGCCAUUGACCAGAUCACCAUUCUCUUCAGCUUAGACGAUUUUUCUAGUAAAAGCUUAGUCACUGCCAUCUCAGCAACUGUGCCUGAAAUAAAAUGCAGCUUCACUUUUUGAAGUUGAGUUAAAGUUACAUCUGAGUAGCCUUGCACUUACAGAAAAUCUAGAAUAGGACUACAGAAAAUCUAGAAUAGGACUAGCAUCAGCAUUUGCACUCUCACAAAUCUAGACAAUAAGGCAAGAUAUCACCGAGCUUAAACUUUUGUUUUAAAAUAGAGAAUUGAAGAUGUAAGUCGUAAUGGUCAUAUCCAUCACUUACCUUGAAUCUCAGUUCCUCAAGGUCGGGGGAGCUUCUGAUCAAGCACAGAACACAAGAGAGUUCAUCCAAUAAAUUAGAACAUAUAUAAAAUAACUUCAGAACUUUAAGGUGCAUUAAAGUAGCUGAUAGCCUUUCUUGGGCUUGACCUGCAGCCAAAAUCUUCAAAGCGGUGGUGAAAGCAUGAUCUAAUAUAGUUUAGUCGACGAUUUCAAGGGAUUAUAUUUAUAAUAAAAAAUACCUUAAUGAAAGUAUAGCUCAAGUACACUUUCUGAAGGCCAGGCAGAGAAUCAAAAAACUGAAUGAAGUUACAUUGCCCAUCUUCCAAAAUAUUGUCAACUACCCAAUCAUUAUGUAAAGCAACCAAAAUCAUUGCAAGAUGUGGGGAUUUCUUAAAAUAAAACGAUGAUAUAGGGAAACAUGUCAAUUCAAAGUGUUUUAGCAUAGAGUAUCUAUUUCUACGUAGUCAAAUUUGUUUGAAACAUUCAGCAAUAGUUUCCCCAGUACCGGGCAGCUUGAUAUCAAACUUCCUAAAUUCCUAAUACAUCAGCAUCAAUGGUCACGUCAAACAAUUCCAGCCUAAUUGGUCUAUUAAAUCCUUCAAAGCUUGGUGGUGGAGGAUUGAUCAACCAAGACAACGGCUUCAAAUGUUUCAACUGUAUACACAUAAAUGGUGAAGAAGGCGAUGUGUACUGUUCUCCACUCUUUAUUUUAAAGGUGAAUUCUUCAACACUGUUCUUCCAUAAGAUAUGUAUCAAGUAGUCAAUUUCUGAACAAUUUUUAAGUUUCGGAAUAACGAGGCUCAAUUUAGUUAUGGGUCCUGGAUGAAGCAAAAGAUCCUUGUAAAAGAUCAACAAGAACUUCAUUCUAGCUGAUUCUAGGUUUCCCUUAUUAAGGGAUAAAAAUCCAACAUCGAUUAAAUAUCGAAAUAUUGACCAACUUAAAAAAGAUCUUGGGCUACUCCUCUUAAUCAGAUUGACCUUUUAAGAUGGAACCUCAAAUUUUAACAUGGUAUCAACUCAUUAAACUCCAACGAGCAACUCAAUCCCGAUACGACUCUAAAAAUGAGCACACAGAUUUCAAGAUUGGUUUAUUCAAACGAGCCAACAUCUUGUGGGGGCAUGUUAAGGGAUAAAAAUUUCACAUCGACUAAAUACUGAAAUAUUGACCAAUUUAUAAAAAUCUUGUGCUACUCCUCUUAAUAAGAUUGACCUUUUAAGAUGGAACUCUAAAUCUUCACAUGAUAUCAGAGCUCAUUAAGUUUCAACGAGCAAUUCGAUCCAAUUAAAACUCUAAAAAUGAGCACACGAAUUUCAAGAUUGGUCUGCUCAAACGAGCCACCAUUUUGCGGAAACAUAUUAUUAAGGGAUAAAAAUCCAACAUCGAUUAAAUACCAAAAUAUUGACCAACUUAAAAAAGAUUCUGUGCUACUCCUCUUAAUAAGGCGGACCUUUUAAGAUAGAACCCCAAGUUUUAACAUCCCUUAUAUUCUUGCCAUAGGGUCUCAUGAAAUCUGACGCAUAUUUGUGUGGGUCUUGUAAUUGAAUUUCGUCGAGUCCUAAUGCACUUUAACUUGUUGAAGACUUAAAGGUUGAAUCCCAACCUUGAGGGCCUCCAUCGCUCCGCCCCUGAAGCAUCAUGAGGGAGGUAAAUUGUGGGAUGUGCCCCAACAGGACAGGGAACAAGAGCUUGCCCGUACACUGGUGCCCACAAAGUGUUCAAUUCCAUAUCUUAGGAAUCGAACCCUCACAUUGCGACUGCCAGCAAGACCAAGACUAUCUCACUCCUGUCCUUUGCACCACUGGGUUAUGCCCCGGAGGCUAACUUGUUGAAGACUUUCCUAGUGAUGUAGUGGUUUCACGCUUUAAAGUAGGUUUAAUUUUUCUCAAAAGAGAGAUCAUCAAGUAAAUUUGAGAAAUUCGACUUUCAACACAAGUACAACUUUGUUAAAGUGUUAUAAGUUAAUAUUAAAAAAAUGUUUGAAUUGGUAGAUGAUGAGGAUGGCCAACCUAAUUGGGAAGUCUAGGUACACUUAUUCCUACCUCUUAACAUCCUUGUGUAAACAUGGAAAUGUAAACUUAUAAAGUAAAUAACUUUUAGUUUACGAGAAUUAUAAAUAAAAUAAGUUAUUAAUUUUAACAAUAAACAAGCACAUAUUUAAAAGAAAAACAAAUAUAAAUCGUAAUCAAAAGUUUUAUCCACAAAAAAAUCAUAGAGACACUGCAUUUCUUUAACACGCUUCAUACACGGUGAUUUUGAAUGUGUAUAUGGCGAAUACAUCUACACAUUAGAUAUCUGCAUAUAUAUUAUCAUUUAACAUAUAAAUUAAGCUCAUGUUUGGAAAGGUAUAGCUAAAAAAUUGAUAAAAAUUUAAGUUAAAAAGUCAAAGAUUAAUUUUCAUCACACAUUUAUUAGGAUCCAUAAUUUUUAUCUACUUUUCUAUCAAAUUUAUAAAAUUUAUCAAAAUCCAAUUAAAAUCUAAUUUUCAGCUAAACCAAAUGAGGACUAAUUCGUAUGUAGUAACAUGCAAUCCAAUGCGUAUGCUAGAAGUCAACAUAUGAAUUUUCAAAGCUAUUAUACCUUUGAUUUCACCCAAUAAUAGGAAUCUAUUAAAAAUCUUAUUUUAAGCUAAAUCAGACAGGGGCUAAUUCACAUGUUGUAGCAUGCAAUCCCAUGCGAGCUCUAGAAGUCACUAUAUGACAUUUCCAAACUAUACACAUCUGAUUUCACCCAAUACAAGAAGUAACCAGUCCAUGGCUAGUAACAAUUAAGCCCUUGUUUGAGCCUCAUCCCCCCCCCCCCCCCCCCCCCCCCCCCCCCGAGGGGUUUUUAUUUUGGAAUAGUUUUCCUGGAAAAUGCGUGGUUAAAUUUUUUUUAUUUUUAAAAUCAACUUAUGUGUAAAAUUAAUUUAUUGAAGAAUGUGUGGUUGAAAUUGAGUUUUGAAACAAUGAGUCUUUGGUAAAAUGGAGCUCAAACAAGGGCCAAGUGCUUUCACCAUUACAUUGUGUCCACUUACUUUUAUAGUAAUCUAUCCAACAAAGUAAAGCAUUAGCUCAAAAAGACUUAAGACAGCUUGAAAUUGAAGAUGUAGCUAGCAUAAUAUUAUACGCCAUUCAGAAAAAAAGGGUUUCUAGUCUCAAGAAGCCCACAUCACAAGAUUUCAAUUACUCCUGACCUUUUUGAGCUAGUAAGCGAGCCUGCAUUAAGCUCUACCACCAAAGUUCAUUUUUAUCGAAAGCUUUAAAAAAUGACCUUUGCAUUUGGUAAACACGCUUAAAUUUGUUCGUCUCGAUCAAAAUCCCAAAAUUCUUCGUCAGCAAGUUUCUCUAAUGGUCAUUUCAGCCUGAUCACCAUCUUAUCAAGCUUCGGCGAUUUCUCUAAUAAAAGCUUGACGAGUGUCAUCUCAAGAACUGUUGAAGAAAUACAUUCCAGCUUCACUUUUUGAAGCCGAUUAAAGCUACAAAAAAAUGCUUUCCAACAGCCAAAAAAAUUGGUCGCUAAAAUAAAAAUUCUGGUUGGUAAAAAGUAUCAGCAACCAAAAUUGAAUGAUCGCUGCUUGGUCGCUAAUUCACCGUCGGUGAAUGUGUUUAGUGACCAAUGUUGUUUGGUUGCUAAUUAUGUAACGUUCACCAACCAAAAUCAACUUAUGUGUAAAAUUAAUUUAUUGAAGAAUGUGUGGUUGAAAUUGAGUUUUGAAACAAUGAGUCUUUGGUAAAAUGGAGCUCAAACAAGGGCCAAGUGCUUUCACCAUUACAUUGUGUCCACUUACUUUUAUAGUAAUCUAUCCAACAAAGUAAAGCAUUAGCUCAAAAAGACUUAAGACAGCUUGAAAUUGAAGAUGUAGCUAGCAUAAUAUUAUACGCCAUUCAGAAAAAAAGGGUUUCUAGUCUCAAGAAGCCCACAUCACAAGAUUUCAAUUACUCCUGACCUUUUUGAGCUAGUAAGCGAGCCUGCAUUAAGCUCUACCACCAAAGUUCAUUUUUAUCGAAAGCUUUAAAAAAUGACCUUUGCAUUUGGUAAACACGCUUAAAUUUGUUCGUCUCGAUCAAAAUCCCAAAAUUCUUCGUCAGCAAGUUUCUCUAAUGGUCAUUUCAGCCUGAUCACCAUCUUAUCAAGCUUCGGCGAUUUCUCUAAUAAAAGCUUGACGAGUGUCAUCUCAAGAACUGUUGAAGAAAUACAUUCCAGCUUCACUUUUUGAAGCCGAUUAAAGCUACAAAAAAAUGCUUUCCAACAGCCAAAAAAAUUGGUCGCUAAAAUAAAAAUUCUGGUUGGUAAAAAGUAUCAGCAACCAAAAUUGAAUGAUCGCUGCUUGGUCGCUAAUUCACCGUCGGUGAAUGUGUUUAGUGACCAAUGUUGUUUGGUUGCUAAUUAUGUAACGUUCACCAACCAAAUGUUUGGUCUGUAUUUGGUGGCUGAUAAUAGCAAAAAAUUGGUUGGUAUGUACCCUUUUGCAACCAAGAGUUUGGUCAGUAAAGGUGUAGGUCAAUGAAGGUGUAGAAUUUUUAUUUAUUUAUUUUUUACCAAUGGUUUAGAUGGAAUUUCAGCAACCACAAGUUAGGUUGUACCUUAUUAAAAUUUCUAAUUAAUAAAGUUAAUAAAUAAUGCAAGAGAAAAUAAUAAAAAAAUAUACAAUAACUACAAAAAAAUAAUUGUGAUUGCAUACAUAACAAUUACUAAUAGUUAAUACAUAAAUUAAAAUGUCAUUGUAUAUUUAUCCAACAACAUAUCAUAGACCCUAAUAUAGAAUGUGUCAUAUAUCUCACCAAAUCUAUCCUAUACCUUACAAAAGAUGUCUUAUAUUUUUAGUAACAUAAGUGUCCUAGACUUUAUGAACAAAAGGUAUGUGCAGACAAAAAAAUAAAAAAAUAAAAAAAAUCUAGUUAUAGACUUUUGUUCCAUUCAUACUCUAUAUCUUGCAUCAUCAGUAUCACUGGAUCAAUGAAUUUGCAGAAUUUGAUGCAUGCAAAAAGGGACACCAGUCACCUUUUAAAUAGCACCCUUUCCGAAAGAGUAUGCAGGGCAUCCCUUGUUUAUUAGAGACAUUAGGAACAUCAGAAGGUGUAGAGACAGUCUGCAAUGGAAGUAUAGAAGAUGAAGCAGAAGUUCGUUCUUGUGUUCCCAAUAGUCCAUCCAAUGACUGAAGAACAAAAGAAGAUCAAUACCCACUUUGCUAAUAAUAAAAACGAAUAGUUAAGAAUUGUGAUAUCACCGAAAAUAAAAGAAGAUCAGUAUCUAUGUUUGCAUAUGAUAUAAUAAUACACUUUCGGAUGAUAGAAUAAUGCAAUCUAUGUUAAGAAAGAGAAGGAUGAUAGAAUCCAUACUUGGGAUUCGAGCAAUUACCAUCAAUGCAAUUGAACUUAAAUUAAAUGUAUUUCUACUAGGUGUGCAUAAAGUAGACUAAGCCCUACAAUAAUAAAGUUCUUACUUUAUGUAUUCUCAAAAUAUGAUGAAUGCUAUGUUUUCCUUUUGUAAGGAUCCCGUAUAAUUGAACCUUCACAUGGGUGCAAAUAGAAGCUGCAUCUAUAGCUAAAAAGGACUUCAUAUACACUGUGAACUACAGAGCAUAUAAAAAGGAAUAUAGUAGAAGAAAUACCAAGUAUAAUAAAGAUCACAAACAUUACUGAACUAAACUCAGUACAACAAACCUUCCAGUUGAAUCCAAAAGCAGUGCUCUUAUAUUAUCAGUGUCCUCUACGCUUCAUAAUCUUAGAACCAGAUAUUGGGUACCACACACCCACAACCUAUAAGAUAUAAAAAAUUUGUAGGCCAAUUAUAAGGCAAUCCAAAGAUUAUUAUAUCGUAAGUGUGUUGAAACCAUUACAUUUGAACAUUUGAAAAAACAGGAUACUCCUUAGUAGUCUCUCACAAUAAAGCAAUACAUGAAACAGAAGUAAUAGGAUACUCCAAAGAUGACUAGUAAUAUAUUUGGUUGAAAGAGGCUACACCAGAUAGCAACCAUCAUGCCAGUACACAAAUUUCUCUUCCUUGAACAUCAAGUGGAUCUGCAAGCAGGAAUAAGGUUUUACUAGGUUGAAUGGCUUAAAAUGAUCUUUCCAAUCCAUCUAGACGGAAAUACAUGGGCAAAGCCUAAACAACGAUUGGUUCGAUCCAUCUUAUUGAUUGGACUCAUAAGAAUUAAUGAAUCUAUCAAAUAGAUAAAAUGAUCUAAACUAAUCCAGCAACAUUCAUUUCCUUUUCAUUUUAUUGUUUCCUUUUCAUUUUAUUAUCCGUUCUUUGUUAAACCUUCUGUCUACACACAAAAUGAAGUAUUUUACCUUGAUUUACAGCAAUAACUUCCUCAUUGCUUAUAACUUCAAAUGUCUCUGAGUCACGUUUCUUAUAUCACAACCAAUCAAAAGAGGUGCCAGCACAUUCAACAAAAUGCCAAUUAAUUCGUGGAGGAUUGAGAAGGCGAAUGUUAUUUUAUGUUGAUUACAAGAAUACCUCAUUGUUUGACAAUGGUUCCGAUGAAAGAUUCAUGCUUUUAAGCUGGUAGAUGACAAGUUAUUAAAAAGGAGACACUAACAAAGUAUAGUAUUAUAUUUGGUUGAAAUCUAUGUUUUAUCGGAACCAAAAGUACAGUUGGGAGGUAUGCAUUAGUGACAGCAAUGAAUACCGAUAUUUUUUUAACAGUCCCAUAAAAAAACAUUAACCUCGAAAGGAAAUAUAGAGAUACACAAAAGAGUUAAUCGAAGAAGAGAGAAAGUAUACCCAAUCCACAAGCAAUUUGAAUGUAGCAGAGUAGGCAGCAACAUCUUCAGCUAAUGCCCGUCUCUUUAAUGUUCCAUCACAACUCCUAGUGAAGAGAUAAUUAUACGCAUAUAGAACUGCAAAUAAAGGAACUGCCCAACAGAAGAGACGACAAAAAUUAGUACGCAAUCUGCAGUAGCAUAUACUUGUAGGGACAAUUACGAAGAUUCAUAAUUGGUUGAAAGAUUGACGUACUCAAACCUCUCCAGUUUUGGGUAAUUGCUGUGAGAACUGCGAGUAGGGAGAGACGAAAUGUCGAAGGGAGUGUAAUUUGAAAAUUUAAUUUAGCCCCUGUUUGAGCCCAUUUUUACCUCAUUAAAAUGAAAAAUAUGAUCGUUAUCCAUCACAUCAAACCAUCAUUUUUAAAUUUCUAUCUCUGGUGUGGGGCCUAUAACGGCUCUAUUUCUCAUUCUCAUUCUCAUUCUCAUUAUAACGUGGCUCAAACGGGCUCUUAGGGUUUCGAAUGGGAUAGGUCUCAUUUUUCCGAUUUAGGCUAUUCAUUCGGACAUCAACAAUUAUAUUAUAUCUGAAAAUUGUGUUAGAUGUAUAUUAUAUUUUUAUUUAUUACUUAGCCGAUGUUUAUUUUUUAUUAUUUGUCCAUUAAAAUGAAAAAUAUAAUUAUUAUCCAUCACAUCAAGCCACCAUAUUUGACUUUAUUUCUCUUGUGUGAACCCGUAAUGACAAUAUUUUUCAUGCAUAUUCUUACAUUAAUGUGGCUCAAACAGGGCCUUAAAAAUAUUUAUAAAUUAGUAUUAAAAAUGACACUUUUGUUAGGAAAUUAAUAAUUUUAUAGAUAAUUUAUUUUAAUUUUUUUUAUCGAAAGUACUAAUAACUAAAAUAUGGCUGUUGAUUUAAAAGUGCAUCUCCAUUGACCAACAAAAAUAUGUUCAUUGGUCGGUAAAAUGUCUAUACUAAAUUCUCCAAUGAUAAAAAUCAAUGUUGGUUGCUAAAACCCAUUAUUGACCAAUUCUUGAUCGCUAAUUAAUUCUUCAAAAAUAUCACUAGCCAAAUUAAUAAAUAAUCUAGACGACAUCCUUCGGUGACCACAUCAAAUUUGGUUGAUGAUACACAAAAUCAGCAACCAACCCUUGUUUGGUUGAUGAAACAAUCUUCCAUAGACCAAAUAUUGGUCGUUGCAUCAUCAUUAACACCAACCAAACAAAGUGAUUGCUAUAACUUCAAAUAAAAAAUGUCCACUCCUUUUAGGGGUUUUAGCGACCAUUUUGGGCAUGGUUGCUGAAACAUUCCUCCAAGGACUAUAAAUUGGUAGCUAAAUCAUUACAUAUUUCCGACUAUAUCACAAUGGUCGCAAAACCCCAAUAAAAAAGGUGGGAUCUAUUCCCUCCAAGGGCUUCAGUGACCAAUCUAUAUAUGGUUGUUGAAACAAUCUUCCAGCGACCAAAUAUUGGUUGCUAAAAGUGCCUGUCGCGCAAAAUAAUUUUGCUUGCUUUUUCCCACCUAUUUAUUAGCGACUAAAUUGUGUUUGGUGGCUAAUACAUCGAAUCGGCAACCAUUUUUUGGUUGCAAUAGGGCACAAGAAAAAUAAUACAAUUCUAUCCGACCAAAAAUGUUACCAACCAAUAAUUGGUCGGUAAAUGUGGCUUUUAGCGACCAAUUUUAUUUGGUCGCUAAAUCUUUGGUCGGUGGAGCCCUUUUUUGUUGUAGCAUAUAUAUCCGAGUAGUCUUGCAACCUCAAGAAGUCUAAAACAGGAUGUGCUUCAGCAAGUGGGAGUGGCCUAUGCAAAAUCUACACAAUAUGACAAAAAGUCACUUAUCUUAAACUUUUAGGUUAAAUUGGAAAAUAGAGUAUCGUAAACUGUAUAGUCGUGUCCAUUACUUGUCUGGUGUUUCAGUUUCUCAAGAUUCGGGGAGCUUUUGAACAAGCAAAGAACAUAAGAGAGAUCCUCCACUGAGUCUAAACAUACAUAACAUAAAUUUAGAAUUUUAAGCUGGACUUCAGUAGCUGGAAGCCUUGUUUGGAAAUCUUGGAAGCGGAUGGCAAAAGCAUGAUCAAAUAUAGUUAAAUUGAUGAUUUCAAGGAAAUUAUAGUUAUAAUCAGCCAUACCUUCAUCAUCUGAUAGUCCAUGCACAGUUGAUGGAGUGAGGGCAGGGAAUCAAAAAACUCAGUGAAGUUAUAUUUUCUAUGAAUGAUAAAAUUGUAACGGAGAGAGUGGGGAUUUCUUAAAAUAAACAUAUGUGCAGAAUAUUUCAAUUUAACGAGUUUUAGCUUGGGAGCAUUAAUUGUUAAGUGGUGAAAUCCAGCUGGGACAUGCAACUCCAGUUGCUUCUAAUACUUCAGUAUCAAUGAUGACAUCAAGCAAUUCCAGUGUAAUCAGCCUAUUAAAACCUUUGAAGCUUGGUGGAGGAUUGAUCGAACAAAAAGAAAGUUUCAAAUGUUUCAAUAGUGAACAUGUAAAUAGUGAAGAAGGCAAUUUGUACACUUCACCCUUCUUCAUUUUCAAAGUGGAUUCUUCAACAUCUUUCUUCCAUGAGAUAUAUAUCUAGUGGUCAAUUUCAGAACCAACUCUGAGUUUUGGAAUAAUUAGUGAUGUCAAUGGGCUGAGCCCCUUAAUCUCAUGAGCUCGGCUCGCGCUCAUGGCGAGCCGAGCUCGUGGCUCAUUUUCAACGAGCCAAGCUCGACCUCGGCUCACAAGCUCGUGGCUCGUCCGAGCUCGUGGACCUAGCCGAGCUUUGGCUUGCGAGCUCGUCAUCUUUUUCUUUUUUUUUUAAAUAGAGAAAAGCACAAAUAAUGUAAUAAAAAUACUUUUUUAAAAAAUAAAAAAUGUUAAAAAAUACAAAUAAUUUAAUGAAGACAUUUUUUUCUUUUUUUUAUUUAUAUCAUAUUGUAAUAUUUUUUAUAAAGUAUAAAAUAUUUAUAUAAUGAAAACGAAUUGUUUUUUGAAAUACAUUUACAAAAAUACAUUUUUUUCAAUUUCUUUUUAAAGUAAAUAAAAUGUAAACCCUCCUUCUUUAUCCGAGCUUGGGACCAAUUACAUCAAUUUUAAGUAGACGAAGUUAAAAAUUGUACACAAACAACUUGUUAUAACGUGUAUAAUUUUUAAAGAAAAUUAAAUUUAACGAUUAAAAAAUAAGAAAGUUUUGAUUAAUAUAAUUAAAUCAAAUAUCACUUACUUGACGACAUGCAAUUUCAGCACAUUUAUCUUGUAAUCGAAAAUGAGCAUCCUGUCAAUCUUUCACGCACAUUAAUGCUUCCAAAUAUCUUCUUUCAGUCGGCUCCUGAUAUCGAUCAAAAUACAUUUAUCUGCACUAAAAGUAGACUCCGAAACAAUAGUGCUAAUCGGAGGUGUCAACAAAUCUUUCGCAAUUACGGAAACAAUUGGCCAACGUCUUUCAUACUUUCGCCAGAAUUCAAUUACUUCCUCUGAACUUUUUUAAUUGUUCCGUUUGUUGGUAUAUUAUGAUUGAAGUAAUCAAUUAAUUCGGAAGACAUCACACUUUGAGUUGCGACCGAUGUUUGAUGAGAUGCAAAUGUAGAUGACAUGACACUAGAUGAACAUAUUGCAGUUGCAUCAUAUCUAAAUGUAUUAAUGCCUUGAAAUAAAUUCAUUAUUUCGACAUCAUCUUUUUCAAUUUCAGCCGAAUGAGUAGGUGUAGAGAGUACCUGACUAAUAUUCCCACCUAUUCUUUUCGCAUAUAAAUCAUACAUUCCACAUAAUAUUUGCUCUAAAUUAUUAUAAGUGAUAGGUAUAUCAAGCAUUAAGACUUUAUUGAUUUGAUCAAUUAGGUAUUUAGUUCUCGAAAUAUUAUAUCGGGGGUCCAUUGCGCAUGCUAAAGGAAAUAACAUAGGCAGUUUUUCCCAAUAUUUUUCUAAACUUUAAUUCCAUUGCAAUUAUAAUUUCACUAAUAUCAGGAUUAUUUGUAUAUUUAUGGAAUGUUCUUACAACUAUAUAAAGGAGUUCAAGCACCAUAUAGCUUGUGGGAUAAUAAACGCCGGACAAAAUCUUUGUGAUCUCAUAAAAAGAUGUCAAAAAUCGUUUAACUUUCAAAGCCUAAACCCAAUCGGAUUCAUUCAACAUACCAUCGUCAUCACUUCUAACGUGUCUAUUAUUAUAAAAGUCAGUUAUUAAAUGUUCAAAACCUUCAUAUGACUUUAAUAGCAAGUAAGUAGAGUUCCAUCUAUGGCCUACGUCGCUAUCAAAUGUUUUAGCAGCCGUCACCCCUAGUUCGGCAUAAAAAUCUUCAAAUGCUUGUUUUCUACUAGGAGAGAUCGUAAUAUAUACUAAUACAUUCCUAAUCCUUUGAAAUUCAUCAUUUAUAUGUCUUAGGCCAUUUUGCACAAUUAAAUUCAAGAUAUGGCACACACAAUGAAUAUGAAACAAAUGCCCACCAAAAUUAGGUUGAAGUGUCCUACACAAUUUAUCGACGACUACUUUAUUAAUACUAGCAUUAUCAAAAGUAAAAGACCAAAUUUUAGUCUCACAAUUAUAUUCUCUAACAAUACUGGCAAUAUCAUUAUAUAUAUUAUUAGUAUUGUGAGGAAAUUCAAUAAUUCUAAAAGCAAUAAUUUUUUUAUGCAUGCACCAAAGUGGGACUAUAUAGUGUGCGGUUGCGGCUAUAUAUGAUCUUUUAUUAACCUCUUCCAAUAUAUCAGAAGUUAAAGAUGUAACACCCCAUAUUGUUGCAAAUCCAUAAUUAAUUGUUGUUUUGAAUUAUUGAAAAUAUUGCAUUAUAUUGGCACGAAGAGUAUUUCGACUUACCCCAACGUACCUUGUUUGCAGAUAUUCUUUCACGAACGAGACGAAGUGUUGGUUGUUUGCAAUAGCCAAAGGCAACUUAGUGGCGGCAACAAAUUUCACCAUUUCGGUUCGAGUAUUGUCUUCCGAAUAAACCCACGUGGAUAGGGGUGAAGUCGUAGAACCAACGCCUGGAUUGCCAAAUUGCAAUUGUGUUUGACCAGCUGGAAGAAGUCCAUGUUUGGCCACACAUGCUUUGUAGUGGCGGUUGAGAUAGGUGGUACCAAUUCCUUUUUGCCAUACCAAUCUUUGUUGACAGUAUUUACAUACUGCCUUAGAUUCUGCAAGGCCAUCGAUGACUUUUUUCGUUGAAAUCAGCUUAAAAUGAUCCCAAAAUAUUGCUUGUUUUUUGUCCUUUUGCUUUUCCCUUGCAUUUAGAAUGUUUAAUUCAGCAUCUUCGUUCUCAUGUUCCACUUCGGAAACGUUAAUAUAAUCCAACUCAAUUGGAUUGUGGCUUUCCUGAUCGUGAAUGUGAAUAUCUUCAGUAUGAAUACGUCAUUUAGACCGGCAAAUUCAUUUGAAAACUGACUUUACAGCGUCCUAGGCGAUUCGCCAUGUGGUCCACAUUCCGUAUUGAAUAAGCUUUUAACAAAUGAGCGUUGAUCCAUUUUUUUGAUUGUUUAUGAUGAAAUCCAAAUAUAAUAACUAGAACAAUAUAAAUGUAGUGAGAAUUGAGAAUUGGAUGAAUUGAAAUUGUAACUGAAUAAACUGUAAAAAAUGAAUCGAUAUUGUUUAUUUUGUAGCACAAGAGAGUAAAAAUUUGACAAUUGAUAUAAUAAAAGAGAGUUGAGAAAUGAGAGGUAGUGAAUUAGAGGAGACAAUUGAUAUGAGAAAAAAAAAGACGAGUUAAAGGGUAUUUAUAGUAGAAGGGAAAAAAAUUUAAAAAAUUUCAGCGACCAUUUUGGUCACUAUUUUCACGAGCCACAAGCCGAUCGUGGGUGGCUCGUCUUCAAGGUGAGCCAAGCGGGCUCGGCUCGUUUCUCGACGAGGCCAGCUUGGCUCGUGCUUGGGCUUGUGAUUGUACGAGCUCGAGCCGCCCACAAACUCUAUUUCGAUGAGCCAAGCGAUCGAGCUGACGAGCGGGUCGGCCCUUUUGACAUCCUUAGGAGUAAUGAGGCUCGACUUAAUUAUGGAUCCUUGGUGAAGUAAAAGAAUCUGGUAAAGAAUCCCUACAAACUUCAUUCUAGCCAAUUCUUGGUUUCUCUUUUGAUUCUUGCCAUGUUGUAACAUCAAAUAUCAGCUGUGGCAGUUUGACCCAUUUGUUGGGAAUCUACUUAACGUGUGCAGCGAAAAAUUAAAAAAAAAAUUCAAUUCCCACGAGGAAGAGGUUGUACAUUUUCUAGAUCUGCAAACUUCUUUGCCUUAUCUUUGUUCCAGCAACUUGGAUCUAUCUCCCACAGCUGUCUAAUUGUUCAGCCUCCAACGGUCAUCCACAUAGAGAACAAGAUUGUAGGAUUAAGGUUUUUCUUGUGCUAGAAAGAAUAAUGAAAAAUUUCUAAAGUUUUUGAAAACCUUAAUCAUAUUUAUAUAAGCCCGAAUGGGCUGGGCCGGGCCUGACCUAGUCCAAUAUUUAAUUAACCCAUUUAAUUAAAUCCGGUUCAUGAAUUGAUUAAUCUAAUUAAUCAAUUCAGGCCUAUAAAUAAGCAACCUAAUUUAUUAAUUUAUUCAACACUUGUUAAAUUAAUUAAUUGACAAGUCACAAUCUUCUAAUUCUCCUUUUGUGUGCAACCCAUUAGGUUUCCGAUCACGAUACCUAACGAUGUGAAAUAUUAUUUUGAUCUAAUCAAAAUUGAUAAAUUAAAAUAUCCUUUUAAUUUAUCACCAAUUCACACUCGUUGUCCAAGCUUGACAUAUAACAAUGUGUCAGGGCAAUACAUGUGAUGAGAAAUGUUACGUGGUAUGAGAAAACCAAACUCGUUCAUUUACCGUCAAACUAUAAUCCCUUCGUCAAUAUGAUCCGAUCAAUUACGAGAUAUAGAAGUGUGUCAAUCUCGACUAUCAAUCAUAUCUUUUACUCCACUAAUAAGUCAAUAUAAGUCAAAAACUCCUUUUCGACUUAUGAGUACACCUUGGCCAAGAAUUUUAUUAUUGACUUAAUUGAAUGAAAUGCAGAUCAUAAUCUCUUACUAUGUAAGAGUGACGAAUCCUCUAUUAGUCAUUCACAACCUUCACAUGAUUCUUGACAUACUCGAACGAUGUGGUAUUAGUGGCCCUUGGCAGAGCAACAUCCAACACUGUCAAAGCAUUACUAUCCUCAUAUAAGGUACUAUGAUGACAUCAAGUCAAAGAACAAAUUCCACUACCGAACGUUAGAAAUUAACCACUGACAUUCAGAUAGUUAUCCAUAUAGAAUCUCUCGACGGGUCACCAAUGUUUUGUUCUAUAGCAAAAUAUCCACGGGUUCAUUCAAGUGUCACCACACUUUAGCUUGUGAGAUCAGCUACUUACUUCAUAAGUAAGAAAUAUCACACGUGAUGGUCUAUCUGUAAUAACGAUAUAUAUAUCUCGUUAUUACUUACGACCACAGACGAUUUAAGAUUCAAUCACAUAUAACUUGUAUCUCACAAUCACAACUCCUUGUGAUUAACAAAUUACGAAAAUUUGAAUCUGCGGACUCUAUUAUAUAAUUUAAUUGUAUAUUAAUUAAAUAAUAGAUCUAACAUUAAAUUGCAUUAAUUAUGUAUUAAAAGUAUUUAUAUACAAAGUUGAUUGGAACUAGGACAUAACACUUACACCAUUUAUACCUCCAUUGCUUUCACAAGACACAAGUCUUUGCAGCAUCACGUACUAUCAAACACAUUAAUAUGAUCUAUAUGACAUUAUCAGGAAGGUCACUUAUCAUAUCAAUAGGCUCGAAUUGGGCAAUCUUCAUUCUGCUAUGUAAUUGGCUAACAAAAUUCUGUAACAACUCUCAAUUAAUAAAAAUUUCAAAUUGCCUUAAACUAACUUGCAUGCGUGUAGAAGAUAUAAACAAAUUCUGCAUUAAGUUCACAAAAUUUUGUUCGCUUUAUUUUAAUUUUUUACACCGAUAUUUUUAAUAGUUAUCGAAUUGGUCAUAUCACUAAGAAAGUAGAGAUAAUAUUCAUAGUUGAUAUUUACAUUUGCAUAUGCUUAAAAUAUACUUUUGAACAGAAUUUCAAUAAAAAAAAAAAAAAAUUCAUGUAGCCCAUCCAAACUUAUUCACAACAAUCUUUAGUUGUUAUUAUUAUUAUUAUUAUUAUUAUUAUUAUUAUUAUUAUUAUUAUUAUAACUCAGAUAUCCAAACUUCGCCUAAAUAAUCCUGAGCAGUGGCGGCCUUCCCCCCUGGUUUACCACCCGGCUAAAUCCGGAUGCGAACACAACUUAUACACAAUUGGGCUGGACAUUCAGGAUGCUGCUCUUCUCCCUGUAAACUUUCCUUUACGACGUGCGGACAAGACCCCCGAAGAGGUGACAAAGCGCACCAUAACUUUGCCUCCAUAGAACAACUACCUUCCAACAUAAAUGUUGCCUUCUAGCUACCAUGGGGAGUCGAACCUCCGAUAUCCGUGUGGAACCCUCCUGCUUUACCACUACACCAUGCCCGUGAGGGCACAAUCUUUAGUUUGUUGUUAUUCUUAGUGGUGGACAAGGUGGCCAACUGCUCAUUCUAAUAAAUUAUGAGCAAACAAUAAAAUAAGCACCUCAUAUAUAUUGUUUCAAGUUUUAUUGAAUUGUAUGCAUAUUAUAAUUAACUUUAAUUGGCAUGUCAAUCGUCUUGGACUUUCAAGGUAUAAUCCACUACAACAUUUUAUUAGUCACAAUGAAGAUAAAUUAACAAUAAACAUAUAACAUUUCAUUAGGCAGUAUUACAUUUGCAAAAAUUAGGACAAGAGAAAUGUGAUGUUACAUGUUAAAAUUAAUUUUUUAGUCAAUUUUGAUAAAAAUUGAUGUAAUAGGUGAUUAGAAAGUUAUGAAUAUCAUAAAAUACGUGAUCUAAAUGAAUUAUUGAUUUUGACUUUGAUAAAAAUUUAAAUUUAAAUUCCCAUCCCAAUACCUACUUACCCACAUGAAUAAUGAUUGAAAAUUAGAUGAUGUGGCAUGGCUUAUUAAAACAAAAGAAAAAGAAACACUACCUCUACAAGUGUAAAAAAUCGGGAAAUGGGAAUUCAUUCUACCAUUUUAACCCUACUUUGCGUCGACUCGCGCCACUGCCAAACCCACCCAUCGCUAAUUUUCAAUCCAUCUCCGACGCAACUCCGACCACUGGGUAAAUAGAAAGACUACAUUUCACACCAUUUUUCCCAAAUUUUGUGUCGAUCUUACAACCGAAAACCCAUCCAUAUCGAGUCAAAAUCCGGGGAACUGACCGGAGAACUUUGAGCUAUUUGUAAACAAGAGGUUGGACGUGUUCCUUACAUCCCACCACUUUCAUCAGCAAGUCUGAAACUUGCUCUAACCCUAAAUGAUAGAAAAAGGUAUUUUCUCAUCCUUCCUUGAAUGCAUCCAAAUUUGUUUAAAUUUAUUGUUAAGUGGUCACAUGAGUCCAUAUGUUGUCAUCCUUCGCCUAUUACCCACAACAGAUAACUGAGUUCUAUUGACCUGAGUUUGAAAACUUGAACAGAGCAUAACUUAUACGUCACUCAUUUUUGUUCUAUUCUGGAUCCGAAAUUAUGGAAGAUGAUAACCAUGACUUGUUUAUCAAAGUGUGUACAUUUGAAUAUUUAACCUUUGUUGUAUUUGUUUUCAUCAAUGUCUUUCUUGAUUUCUUCAUGUAUGGAACCGAUCUUUUUAUGACAAACAUAUCUCUUCUCAUUGACAGAGGCAUUGAAGCUAAACAGCCAAACUCUGCUAUUGGUAAAUGUGCUGGGGUUAAACUCAUUAAGAAUAACAAGAAGAUUGCUGCUUUUGUCCCCCAUGAUGUUUGUUUAAAUGUGCUUUACUUUGCUAGUGAAAUUAGUACAUCUAGAAAUGUUCAUACUUCUUAAGCAUGGAUGCCUGAUAUGUAAUUUGCUGGAUAUUAUUUCGUAUUUUCUUUUAAUUUACUGUAUCAGAAUUUGUGUUGCUAUGUGUUGAUAUUUAGAUAAUCAUUUUCUGGUCUCUCUCUCUCUCUUGCAGUUGGAACAUUGCAUGCAUUUUUUUUUAUUGAUAAUCAAGUAAUAUAUUUUGGCCAAAUUAAUUGAAAUCCUAUGUAACUUGGGCAUGCUUUUCGGCCGUGUGAUAGUCCUUUCUAAAUGUGGACAAGGCACAAUGUUGGCUUAAUAACUCAGCUUGGUCGAGCUCGCCUGUACUAGUCGUGGAGGAUCGGCACAACUAUUUCUCCAAGGCCACAACUACUAUUUUGUCCUAGGAUAGAAGGCUAAUAUAAGUCUGUUGUCACAAAAAAGUUUGUUGAUUCAGUUUGUAUAUUUGUUUAUCAAAGUGUGUACACACUUUUGAUAUGUUAGUUUUUUACUUUUGAUAAAAACAACUCUUUCUAUUACACAAUAGUUUGGAUUACGACUAUUCAACUUCGUUCAAAUGUACACGUAUUUGCAUUUUAUUGUUUGACUAUUCAAAUGUACACACGUCACAAUAUUAUUUAUUUACGUGCUUUAUGGUAACCAAUUUUUAUUACCAUUAUUGCAUUGACAAAGGUUUUCAACAUACAGUGAAUUGAAGCACACAUUGCAGUGAGUCUAAUGUCUAAACACAAUAAGAAGAUACUUUGGUUCUUUUCAUUCUUUUAACCGUGUUCUAAAGUCUAAAUAUUUGGGCUUGUCUUAACUUAAUGAGGAAACCGGUUCUGUUGCCUUGUCUUCUACACUUAGCAAAAUGCCCAGUUUAGUAUAGGAAACUUUCAUUUUGGGACACAUAACAAAUGUUAUCAACUACACAACACAAGCAACUUUUGUCAAAUAAUUUGGCCGGGAUGUUUGAAAAUAUAAAUGAGAACAAUUACAUGACAAAUUUCUAAAACCAUAACAUAUGUUACAACGAACCUCAUAACAAUCAUAUGUCAAACGAUCGAACAAUUAUGACAAGAUUAACCGUACAUCUAAUAUCCUACAAUGACCAAACCGUUCGUUCAUUAUGAUAAUCCAUAAAGCAAAUUCAAAUAAGCCGUUUAAGUCUAACCCUUUCCUUUCCCUUCCCAUCACACUUUGCGAUUUCCUAUCCUUUAAUAAAACUCAGGCGCAAUGAUAUGUCCACGUCUAGUUUCUCGCUAAUUCGAGCUAGAUUGUCAAAGAGUUUUGGCAACUCUUCAUAUUCCACGUUCGACGCAUGAUUCACCGCUUCAUUAACGGAACUCGACUCCAUGCUUAACACUUCUUCUUUUACCCAGUCAAAAUAUUCACAAUCAUUACUACAAGUGAAGAACAAUCGUCCUUUGUUACUAACAUCCCAUUCGACCUCAAAACAUUUUCGAUAACCGUGUUUACACGAAGGGCAUCGACGUUUUGAUUGGCAUUGUCCAAAGUAGCGAGUGUCAAAUUCCGGAAUUCCUUCCUCUCAUUCUAGUCGAUCCUAGCUAAAAAAACAAAUAAACAAGCAUGAAUGCAAUUGAAUCACAAAUUCCCAUAUCAACUACCUAAACCUCACCAUCCAUGUCAAAAAGCAUUACCCAAUUUGAUUGUCGACAUUAAAGAAUCAAAAGCAAAAGAGUAAAGGCAGAGCUAUAUGACCGACAUUAACCAUUCAAAACCAACAAUUCUGAUUAUCAAACAAGGCAUUAAACUAUUCGAGUCUCUGUCUAAAUGCAAGCCAUAUAAAAUCAUAUUAUCAAUGCCAUAUUAUUGAGUGUGGCCCCUUGAAAAAUCAACAUUGGGGAGAUUUAAUGUAAGAAUAAAAAAAAACCACCAAAAUUAAAGUAUAGAACCAGAAAAGAAGAACUACUUAUACAUUAUCACCGGAGAUGGAGCACAGUGUGGAGGUGAACGGAGUUCAAUGCGUUGUCGGCGAUGGCAAGUGAGUACGAAUGGCGGAUGCUAACUUGGUAUACCCUUCGUUGGUGCCGAUCUUUUGUGAUGGUGAGUGCAUACAUGGAAAAGUGAUUUGGGAGGAAUGAAAGAAAUUUCUUGAUAGUGCUUGGAGGAAAAUGGUUCAGACGGAAUGGGAGAAAUGGGAGAGAUAGUUUGGGGCAAGUUUUGGGGGAAAUUUUUGUAGUGGGUUUCUUUAUCUUUUUUUUUUUUAGUUUGUUUGUCUUUUUAUUUUUUAAUUAAUAGGCCAUGCCGCCUCAUCAAAUUUAAAAUCCUUUACCCAUUCUGUAGUGCCUUUUCUGUACCCAUAGCUAAAUUGUACCUCAUAUGCUUCAUAUGAGAUGUAUAGCACACUUUCCUCAAUAAUUAGUUAAUUACUUUACUAGUCUUCUCUCCUUAAUAAUUACUUUACUAGUCUUCUUUCUUCAUCCGUUUACAUUUCCUUCCAUUUUUUGGUUCAGAGCUACAACCUCCAUUUCCAUGGCUUCUAUGCUAUAAGCUAAUCAAACCUUUCUGCUUUUGCUUCAGUGGUAGCGCUUAUUGUGUUUUAAGCAAAAAUUUAGAGGGUAGACAACAUUCGCUUUCACUAUCUUUCUUUUUCCCUGCAAUUCGACCAUCCUUUCCUUUCCUUGCAAUGGAUAUCUCAUUCACUGAUCCGUUUACUAGUCCUAUAAAUCUCCUUGAAAUUGUGAUCGAGCAUAUAUCACGUGUCUCCUCCUCACAUGUACAUAUAAUUUAUAUGUUAACUGUGCUUCGAGAUUUACUAUACCGUAGAGACUUUGAAGAUAUUGAAGAAUUCAGAAACUUUUUCCAAGUAUUAGUGUCAUUUGGGCAAGAGCUUAUGGUGCUCUUUACAGUCCCUAACCAGCAAAUCUUGUUCAAUUUAACUCCUACUCUCAAUUAUAAUGAAGUUGGUGUGGCCUUCAUCAACUUUUACCUCUUAAUGGUAGAAGUUAUCAUACAUUUUGAGGAAGAGUUGAUUGCUUGUUUAAAGGGUACGUUCCAAAAUCUCCGGACAGAGCUUGGAUUUCUCAUAAAUUUUCUUGGGGAUACAGCAAUGCAUUUGCAGCCCACCUAGACUAUAUUGAUAGAUAUCGAAGAUGUGGUCAAUGAGGUAGGAAUUUUCUUGUAUUCCUUACUUUUGGCCAUUGUUGUAUUUAUUCUGAUCAAUAAAGAAGAAGAAGCCUGUACUAGAAUAAUGGAUUUGGAAUUUGUGGUUGAUGAGGUAAAAAGUCUAAUUCAUUCCAAAUUUUUCCACUUACCAUUGCUAUCCACUAUGGUGAAGUGAAGAAAAAGAAGAAAAAAACAGAAAAAGGCAAUGAUGGAUAUCAAAGCUCUGCUCCCAAAAAUAGGAAGUUUAUUAUAUAUCUUUAUUUUCACCGAGGAUGAUCAAGUUAUGGAGACAGGAAUCUUGGAUCUUGCUCUUUCUGAUUUAUUUACAAACUUUGAGACCUUGAAAGCAAAGAUUAAAGAGCACUGCAUCACGGUCUCAAAGAUGCCAAGUGAUAUCGCUCCAAAGACUAGUGUGCUUUCACUCUUCAUUAUUGAUUCUGUCCUUGAUGAUCUCAUAGAUCUAAUAAAUAACAAGUCUGACUGGAUUGUUGUUGUGAAUGAUCAAAUUGUAACACUCCACGAGGAGCUAAUGUUAUUGGGAUCAUCCAUCACAGAUAUAGCACUGCAGCACGAAGUAGAACAUGAAGAACUUGUGACACGGAGCAAAGACAUAGUAUAUGAAGUUGAAUUUGAAAUCAACUCAUUUCCUCAUGUUUGGUAUCUUAUUCUCCGGCUCCCUCAACUCAUCGACAAGAUUCGGCUUAUUGUGAUGGCUAUCAAAGAAAUGAAGAACAAUAUUGAAGUAGUCAGAAUGUCAAAUGUUUCAAAACAUCCACAUGAACACGUAGAGCCACAGUCAAAAGAACCUUCCAUUUUGGAAGACAUUGUUGUGGGAUUUGACAAUGUAGUAAUUGAAAUCACAGAACAACUUGUUGGAGGAACAGGCCAGCUGCAAAUUAUUUGCAUCUUUGGGAUGUCUGGACUUGGUAAAACGACCUUGGAAAAUAAAUUAUAUAAACAUCUCUCCAUUUUAUACCAUUUUUACAAGCGUGCCUAGUGUGUUGUUUCUCAAAUAUAUACUAAGAAAAAUAUAUUGAUUGAAAUUUUGGGCUCAAUGAAUAACAGUAAGAGGGAUACAUACAUGAAAAAGGAGGAAGAAAUCUUGGUUCAAGAUCUUUACAAAAACUUAAAAAGAAGGCGAUUCCUCAUUGUGAUAGAUGACAUUGGGAUAUCAGUGUGUGGAUUGAUUUGAAAAGUUGUUUUUUAGAUGACGGAAUUGGAAGCAGAAUCUUAUUCGCUACUCGAAAUAAAGAAGUGGGUUUGAAGGCUUCAGCUCGCAAUGUCAUAAAUGAACUUCCUUUUUUGUUAGAAGUUGAGUGUUGGGAAAUAUUACAAGGGAGUGUUCAAAGAUAGAAAAUGUCCUCAAGAAUUGCUAGAUACUGGCAAGCUAAUUGUAAAAAACUAUCAGGGCCUACCACUUGCAGUGGUGGUAAUAGCUGGAGUUCUUGCAAACAUGGAGAAGUGAAAAAAACCUGUGGAAAAAAAUUGCAUGAAAUUUAAGUUCACAUAUAUCCGAAAUACGAGAGAAGUGCAUCCGAACAUUGCAAUUUAGCUACAAUCAUUUACCAAUGCAUUUGAAACCACGUUUUCUUUACUUUGGAGCAUUCAAAGAAGACAUGGAUAUCCCUGCACGGAAGUUGAUAUUUCUAUGGGUUGCAGAAGGAUUUAUAAAGAAGGAAGAACAGAAGAACAUAGAGGAUGUGGCACUAGAAUAACUAAUGAAACUGAUCGAUAGGAGCCUAGUACUUGUUGCUGAAAGAAGUUUUGAUGGAAGAGUCAAAACAUGCAAGAAUCAUGAUCUAUUGCAUGAAAUGUGCUUGAGAAUAGCUGAAGAAAAUAACUUUUUGAAGUUGAUCAAAGUGUAUUUCAAUGUUUUUCUUCUAUUUCCUUUCUUUUCUGUCCAUUUUUUUUAUUUUAGCUUACUAAGAAUGGUUAUUAUAUUUGAUGAUCGUAACAUGAUGUGAUUCUGUUUUUUUUUUUUACCAGUAAUGAUGAUGAUGAACAACGGUUCUUCAGUCAAGUAUCGACGUAUCAACAGUACCAUCAUCUGAGUAUCAACUAUGCAAAAUUUCUUAGUUCACUACCUGUUGGUCUACACGUACGCUCUCUUCUAUUGGAUUUGGAUUUUAUGAGUUCCAUCAAAUUAAUCUCAUGCAGCUACAAAGUUUUUAGGGUCUUUUGUGGAUGGUCACUGUAUGACUUUCUAAUAGGACUUGAAUAUCUGGUUCACUUGAGGUAUUUGGAAAUUUCAUGUACACUGCCACAAAUGGAAAACUUCCACAUAUUAGAAUUUCGUGUUGUGUACAAUGAUGAUGAAAUUGAAUUACCAGAGAUCCUUCUUAAUAUGGUGAGUUUGAGACACAUGGAGUUUAAGGGUGGUGCGUACUUCAUUGAAUCUAGUCGUCAACUUGCAACUAACAAUAAGAGCUUCCAAAUAAAUAACCUACAAAGUAUUUUUGUACUCUCAAUUUAUGAUGAAAUGGAUGAGAGUAUUUUGAGAAGUUCACCCAACCUUUGCAGAGUGGAAGGCAGAGUUGAGAAUUCAUUAAAUUGUUCCUUCAACUUCCUUAAUCAGCUCGAAUCACUGAAGCUAUCAACAGCACAUGGUACGCUUUAUUGGCGUUCCAGUUUGAUUAGUUGGCCCUUAAAUCUAAAAAAAUUAACUCUAGUUGGUGUAUAUCUGUCUCGAAAACAAAUGGAGAUAAUUGGAAGAUUGCGUUGCCUUGAGGUUCUCAAAUUAGUGUCUGCUGCCUUUGAGUGGGAACAAUGGGACACAAGUGAAAGUGAAUUCCCACAACUUAAAUACUUGAAACUUUGUGCCGUAAAAAUUGCAGAAUGGAAUGCCUCAAGUGAUAAUUUCCCAAGGCUUCAACGAAUAGUAUUGGAACAUUGCAAGAAUCUAAAGAUGAUCCCUUCCAAUUUAGGUGAUAUUCCAACGUUACAGAAGAUUGAGUUAUUUAUGUGUGGUCAAACUGCCAACGAAUCAGCAAAGAAAAUUGAGGAAGAGCAAAAGGAGAUGGGGAAUGAAAAUUUUGAAGUCACAAUCUGUAGCACAUUUGGUGAUAUUGAAGCCAUUCUUUCACACAUUUCCCCGCAGAUGAUGAAGGAAUUCAACAGCAGGGAAAUUCAGAAGGUAAUAAUGAAAGAUAAUUUCUCUUUUAAUUCUCUUUCACGUUCUCAUCUUGGUCCUGUUAUACUAAAAUGAUGUUGGAUAUUGGUUAAAUAAAUUGAGAAUUGAAAAUCGAUUAAAGUUCGUAUCGAAUUCGGCCAAAUACUCAAAAGCUCGACUCAAUCCGUUUAGGCAAAAUUGUUUGCCACUUCGCCGCUUCGGGGCGCACAAACGGGGAUCGACCUGCCCGGUCAGGUCGCGAGGGUCGAGGGGGCAGCGCCUCUCGUGGGGGUCGGGGGCAACGCCCCCGAAAGAGAAUUUUGAUUUCUCUGCAUGUAUUGAAGGGUAUAUUUGGCAUUUCGAAAACCAAUAUCGGAUGAAUGAGAAAUUACGAAAAAGACCUCAACCAUUAGUCAAUAGACACCUUUUCAAAAGGUGCAUUGUUUGGAAAGGGUGCAUGGUUUGGCCUCAACCAUUUCGUCCACACCCUUUCUUGGUCUAUAAAUAGGACCCUUUGGGUGUCCUAUUCCACACAAUUUGAUAUGCAAAAACGUCUCUCAUCCUCUCUUCUAUCCAAAAUCAAAAUCAUUUUAUUUAUUUUGAUUUUCUUUCAUUUCAUCUGUGGAGUACAUAAGUCUACAUUUGGUUCGUUGUACUUGUGUUUUGGAGUGCUACAAACACAAGUGUAGCCGUUGUAUCUUGGGAGUCGAUUGCCGAAAUCCGUAGGCACCGUUGCGGGGCAAAUUCGACUUAAGGACAAAGAGUCCAACUCUUGCCUCGGCUUUGUCACCAUCAUUAUACUUAUUUCGGCGUCACUAUUCACAAAAUUCUUCCAACAAAUGAAACAUCAAAUAAAAUUUUUGGCUUAUAUUGAAAUUAACCCCUGUUUAGUUCAAAUUAAAAUCAGAUUUUUAGUAGAUUUUCAUAAAGGUUGAUAAAAUGUGUGAUUGAAAAGUUAAUAAAAGUUACAAAUCUCAUAAAAUGUGUGUUGAAAAUGAGUUUGGGGGGAAAAAUGAGUUACAAAAAAUUGGGACCAAACAGGAGCUAAGGUUGGCUCUAUUUUAUGAGCCUCUUGAUGUUAUUUUAGGAAUUACUAAACCACAAGGUUCUAUGUUUUGGCAUUGCUUCUCUAUUAUUUCAGCUUUUCAUAUUUUUUACUAUAAAAUCAUGUUGACAUAAAAUCACAACGAUCACAUUUUCACUUCUAGCUCAUUUUAGUCCUCAAAAUAAUUUCAUUGUUUAGCUCAAGUCCUCCAUUAAUUGCAUGGGCAGUCCUUCAAUGCCCAAACUUGAUAUCUUUGUCCUAGAUUCUAGAUUCCAUCCAAUUUCCAUCCUUCUUGAUCAAAUAUCGUCCCUUUUUAUUCUUUCUUGUUCAAGACUAGUUUUUCUCUUAAAAUAAUCAAUAAAAACACAAAAUUAAAUAUCUGGCUCAUAAAAUUACCCCCAAACACCCUCUUUUGGUGGCUUGGAUAAGUCUAAAAUCACACUUACCAGCUGUCAUAGAUAUGCAACUUCAAGAGUGGAAUGAUAUUUCUUCGAGGUAAAUAGCAACUUACUCAAUUGUGUUAUAUGUUUAUGUCCGUAUAAUUCAUCUUCUACUUUGAAUGAGGACAAGUUAAUUCAAUUGUGUGAGUAAUAUUCUAAAGAUUUUAGGGAGAAUUACAGUUGGGGUCUCAAACUUUUCAAAUUAUUGUAGAUCACACCCAAACCUUGUGUUUUUAUUGUAGCUAAAGGACAUGUGGACAGAAUUCAUCAAUUUAAUCAUCAGUUUACCAAAAAUACUACCUAACACAAUUUUUUUAUUAUAUUUUUUAUGUAAUUAUUUAAAUUAUUUUAUAUGGGAUAACAUGGUUAGAUCGUUGACUUUUGGUCAACUAAUGGUCAAAUGAAUGGAUUCCAUCCACAUGUCGGCUUGGGUAUAGUUUGCAACAAUAUAAAAGGUUUGGGACCCCAGUUGCAAUUUCUCCAAGAUUUUAAACAAGUAGAGAUCUUGGCACUUGAUGAGUAAAUUUACACAUAUUAUUGAUAUACACACAAGAUUUUAAAGGGUUAGAGACGUUAGUGAUCUUGCAGAAAAGUUGACUGUGAUAAAAAAAAAUGUGUACCCAUUAGUUUACAUGUUUGUAACAUUGGCGCUAAUUUUUUCAGAUGUCCAUUCUCGAUGAUUGAGAUUUUCCAGAAUUGAUUGCGUAAUUGGAAGGGAGAUCAAUGGUUGAGUGACACAUUGGUGGCAUAUAUUGAGAGCGAUGUAUUUGACAAUAUUGAUAAUGAUGUAAUUAUAUGAUGUUUCCAAAGUAUUAAAAUUUGUAUAAUGCAGUUAUAGUAAUGUAUUGACUUAUUUUCAUAUAUAUAUAUAUAUAUAUUUUUUUUUUUUUAAAGAAAAUUGUACCUUAAUUUUUUAUCCUACAAUGAAAAUUGUGUGGCUCCACCAAUGAUAAUAGGCUUGAUAAAAACAAUUAUCUUUGGUGGAAAAUCAACUUCUGAAUGUCGUCAUGGCUAGUGGAUUAGAGGGUUUUAUUGAUGGCACAUAUACUUUUCCAUCAAAGAUUGUUGAAGAAAUGCUCAUCCUAAACCCCCACAGUAAGCAGCAUGGCAGAGGUUUAAUAGGCUUGUAAUGAGUUUGAUUUACAACUCACUAAGGAAUUAUGUCUCGAAUAGUGAGUGGAUUUGAUUACUGCUGAUGAUAUCUGGACUUCGGGUCGAAAUUUUUAUUAACUUUUCAGAAUUAUGACUUCAAGGUCUUAAUUUCCAAUCUCUUGUUGUUCUUAGUUCUUACAGAAUUUGCUUCACAGAUUCUUAGAGUGCUUGCUCAGACCCUCUGCCAGAGAACUUUCCCGAUCAAUAAUUUGGUCAGGAGUUCUUGUAUGUGCACCCACCACCACCAUGUAGUCGGCCAUUUCGACCGGCACCAAAGAAGCAUAUGAAUCAACUCAAACUCCUUUACCGAAGCAGAGCUCUGUAUCGAGAUUUUCGCUGUGGUUUCUCUGUUUUACUAGACUCCAAAAUCCAGCAUCCUUCCAUAUUUUCCUCGCAUCUGGGAACCAAAAUAAAGCAUGUGCCACAAUGAAAUCUCUAAGUGAUUAACAUAGGAGGAGCCAUUGUAAUUCUUCUUUAAAUAAAGUCAUAAGAUUGUUGGUUAAGGGAUUCCUUCAAAUAUAAUAGAAGAAGAGAGAUGGUAGAUUUUCAUGUAUAUCAAAUCGAAACAGCAAUCUCUCCACAUAUGGAUGUUAGUAGGCCUUUCAUGGGCGGACCCAAGAAGGGUCCCCUAGGGUUACUUGAUCCUCCAGUUUUUUCAACACUUUUUUUUUUUUUUUUUUGUCUUAGUUUUCGGGCUCACUAUGAAAUUUCAAAUGAAAUUGAAAUACUAUAUUUUUAAUAUCAUUUUGAAGUACUCACAGUCUAGUAUUUUCAUAUCGUUAAUGUUGUGUGAAAUAACCAAUCGUAGCAAAUGUUAUGACGCGUCAAAAUAGACAAUUUCAAAUUAAUAUUUCGAGAAUUUCGAUAACGAACUAACUUUAAAAAUUUUUCGACAACUAUACACUAGUCAUAUACAUAAAUCUUCUAUAUCCUCUUGAAGCUCAUUUCUAAAACUAUAUCAUAAACACAUUGAAUAAUCUAAAUAAAUAUCGAAAAUAGUUAAACGUACGUCAAACGUGUAUGCUAAAAAGAAACGUAUAACUUGUCUUUUUUGAAAAAAAAAUCAAUUAUUUUAUUAAUGCUUAUUAUUUUUGUGCGAAAAAUUUCUCAAUAUAAUUUACAUCAUUUAAUUAGGAAAUUUUAUAUGUGGUAUGAAGUCAAAUUUUUUUUUUUUUGACGUAAAAAUUCUUUAAAAAUUUUUUAUUACUUCAUAGGGGUUAAAAUUAUUAUACUACGUUUUCUUGGUUAUUUUUAUUUCUGAAAAAAAAUUUACAUGUAAAAAAAUUCAAUCAUUUUUAGGAAUUUUUUUAUAAUUGUUAUCUUUUCUUCUCGAUCAAUUUUUUUUUUCAAAUGACUCAAAAAUUAUAUUAGGAAAUUUAUUAGAUUAAUUUUUAAAAAAUUAAUGAUUGAGAGAAAAAAGUAACAAUAAUAAUAAAAAAUCCUAAAAAUGAUAAAAAAAAUUUAUAUAUAUAUAAAAAAAAAUUAGAUAUAAAAAUAAUCAAGAUGAAAAAGUAGUAUAACAAUUUAUAACCAAUAUAAAGUAAUAAAAAAAAUUCGUCUUUUUUUUUUUUUAAUUUGAUUGUGACCCCCUAAUAUAAAAUGUCUACGUCCACCUCUGACGCCUUUCCAAAGCGUUGCAAAUCUAUUCAUGAUUACAAUCAUAUAAUGGUGGCUGCUGGGUUUAUAUAGUACACACAAAAGACAAUGGAAAAGGGAGGCUGGAAGAGAAGAAAAUAAAUGGCGGCUGCUAUAGAAGAAAGUUGUGGUUGCCAGAGAAAGUUUUUCUUUCAACUCAACUUUGGGUGUGGAAUUCACGCAUGCUUUUAUUUUUAUUUUUAUUUUGCUUCGCUACAUAGUACAAAUUGUGAAUUGCUCUAAAGUAUAUUUUGGUAAUUCUAAAGAUGUAGUAUUCAAAGUAGGUAUCUCACAAAUUUCAUCAAAGUGAUUGUUUGUGAUGAGAUUAUUUCUUGUCCUUGGAGAUUGAUUAUUGUGGUAUUCUCCAAUUUGUUGACAAUUCAAAUUUUUGCUUAAAUUUGAAUAUUGUAAUAUAUAUUUAUCAAUUUGGAUUUGGCUUGAGUUAUCCCAUGAUUUUUUCCUGUACACUGGAGGGUUUUUCCAUGUAAAAAUUUGGUGUUGCGUUCUCUAGUUUUUUGCUUUGAUAAUUUACUUUCAUAUUUAAUCAUUGUAUUUAAUUGCUUGGAUUGUUGAAUUUAUUCUUGAAAUAUGCGAAAUUGCUUGGAUUGUUGAAUUUAUUCUUGCAAUAUGUGAAAUUGCCCAACACCUUGGUCCUUCUCAGGUCGCUGCAUCAAUCAUCACUAUACGGAAUUUUUUAGUAAUUGCUACUUGCUAAGUGAUAGGAUAAUUGGUAAUCUGUGAGUUUUUAAUUCCUUUGUUAGCUAAGCAUCAUUCCUAAAUUCAUGAACAUGCCUUGUAGCAUUUUUCUGUGUAUAUAUUCAACAAGACGGGAUGAAAAGAUUCAAGCUUCCCUUCUCAAUUUCUGUUCGACUUUUUAAUUUGCUAUAUGCAUAUUUCCAGAAGCCACUAAGUUAAUACGAAACAAAUAGAAAAAGGAAAUUUUUCUAUUACUAAACGUUGCAAGCUAUACAAUGGACAUAACAUUGCAAGUCAUGCAUUUGGAUGUUUUUAAAGACCAAAACAAACUGCUCCAUUGGAUGAGUAUCACAAGUUAAAAAUUCUACAAUGAAUUUUUGAUGUGGUGCAAAAGGAAUUGGACUUUAUGGAAAAGUGGGAUCGACGCAAGCAAAAAUAGAUAACUUCUCAAUUUUUGGAGAAAUGUUGGGGUUGUCCAUUUUUGGCUAAAUUUUAGUCAAAUUUGAUCGAAAACAUGUCAAUGAACAAAACUCAGCAGUUUUCCAUCUGAUGUAGGCCCAAUUUCGGCCCAAUUCUUUUGUUUAAGCUUUUUUCCUUUUUUGGUAAAUUUUGUUUUGGUUAUAUUUUUUUCAAUUUAAGUCAGAUUUGAAUUCCAUUUGUUGGAGGAUAAUCUUUAUGAUUAAAACUUUCAAUUUUAGUCAUUAUCUCGAUUUUUUCAAGUUUUGAAAAAAAAAUUAUUAUUAUUUUUUAUUUUUUCGAAUUUUCCUAGGGUUUUUCCUAUAUAAAAGCAUUGUAAGCCCUUUAUGGUCACGCUUUUGAGAGAAAUAGAUUUUUUUCAUGAGUUUUUUUCAUCUUGUUAGAUCUAUUCAUCUUUUCUAUAAUUUUCCGCUACGUCAAUUUUGGAAACAAAUCAACUUAUUCCAAAAUGACUAGGCCAAAACAUCGAAAUAAGUUAAAUCAUAGUCUACGUUAUUUCUUUCACGACGUAUAUCAUAUACUUCAAAUGAGCCAUUAUAUGUAUUUUAUGUUGGCGAAACUAUGAAACUGUGUAGAGUAAAUUUACAACAAUUACUAUUGUUAGGAAAAGUAUUUUAGUGCCACUGUUUCAGAAGUUACAUGACAUAUUGGCCUCUUAUUUGGUGAAACAAGAUUUUUGGAAUUGUAUGUGGAUCACAUUAUAGGGUUGCAACCAAUUGAUCUUGCUUUAUUUGACUCUUGCACUACAAUGGAAUUCAUUGAUUCUAUAUGUAGAAUUUCUAUUCAAAACUGGCUCAAUUCGGCUCGAUUCUGAAGAAAACCAGACCAAACAAGGUCGCUUCAUAGUUAACCUACAUUCAUUUUUUUCAAAACCUCAUUCAUUUUUUUCUGUAUUUUUUCUCUGCUCAUGCAAUUUGGAUCAAACAAAAUAUUUGAGAUAAUCUUUUCAAGAAAAAUAAUAAAACACAGCAUUCACAAAUAUGUAACUAAUGCCAAGAUUUCUAUCUGUGAAAGUUGUGACAGUAGGUAAUUCAAAAAUUAUUAUGAAGAUAGUGGAACUUAUUGAUGGAUACAGAUUUGUAUUAUUACCUCCGUCGUUUGUUGACUACAAGUUCACCAAGUUGCAACAUCAAAGGUAAUGCUAUCAACAAUGAGCAAUAAUGCUUACCAAAACAACAUCAAAUUUAUUUGUUAUCUUGCUCAAUCAUGCGCAUUAAUCUAGCAUAUGAAACAUACAAUAUAUUUCCCUAUGCAUAUAAACUGUCUCGAAAUUUUACUCUAAUUUACGAUUUAUAAUCAACUUUUGUGGAAUUGGCACUCUAUUAUUAAAAUUCAAUUGUGUGUAUCAUUUUUAUACACAUAUCUUGAGGUUUGUGAGAACCUAAAAUAUUUUGAGAAAAUGCUUCUUUGUGAUAAAAUGGUUAUGACAUGGGAGAAAAAAGAGGAGUGCGUCUGUGUAGGGGUGGCGGUGGUCAUGGUUGGCAACUAGGGGCGGAAUUAGAGGUGGGCUAGGCUGGGCUAUACAUUUAUUUUCUUAUAAAAAUAUAUUUUAUGACUAAAAAAAAUUAUGUGAAAUUUUUUUCUUUUACAGUUAGCCCAACAUAAAAGAUAUUUUAGUUCAGUCAUGGCUCCGUCUUUUAACAAUGACGACGUUGAUUAGGAAGGAUUUGUUAGGUGGAGUUUGGGGUGAAAUGUAGAAGAUAUUGAAUUUAUUUUUCUCUUUUUCUUUCUUUUUCAUUUUGGCUAUUUAGUUAUUUUUUAAGUGGUUUAAGUGUGUGGACUAUUUUUGUCCUUCCUUAAAAGUCAUGUGCAAGUCUGCAUACUUCACUUAACGGCUGCUUUGGAUGAAAGUCGUUUAGAGGGGAAUUAGUCCUAUUUGGUAUUGAUUAAAAUCAAAAUUUUAAUUUAAGACAAUGUCAACAAACAAUUUUAAUCGCUUAUCUCAUUGAUUUCACAGCUUUUCAAUCAUUUAUUUCAUCAAUUUUUAUUAAAAUAUUCUAAAAAUCUUAUUUUAAUUCUCAUCAAAUAGAUGCUUAAGUUUGCUAAUUUUUCAAAGAUCAAGGGCACAAACCGAACAAAACAUGGUUUGGGAGUAGGUUUGCUACUUUGCUUAAAAGUUGGGACUAAAAUUAGUUUCAUGUGGUGCGUGUUGGGAAAGUGAUUAGAUAAAUAUUUGAUAAUUAUAGUGGUGAUAUCUAUAUAAUAUAUGGACAAUAAAUGAACGAUGCAUAUGAAUAUUAUGACAUACAAAAAUAAAAACAUAAAUUUAAUCCACUUAAAUUAUAAGAGCACUGCUACAUUAACAGGGUCACAGACACCUUGUCAAUAGGAGGACAUGUAUCCCCUUGAAAAAACAAGGCCCAUGUGGCCUUGUUUGAGAAGAGUUAUACAAGUUAUAAUUCAAUCACUUGUGCAAAAUUUGUAAAAAGUGACAUUUUUCAAAAUGUGCUUAUCACAUCAGAUGGAAAUUCAUUUCCAACUUUGAUCAUUCAUUAUUUGGCGCACAAUACCAUGGAACUCCGAAGUCCAAAGUAGUCAACGAAGUUGGAAAUUAUCAUAAAUGAAUAUCAAUUCUUUCAACAGUGCAUUUCAAAUUUUCAGUAAAGCCUAAAGUAGUGAUUUGAAGGUUUUUGUAAUUUACUAAUAAAUUAGGAGUAAAAGAACAAUGGAUCUUGAUAAAAUGGUUAUGACAUGGGAGAGAAAAGAGGAGUGCGUCUGUGUAGGGGUGGUGGUGGUCAUCUGAUACUUUAGGUUUGUGACAACCUAAAGUAUUUUGACAAAUGAUGAAGCGUUUUCUUACCAUGGGCUCGUAAUGUGCAAUUCAAGUCAUUUUUCCUCUAUAUAAAAUUAAAAACAAAUACCAAAUUUGCAAAAACCAAAGUUUAAAUUCAUCACUUUUAAUAUAGUGUUACAUAGUCUAAAAUCAAACACACACCUAUAUUUAACAUAGAAGAUUUCGAAGAAUAAAAGUCACAUGAUCGAGUUAGGAACUUUUCAAUGGUAAGUUAGAAUAAAAGAAAAGAAAAAAUAGUAAAACAGUGUAGGAAUUUGUCAAGAAAAUGUCUUUCCAAAUGAAUCUUUUGGAGCUCUACAUUUUUUAGAUAUUUCAUUUUAAACUAAUUUCACUAAGAUUGAUCAAUUUAAUCCCAAAUAAUUUAAAAUAUUACAAUAUUCUAACAUAACUCUGCCAAACACAAAACAAUAUAGAUAUAUAAAGAUUUUUUGUCACGUACUCAUAUUGUAGCAUUCAAGUUAUUUCGCAACAUCCUUUAAAGAAAGGAGAAUUUUUUUUUUUUUUUUGAAGUGAUUGUGCUAAAUAAUAAGAAACAAUAAGUGGAUAUUAGAUAUUAAAUUGUAACGGACAUUAAAAUUGAUAAUAUUUUAAAGGAUGAAAGUUAAAUAAUGCAGGUAAAAGAUCACUAAGCAAUGGGGGUGAUAGAAAUAAGAAACAGAAAUUUCUAUUAAGCAACAGAAAUAAGCACCAUUGCAGUUUGAAAUCUAUCUUAAUUUGAACUAUAUCAAUAUGAUACUAAACUAACAAGGUAGUUGAUUAGUUUCUUAAGGGAAAUUGGCACAAAACGUCCCUACCUUUCAAGUGUAUUGUGGAAAACAUCCCUACCUUUCAUUUUUUGGCACAAAACGUCCCUACCUUCCACUUUCUUGGAGCUGAACGUCUUUUUCAUCAAUUUUUGACGAUUUUACCCUCCAUUCAAAUAAAACAAAAAGAAAAGAAAGGAAAAAAAACAAAAAACUAAUUGCAACCACAUUCCCAAAUUUUCUAAAAAUUGCAAAUGGUAACUUGAUAAUUACCGUAUUAAAUAAAUUGAAAAAAAAUAAAAAACUUCAGAAAAAAAUUUAAAAAAUGGGUUGUCUUCUUCACCCUACCCUACUAUUCAUCUUCUUCUUUGUAAGAAAAAAAAUUAAGAAAGAGAGACAGAGAGAGACUUUCCCCCAAAAUAAUUAUUUUGGUGCACAACAAAUCCUCCAAAUCCGAAGCCCCAUUACAUCUCUCUGCACUUCCCCUCUUUGUACAAGCUCCUUCAUUUUCAUAUCCAGUAUCAAACCCCAUUGUGCAGAGAGAUGUAAUGGGGCUUCGAAUUUGAAGGAUUUGCUGUGCAGAGAUAUUUUGUAUGGUGGGGUGGGGUGAAUAGUAGUGUAGGGUGAAGAAGACAACCCAUUUUUUUAAAUUUUUUUCUUAAUUUUUUGAUUUUUUUUUCAAUUUAUUUAAUAUGGUAAUUAUCAAGUUACCAUAUGCAAUUUUUAGAAAUUUUGGGAAUGUGGUUGUAAUUAGUUUUUUGUUUUUUUUCCUUUCUUUUCUUUUUGUUUUAUUUGAAUGGAGGGUAAAAUCGUCAAAAAAUGAUGAAAAGGACGUUCAGCGCCAAGAAAGUGGAAGGUAGAGACGUUUUGUGCCAAAAAAUGAAAGGUAGGGAUGUUUUUCACAAUACACUUAAAAGGUAGGAACGUUUUGUGCUAAUUACCCUUUUCUUAAUUAUUACAUAUCAUUAGCAUUAAGCUAGCGGUAAUUAAACAACAGUAUAGCAUUUUUUAUGCCCCGAAAUAUUAAGAUUCGGCACAUGUAAUUGCUUGAUUAAAAUAUAUAUGAAUGAAAAUAAUUCGAUAAAUAAGCUAAAAUUUAAUGGACAAGGUCUUGAAAUCGAAAAUCGAGCUAAUCUUUAUCCAAAAUCAAAAAUAAACUUAAAAGAAUGAAAGAAAGAAGACUUAUUCACGAAAAUUAAAAUAUUACCGGGGUUUGGAUUGAAAUCGACGAUCAGAAAUUAAUUUGACUAGUUAGUGAUUUUUUUUUUUUUUUCGAUUAUAAAUUUAUAUGGAAGAAAGAAACUAAAAUUUGUCUUUUUUGAAUUUAAAAAAUGGUUGGAACUAAUAUAUCAAUGUAAAAUACGUUAUCCACUAGCUUUUAUAAAUAAACGACGUCAAAAUAAGAACUCAUGAUCUUUACUUACUUCGAAAUCGUGUUGAACGAAAAACGUAAUAUAUAUUAAUGACCUGUCUCACAUGCCUUUUGUUUUUGAACCCUAUAGAAUGAUUUUUGAAGUUACCUUAAUUAUUAUUUGAAAAUUAAUCUUUAAAAGAGUUUCCUAAUUUGAAUGUACUUUUGGAGUAAGUCAUAUUAGACCAAAAUUCUCUAAAAAUUAUUAAAAACCAUACCUUCAUCAUCCGAUAGUCUAUGCACAGUUGCUGAAGUGCGGGCAGGGAAUCAAAGAACUCAAUGAAGUUAUAUUUUCUAUGAAUGAUAGAAUUGUAACACAGAGUAGUUAAGGAUUUCUUAAAAUAAACAUAUGCACGGAAACAUUUCAAUUUAACGAGUUUUAGCUUAGGAGCAUCAAUUGUUAAGUGGUGAAAUCCACUCGGACAUGCAACGCCAGUUGCUCCAGUUCUGGUGAGCUAGAUAUCAAACUUCCUAAUACAUCAGUAUCAAUGAUGACAUCAAGCAAUUCCAGUGUAAUCAGCCUAUUUAAACCUUUGAAGCUUGGCAGAGGACUGAUCGAACAAGUAGAAAGUUUCAAAUGUUUCAAUAGUGAACACAUAAACAGUUAAGAAGGCAAUUUGUACGCUUCAUACUUGUUCAUUUUCAAAGUGAAUUCUUCAAUACCUUUCUUCCAUAAGAUAUAUAUCAAAUGGUCAAUUUCAGAACCACCUGUGAGUUUUGGAAUAAUGAGGCUCGACUUAGUUAGGAUCCUUGGUGAAGUCAAAGAAUCUGGUAAAGGAUCCCUGCAAACUUCAUUCUAGCCAAUUCUUGGUUUCUCUCUGAUUCUUGCCAUAACGUAUCAUCAAAUAUCAGCUGUGGCAGUUUGACCCAUUUAUACCUCCAUUGCUUUGACAAGACACAUUAAUAUGAUCGCUAUGACAUUAUCAGGAAGAUCACUUAUCAUAUCAACAGGUUGGAAUUGGUCAAUCUUCAUUCUGCUAUGUAAUUGGCGAACAAAAUUCUGUAAUAACUCACAAUUAAUGAAAAUAUCAAAUUGCCUUAACUAACUUGCAUGCAUGCAGAAGAUAUUAACAAAUUCAACAUGAAGUUUACACAAUUUUGUUCGCUUUAUUUUAGUUUUUUACACCAAUAUUUUAAUAGUUAAAUUGGUCAUAUGACUAAGAAAUUAGAGAUAAUAUUCACAGUUGAUAUUUACAUUUGCUUAUGCUUGAAAUAUAAUUUCGAAAUUGCAAUAGCAAAAAAUUCAAGUGCUUAUUCACACCAAUCUUUAGUUUGUUGUUAUUCUUAGUGGUGGACAAGGGUGGCCAACUGCUUAAGUGCAUUCUUAGUAGUGGACAAGGGUGGCCAACUGCUCAUUCUAAUAAAGUAUGAACAAACAAUAAAAUAAGCACCUCAUAUAGAUUAUUUCAAGUUUUAUUGAAUUGUAUGCAUAUUAUAAUUAACUUUAAUUGGCCUGUCAAUGGCCUUGGACUUUCAAGGUAUAAUCCACUACAAUAUCUUAUUAAUCACAAUGAUUAUAAUUAACAAUAAGCAUUAAACAUAUCAUUAGGCAAUAUUAUAUUUUCAAAAAUUAGGAAAAGAGAAAUGUGAUGUUACAUGUUAAAAUUAAUUUUUUUUUUUUAAAGUUAAUUUUGAUAAAAAUUGAUGCAAUAUGUGCUUAGAAAGUUAUGAAUAUUAUAAAAUACGUGAACUAAAUGAAUUAUUGAUUUUCACUUUGAUAAAAAUCUAAAUUUUAAUUCUCAUCCAACAUACCUACUUACCCACAUAUGCUUCAUAUGAGCUGUGCAACACACUCUCCUUAAUAAUUAGUUAAUUACUAUUACAAACUGAAUCCAAGAAAACAUAGAUGAAAUCAUAAAUUCGCAGAUUACACCAUAAAUCCUAAAUCACAACAUCAAGGCUUAGAUCUUUCAAUCGAAGGCUCAGACCACACCCAUUUACCAUCACAGAGGCACCGGGACUCAAAAACGAACCCUCACAACCCAACACACCAAGGUCACUUCACUGGACUCAAGAAAUCAAACUGCCUACCUUCGAUCGAUCACUCACACAAAGGAAAAUCACACAAGAACAUGAUUAUCACAAAGAUAAUCAACCAGAAAUCUCACAAAGAGAAGAAGGAAGGGUCACACAGACAAAGGAACUCGAAGGUUCCAAACGGCAGAGAGAAAGAGAAAAACAGAAAGUGACGAUCCAAGAGCCAAACAGGGAGUAAGGAGGAUAUUUAUAGUAAAUAUCAUCAACCGUUGAUCAGCGGGUCAAUCCAACGGUCCAAGAGCGACUAAUGGUGUGUGGGCUGGAUAUUGGGCUCGGUUAAGUGGGCCUUCUAGGUAUAUAUUUAAUGGACCAAGUAAUAAAUCCAAUUUGGGCCUUUUCAUCAUUGCCUAACGUUGGACUGGAUCAAAUGGCAUCACAGCCCAACAAUUACUUUACAAGUCUUCUUUCUUCUUCCGUUUACAUUUCAUUCCCCUUUCUGGUUCAGAGCUACAACCUCCAUUUCCAUGACUUCUAAGCUAUAAGCUAAUCAAAAUUUUUUGUUUUUUGCUUCAGUGAUAGCGUCUAUUAUGCUUUAAACAAAAAUUUAGAGGGUAGACAACGUUCGCUUUCACUAUCUUUCUUUUUCCCUGCCAUUCGAACAUCCUCUCCUUUCCUUGCAAUGGAUAUCUCGUCCACUGAUCCGUUUACUACUCCUAUAGAUCUCCUUGAAAUUGUGAUCGACCAAAUAUCACGUGUCUCCUCCUCACAUGGACAUGUAAUUAAUAAGUUAAUUGUUUUUCAAGGAUUACUAUACUGUACAGACUUCGAAGAUAUUGAAGAAAUCAGAAACUAUUUCGAACUGUUAGCGUCAUUUGGGCAAGAGCUUAUGGUGUUCUUUACAGUCCCUAACCAACAAAUCUUUUCCAAUUUAACUCCCACGCUCAAUUCUAAUGAAGUUGUCGUGGCCUUCAUCAACUUUCUCCUCUUAAUGGUAGAAGUCAUCAUACAUUUUAAGGAAGAUUCGAUUGCUCGUGUAAAGGGUUCGUUCCAAAAUCUCCGGACAGAGCUUGGAUUUCUUAUCAGUUUUCUUGGGGAUACAGCAAUGCAUUUGCAGCCCACCAAGACUAUGUUGAUUGAUAUUGAAGACGUGGUCAAUGAGGUAGGAAGUUUCUUGUAUUUCUUACUUUUGUCCAUUGUUGUAUUCAUUCUGAUCAGUAAAGAAGAAGAAGAAGCCUGUACUAGAAAAAUGGAUUUGGAAUUUGUGGUUAAUGAGGUACAAAGUCUAUUUCAUUCCAACUUUUUCCACUUACCAUUGCUCUCCACUAUGGUGAAGGGAAGAAAGGGAAAAAAGGGAAGAAAGAUAAGAAAAAAACAGAAAAAGGCAAUGAUGGAUAUCAAAGCUCUGCUCCAUGAGAUAGGAAGUUUAUUAGGUUUCUUCUUCAUUUUCACCAAGAAUGAUCAAGUUAUGGAGACAGGAAUGUUGGGUCUUGCUCUUUCUCAUUUGUUAGCAAAGUUUGAGACCUUGAAAACAAAGAUCAAGGAGCACUGCAUCACAGUCUCAAAGAUGCCAAGUGAUAUGGCUCCAAAGGCUGGAGUGGUUUCACUCUUUAUUAUUGAUUCCGUCCUCGAUGAUCUCAUGGAUCUAACAAAUAACAAGUCUAACUCGACUGUUGUUGUGAAUGAUCAAAUUGUAAUGCUCCAUGAGGAGCUAAUGUUAUUGGGAUCAUCCAUCACGGAUAUAGUAUUGCAGCACGAAGCAAAACAUGAAGAACUUGUGACACGGAGCAGAGACAUAGCAUAUGAAGUUGAAUAUGUUAUCAACUCAUUUCCUCAUGUUUGGUAUCUUAGUCUUCGGCUUCCUCAACUCAUUGACAAGAUUCGGCUUAUUGUGAUGGCUGUCAAAGAAAUGAAGAACAAUAUUGAUGUAGCUAGAAUGUCAAAUGUUUCAAAACAUCCACAUGAACACAUAGAGUCACAGUCAAAAGAACCUCCCAUUUUGGAAGACAUUGUUGUGGGAUUUGACAAUGUAGCAAUUGAAAUUGCAGAACAACUUGUUGGAGGAACAUGCCAGCUGCAAGUUAUUUCCAUCUUUGGGAUGUCUGGGCUUGGUAAGACGACCUUGGCAAAUAAAUUAUAUAAACAUCCCUCCAUUUUAUACCAUUUUUACAAGCGUGCCUGGUGUGCUGUUUCUCAAAUAUAUAAUAAGAAAAAUUUGUUGAUUGAAAUUUUGAGCUCAAUGAGUAACAGUAAGAGGGAUACAUACAUGAAAAAGGAGGAAGAAAGCUUGGUUGAAGAUCUUUACAAAAACUUAAAAGGAAGGCGAUACCUCAUUGUGGUAGAUGAUAUAUGGGAUAUCAUUGUGUGGAGUGAUUUGAAAAGAUGUUUUCCAGAUGACGGAAUUGGAAGCAGAAUCUUAUUCACUACUCGAAAUAAAGAAGUGAGUUUGAAAGCUUCACCUCGUAGUGUCAUAAAUGAACUUCCUUUUCUGUCGGAAGUUGAGUGUUGGGAAAUAUUACAAGGGAAAGUGUUCCAAGAUAGAAAAUGUCCUCAGGAAUUGGUAGACAUUGGCAAGCUAAUUGCAAAAAACUGUCAUGGCCUACCACUUGCAGUGGUCGUAAUAUCUGGAGUUCUUGCAAACAUGGAGAAGAAAAAACACUUGUGGAAAAAAAUUGCAAAAAAUUUAAGUUCACAUAUAUCUGAAAUACCAGAGAAGUGCAUCCAAACAUUGCAACUUAGCUACAACCAUCUACCAAUGCAUUUGAAACCAUGUUUUCUUUACUUAGGAGCAUUCAGAGAAGACACAAAUAUCCCUGUACGAAAGUUGAUAUCUCUCUGGGUUGCCGAAGGAUUUAUAAAGAAGGAAGAACAUAAGAACAUAGAGGACGUGGCACGAGAAUAUCUAAUGAAACUAAUUGAUAGGAGCCUAGUACUCGUUGCUGAAAGAAGAUAUGAUGGAGGAGUCAAAACAUGCAAGAUUCAUGAUCUAUUGCGUGAAAUGUGCUUGAGCAUAGCUGAAGAAAAUAACUUUUUGAAGUUGAUCAAAGAGUAAGUUCAAUGUUUCUCUUCUAUUUCCUUUCCUUUCUGUCCAUUUUUUUUUUUUUUUUUUUUUUUUUAUUAAAAAAAAAAAAAAAAAACAAAAAAUUGUCCAUUUUUUUUUUUUUUUUUUUAGCUUACUAAGAAUGGUUAUUAUAUUUGAUGAUCGUAAACAAUGAUAUGGUUAUGUUGUUUUGUUACCAGUAAUGAUGAUGAUGAACAACGGUUGUUCAGUCAAGUAUCAACGUAUCAGCGGCACCAUCGUCUGAGUAUCAACUGUGCAAAAUAUCCUAGCUCGCUACCUGUUGGCCUACAUGUACGCUCUCUUCUAUUUGAUUUGGAUUUUAUGAGCUCCAUCAAAUUAAUCUCAUGCAGCUACAAAGUUCUUAGGGUCUUUUGUGGAUGGUCACUGUAUGAUUUUCUAAUAGGAUUUGAAUAUCUGGUUCACUUGAGGUACUUGGAAAUUUCAUGUACACUGCCACCAAUGGAAAACUUCCGCAAAUUAGAAUUUCUUGUUGUGUACAAUGAUGAUGAAAUUGAAAUACCUGAGAUCCUUCUUAAUAUGGUGAGUUUGAGACACAUGGAGUUUAACGGUGGUGCAUACUUCAGUGAAUCUAGCCGUCAGCUAGCAACUAACAGUAAGAGCUUCCAAAUAAAUAACCUACAAAGUAUUUCUGCACUCUCAAUUUAUGAUGAAAUGGAUGAGAAAAUUUUGAGAAGUUCACCCAACCUUCGCAGAGUACAAGUUAGCAUUGAGAAUUUAUUAAAUUGUUCCUUCAACUUCCUUUAUCAGCUCGAAUCACUGAAGCUAUCAACAGAAUACAAUACGCUUUAUUGGCGUUCCAGUCUGAUCAGUUUGCCCUUAAAUCUAAAAAAAUUAACUCUAGUUUGUGUAUAUCUGUCUCGAAAACAAAUGGAGAUAAUUGCAAGAUUGCCAUGCCUUGAGGUUCUCAAAUUAGUAUCUGCUGCCUUUGAGGGAGAACAAUGGGACACAAGUGAAAGUGAAUUCCCUCAACUUAAAUACUUGAAACUUUGUGGUGUAAAAAUUGCAGAAUGGAAUGCCUCAAGUGAUAAUUUCCCAAGGCUUCAACGAAUAGUAUUGGAAUAUUGCGAGAAUCUAAAGAUGAUCCCUUCUAAUUUAGGUGAUAUUCCAACAUUACAGAAGAUUGAGUUAUUUAUGUGUGGUCAAACUGCAAAUGAAUCAGCUAAGAAAAUUGAGGAAGAACAAAAGGAGAUGGGGAAUGAAAAGUUUGAAGUCACAAUCUCUAACACAUUCGAUGAUAUUGAAGCCAUUCUCUCACCCAUUUCCCCGCAGGAGAUGAAGGAAUUCUACGGGAGCGAAAUUCAGAAGGUACAAAUGAAGGAGAAUCUCUCCAUUAAUUCUCUUUCACGUUCUCAUCUUAGUGUUGUUAUACUAGAAUGAAACAUCAAAUAAAUUUUUGGCUAAUAUUGAAAUUAAUGGAUUAAAAUCAUAUUUUUAGUAGAUUUUCAUGAAGUUUGAUAAAAUGUGUGAUUAAAAAGUUAAUAAAAGUUACAAGUCUCAUAAAAUGUGUGAUUGAAAAUAAGUUUGGGAAAAAAAUGAGUUACAAAAAAUUGGGGCCAAACAGGAGCUAAGGUUGGCUCUACUCUAUGAGCCUCUUAAUGUCAUUCUAAGAAUUACUAGCCCAUAAGGUUCUAUGUUUUUGGCAUUGAUUCUCUAUUAUUUCAGCUUUUCAUAUUUUUCUACUAUAUAAUCGUGUUUACAUAAAAUCACAAUGAUCACAUUUUCACUUCUAGUUCAAUUAAGUCCUCGAAAGAAUUUGUUUAUUUAGCCUAAGUCGCCCAUUAAUUGCAUAGGCAGUCCUUCAAUGUCCAAACUUGAUACCUUAGUCCUUGAUUCCAAAUUCCAUCUAACUUCCAUCCAUCUUGGUCAAAUAUCGCCCCUUUUUAUUCUUUCUUGUUCAAUACUGAUUUUUUUCCUAAAAUAAUCAAUAAACACACAGAAUUAAGUUUUCUAGCUCAUAGUGAUCUUGCAAAAAAGCUGACUGUGUUGAAAUAAAGGUGUACCCAUUAGUUUACAAGCUUGUAACAUUGGCGUUAAUUCUUUCAGAAGUCCAUUCUCGGUGAUUGAGAUUUUCAAGAAUCGAUUGCAUAAUUGGAAAGGAGAUCAAUGGUUGAGCGACACUUUGAUGGCGUAUAUUGAGAACGAUGCAUUUGCCACUAUUGAUAAUGAUGUAAUUAUACUAUGUUUUCAAUGUAUUAAAAUUUGUAUGCGGCAGUUAUAGUAAUGUAUUGACUUAUUUUCGUUAAUAUAUUGUUUUUUUAGAAAAAAAUUGUAUCUUAAUUUUUGAUCCUACAAUGAAAAUUGUGUGGCUCCGCCAAUGUUAUUAGGCUUGAUUAAAACAAUUAUCUUUGGUGGAAAAAUCAACUUCUGAAUGUUAUAAUGGCUAGUGGAUUAGAGGGUUUUAUUGAUGGUACAUAUACUUUCCCCCCACAGUAAGCAGCACAUAUACUUUCCCCCCACAGUAAGCAGCAUGGCAGAGGUUUAAUAGGCUUGUAACGAGUUUGAUUUACAACUCACUAAGGAAUUAUGGCUUCAGUAGUGAGUGGAUUUGAUUACUGCUGAUGAUAUCUGGACUUCGGGUCGAAAUUUUUAUUAACUUUUCAGAAUUAUGACUUCAAGCUCUUAAUUUCCAAUCUCUUGUUGUUCUUAGUUCUUACAGAAUUUGAUUCACAAAUUCUUAAGAAUGCUUGCUCAGACCCUCUGCCAGAGAACUUUCCCGAUCAAUAAUUUGGUCAGGAGUUCUUGUUUGUCCACCCACCAUCACCAUGUAGUCGGCCAUUUUGCCCUGCACCAAAGAAGCAUACGAAUCAGUUCAAACUCCUUUACCCGAGCAGAGCUCUGUUUUGAGACUUUCGCUGAGGUUUCUCUGUUUUAUUAGAAUCCAAAAUCCAGCAUCCUUCCAUAUUUUCCUCGCAUCUGGGAACCAAAAUAAAGCACGUGCAACAGUGAAAUCUCUAAGUGAUUAACAUAGGAGAAGCCAUUGUAAUUCUUCUUCAAAUAAAGUCAAAAGAUUGUUGGUUAAGGGAUUCCUUCAAAUAUAAUAGAAGAAGAGAGAUGGCAGAUUUUCAUGUAUAUCAAAUUGAAACAGAAAUCUCUACAUAUGGAUGUUAGUACGCCUUUCCAAAGCGUUACAAAUCUAUUCAUGAUUACAAUCCUAUAAUGGUGGCUGCUGGGUUUAUAUAGUACACACAAAAGACGAGGGAAAAGAGAGGCUGGAAGAGAAGAAAAUAAACGGCGGCUGCUGUAGAAGAAAGUUGACUGUGGGUGUGGAUUUGACGCAUGUUUUUUUUUUUUUUUUUUUUUUUUUUUUUUUUAAUUUAGUACAAAUUGUGAAUUGCUCUAAACUAUAUUUUGGGUACUCCAAAGGUGUAGUAUUUCACAAGUUCCAUCAAAGUGAUGGUUAGUGAUGAGAUUAUUUCUUGUCCUUGGAGAUUGAUUAUUGUGGUAUUUUCCAAUUUGUUGACAAUUCAAAUUUUGGGACAUAAACUUAAAUAUUAUAAUCUAUAUUUAUUGUAGUGGAUUUGGCCAGAGUUGCCCCUUGGUUUUUUCAUGUACACUGGAGGGUUUUUUCCACGUAAAAUUUUGGUGUUGCUUUCUCUAGUUUUUUGCUUUGAGUAUUUACUUUCAUAUUUAAUCACUGUAGUUAAUUGCUUGAAUUGUUUAAUUUAUUCUUGCAAUAAAUGAAAUUGUCCAACACCUUGGUCCUUCUCACUUUUCAGAUUGCUGCAUUUUUCAGUAAUUGCUACUUGCUAAACGAUAGGAUAAUCAAUAAUCUGUGAGUUUGUAAUUCCUUUGUUAGCUAAACAUCAUUCCUAAAUUCAUGGACGUGCCGCCGUAUAGCAUUUUCUUUGUAUAUAUUCAAUAAUACUAAAUAAAAAGAUUCAAGCUUCCCUUCUUAAUUUCUGUUCGAAUUUUUAAUUUGCUAUAUAUAUGCAUAUAUUUCCAGAAGCAGCUAAGUUAAUACGAAACAAAUAGAAAAAGAAAAUUUUAUUAUUCAAAAAUCUUUCACCCUAUCUAUCCUCAAAGUUCAAAACAGGAGGGGGUGUUUCUCCUUUUUCAGUAUUAUUAUGCAAUUGACUCUUCGUGUAAAGAGUUGAUAGAACUGAUUGACUCAAAAAGAUAAUAUAUAUGGAGGUACCAACAAUAAAUGACAACGUCAUUAUAGUUGAUGACGUAAAAUAAGUAUAACUUUACUGAAAUAAAUGACGGGCAUCAUUUUUUACCGCUAUAUCAUCGACUUCCAAGUGACAGAAUUAGACUAAGAGCAUCUAAGCAUCUGAAUUCCUGAACCCACCAUUCUUUCAAAAGAUUUUUGAUAGGUCAAGUUUGAAUAAAGUUCAUUUCUAUUCAUCAAAUUAAACUACUAGCUCUAUCACAUUUAUCGACCUUUAGUUCAUUCUUAUAGACAUACUCCAUAAGUAUUAGUUAACAUAGUAGGCCAAAAUUGUAGAUUACGUACUUGUCCAUGUAAAUUGAUUUAUCAUAUGAUCUUUUAAUUGUCCACCUCAACUCCUCCAGUAAUUUGUCUUGAAUGUCCAAUAUUUUAAAAGCAUUAAAGCGUCCUUUGUGAUAUCCAAGUUCGAACAAGUAGCUAUAGACAUGUCUUCGAUGUGAUAUUGAAGUAUUAAGAAAUAAAAUUAAAUUGCUUACAAACUAAUUAGUUCACAUCUACCCUUCUACAAUAUAAAGAUAGCUUAGUUGAGCUUGUAUAGAGAGCACAAGUUUUUUGAAAAAGAUAUUUUUCACAACAUAUUCCAAGUAAUCCAGUUUUGAAGUCAACAAAACUGCAAUAUUGUGAUGUGAUCCAAGAAGCACAAGUAACAAAGUCAAGUCCAGAGUCGAGCCCAAGGAAAGAUCCGUUGAUAGUCGAGGGGCCAAUGAAUCUCAGUCUCAAAGAUGCCAAGUGACAUGGCUCCAAAGACUGGUGUGGUUUCAGUCUUUAUUAUUGAUUCCGUCCUCGAUGAUCUCAUGGAUCUAACAAAUAACAAGUCUAACUCGAUUGUUGUUGUGAAUGAUCAAAUUGCAACGCUCCACGAGGAGCUAAUGUUAUUGGGAUCAUCCAUCACGGCUAUAGUAUUGCAGCACGAAGCAGAACAUGAAGAACUUGUGAUACGGAGCAGAGACAUAGCAUAUGAAGUUGAAUAUGUUAUCAACUCAUUACCUCAUGUUUGGUAUCUUUCUCUCCGGCUCCCUCAACUCAUUGACAAGAUUCGGCUUAUUAUGAUAGCUGUCAAAAAAAUGAAGAACAAUGUUGAUGUAGUUAGAAUGUUAGUUGUCUCAAAACAUCCACAUGAGCUGGUAGAGUCAGAGUCAAAAGAACCUCCCAUUUUGGAAGAAAUUGUUGUGGGAUUUGACAAUGUAACAAUUAAAAUUACAGAACAACUUGUUGGAGGAACAGGCCAGCUGCAAAUUAUUUCCAUCUUUGGGAUGCCUAGACUUGGUAAGACGACCUUGGCAAAUAAAUUAUAUAAUCAUCCCUCCGUUUUACAGCAUUUUGACAAGCGUGCCUGGUGUGUUGUUUCUCAAAUGUAUAAUAAGGAAAAUGUUUUGAUUGAAAUUUUGAGCUUAAUGAGUAACAGUAAGAGGGACACAUACAUGAAUAUGGAGGAAAUAAGCUUGGCUAAAAAUCUUUACCAAAGCAUAAUAGGAAGCCGAUACCUCAUUGUGAUAGAUGAUAUAUGGGAUAUCAAUGUGUGGAUUGAUUUGAAAAGAUAUUUUCCAGAUGACGGAAAUGGAAGCAGAAUCUUAUUCACUACUCGAAAUAAAGAAGUGGGUUUGAAAGCUUUACCUCGUAAUGUCAUAAAGGAACUUCCUUUUCUGUCGGAAGUUGAAUGUUGGGAAAUAUUACAAGAAAAAGUGUUCCAAGAUAAAAAAAUGUCCUCAAGAAUUCCUAGACAUUGGCAAGCAAAUUGCAAAAAGCUGCCAGGGCCUACCACUUGCAGUGGUCGUGAUAGCUGGAGUUCUUGCAAACAUGGAGAAGAAAGAACUCUUGUGGGAAAAAGUUGCAAGAAACUUAAGUUCACAUAUAUCCGAAAUACCAGAGAAGCACAUCCAAAUAUUGCAGCUUAGCUACAACCAUUUACCAAUGCAUUUGAAACCAUGUUUUCUUUACUUUGGAGAAUUCGAGGAAGACAAGGAGAUCCCUGUAAGGAAGUUGAUAUCUCUCUGGGUUGCCGAAGGUUUUAUAAAGAAGGAAGAAAAGAAGAACAUAGAGGACGUGGCACGAGACUAUCUAAUGAAACUGAUUGAUAGGAGCCUAGUACUUGUUGCUGAAAGAAGAUAUGAUGGAGGAGUCAAAACAUGCAAGAUUCAUGAUCUAUUUCGUGAAAUGUGCUUGAAAAUAGCUGAAGAAAAUAACUCCUUGAAGUUAAUCUCAGAGUAAGUUCAAUGUUUCUCUUCUUUCUCCUUUCCUUUCCAUCCAUUUUUUAUUUUAGCUUACUUAGAAGGUUAUUAUAUUUGAUAAUCGUAACAAUGAUGUGAUUAUGUUGUUUUUGUUGCCAGUAGUGAUGAUGAUGAUGAAGAUAAACAACAGUUCUUCAGUCAAGUAUCAACGUAUCAGCAGCACCAUUGUUUGAGUAUCAACUACAUGGACUAUCCUAGUGGCCUACACGUACGCUCUCUUCUAUAUGAUUUUGUUUUUGAGAGCACAGUCACAUUAAUCUCAUGCAGCUACAAAGUUCUUAGGGUCUUUGAUUUUAAGAACAGGUCAACAAUCCUAGAUCUAGUGAUAGGAUUUGAAAAUAUGGUUCACUUAAGGUACUUGGCAAUUUCAUAUAAAUGGCAACCAUUGGAUUUGGAAAGGUUCCACAAACUAGAAUUUCUUGUUGUGGACAAUGUUGAUAAAGUUGAAAUACCUGAGAUCCUUCUUAAUAUGGUGAGUUUGAGACACAUGGAGUUCAAGGGCGGUGCAUACUUCGGUGAAUCUAGUCGUCAACUAGCAACUAAUAGUAAGAGCUUCCAAAUAAAUAUCCUACAAAGUAUUUCUGUACUCUCAAUUUACCAUGAAAUGGAUGAGAAAAUUUUGAGAUGUUUACCCAAUCUUCGUAGACUGAAAAUCAAUGUUGAAAAUUCACCAAAUCAUUCGUUCGAUUUCCUUAAUCAGCUUGAAUCGUUGAAUCUAUUUUUUUAUUCUACCAAUUUGAUCGGUUUGCCCUUAAAUUUGAAAAAAUUGAGACUGCAAUUUGGAGAUGUGUGAAAAGGCUAUAGUUCGACCCAAAUAAUACCUAGAGGGGGGGUGAAUAGGUGUUUAUGCGAAAUUUAACAAUUUAAUUAACUUAUGCAACAUGUCACAUAAGUACGCUUUGUCCAGAUUCAUUCACAUAAUUUAGCUACCUAAGUUGAAUUGCCGCGUUGAAAUCAAAACAACAGAAAACAGUAGAAACGCAACAAAAUGUUGAUGGAGAAAACUCAACUGGGUAAAAACUCUGGGCACAAGCCAAUAGAGAUCCACUAUAGAAGAUAUUGACUUACAGUACGCCAGACAUAAUUGAAUCUAACAAUACUUUGACCUCCUUACUGUAUCAACCAAAAUUCUCCUGGAUUUUGCAGAUCUGCGCCAAAAUCCCAGCCCUGAAUUUCUUCUAUCUCCCGUGAAUCACCAAGCACUCCAGUUCUUCAAGCAGUUUCCUUCCCGGAUCUUCAAACAGAUGAUCUUUUGGAAGUUGAUAUGGAGAUUUGAAUGGUGUUUUGGUUUUGUGAAGGUUGAUGUUUUUCUCUAAUAGAGCAAAAGAUGAAAAGAAAGAAUUUUUUGGCUCUAAAUCCUUUGGUUGUUGAGAGAAAUUUUUAUUUGUGUGUUUUCCCAAGGUUAUAAAUGAAAAACGGAAUUUUUGUUUAUAUAGUAGGUCGUUUUUGGUAGUAUGGAGCAUUUAAAAUUCGCGAGGAAGGAAAAUUACCAAAAGCUAGAUAGCACUGUCGCUCGAGCGAAGUGCUGGCGAAACUCGAGCGACGCACCUUCGCUCGAGCUACCCCUCAGCGAAACUCUAGCGACAACAGUUCUGUUAUUUAGGCUCGAGCGAGGUCAGGGUGAAACUCUAGCGAGAUCAACGCGUCGUUUGCAUCUUCAAAGCAUCCAACUUUACCCUAGACAUAUGCUAUAAACUUUGCAAAAUUGCAACACAAGUCCCUGAACUUUUUGGACCUUUACAAUGUAGUCCUUGACUUUACAAACUUGACAAAUUGGUCCUUUGGUCACAGAUUGCCAAUGACAACAUUUUUCUAACAAUGUGUCUCGAAAACAAAUGGAGAUUUGGAAGAUUGCCUUACCUUGAGGUUCUCAAACUAGAAUCAGUUGUCUUUGAGGGAAACAAUGGAACACAAGUGAAGGUAAAUUCCCACAACUUAAAUACUUGAAACUUGUAUGUGUAAACAUUGCAGAAUGGAAUGCCUCAGUGAUAAUUUCCCGAGGCUUCAACUAAUAGUAUUGAAUUUUUGCCGGAAUCUAAAGAUGAUCCCUUCCUGUUUAGGUGAUAUUCCAAUGUUACAGAAGAUUCAGGUAUAUAGGUGUGGACAAACUAUCAAUGAAUCAGCUAAGAAAAUUGAGGAAGAACAAAAAGAGAUGGGCAAUGAAGAGCUUGAAGUCAUUAUCUCUGAAUAGGAAAUUGACAUCGAGAAACUUCCAAAGGUAAUAAUGAGAGAGAUUCUCUUCUUUAACUCUCUUUCAUGUUCUCAUCUUGGUCCGAGGUAUUAAACAUCAAAAACAUCAAAAAUUAAUUCUACUGUAAUUUUGCCUUCUAUUGAAAUUAAGCUCAUGUUUGGUUUGGAUUAAAAUCAGAUUUUUAAUAGAUUUUCAUAAAGAUCAAUAAAAUGUGAUUGAAAAAUUAAUAAAAGUUGCGGGUCUCAUAGAAUAUGUGGUUGAAAAUGAGUUAAAGGGAAAAAUGAGUUUUAAAAAUUGGGGACCAAAUAGGCUAAGUUGGCUCAAUUUUAUGAGCUUCUUGAUGUUAUUCUAGGAAUUACUAAUCCAUAAGGUUCUAUGUUUGGACAUCGAUCUCUAUUAUUUCUGCCUUUCACAGAUUUUACCAUAAAAUCGUGUUUAAAUAAAACCCCCAAUGAUCACAAUUUCACUUCUAGUUUGAUUCAGUCCUCGAAAUAAUUUCAUUGUUUAGUCCAAGUCCUCAAUGAAUUGCAUGGGAGGUCCUUCCACUUCUAAACUUGUUAUCUUGGUCCUUGAUUCUAGAUUCCAUCCUUCUUGAUCAAAUAUUGGCCCUUUUUAUUGUUUCCUGUUCAAUACUGGUUUUUCUCCUAAAAUAAUCAUCAAAUACGCAAAAUUAAAUAUAUGCUCAUCAAUGUAUUUCCAAACAUCCUCUUUUGAUGGCUUGGAUAAGUAUAAAAUCAUACUUAUCAACUGUCAUCGAUAUGCAAUUUCAGGAGACGGGUGAUCUUUUUUUAUUUUUCCAAGGCAAAUAGUGAUUUACUCAUUUGUAUUGCAUGUUUGUGUUUGCACAAUUCGCUAAAGGACAAGUGAAUUCAAUUGUGUGAGUAAUAUGCCAAAUAUUUUAAACCAGUAGAGAUCUUUGCAUUGAUGAUCAUAUUUAGACAUAUAUUAUUGAUAUGCACACUCAAGAGAUUUUAUUAGGGUUUGAAGACCUUAAUGAUCUUGCAUAAAAGUUUGUUCUGACUUAAAAAGGUGAACCCAUUACUUUACAGACUUUUAACAUUGGUGUUAAUUAUUUCAGAUGCUAGGGUUGGUACGUUCUUGGCAAACAAGAUGAUCAAAAAUCGAUUGCAUAGUUGGAAGCAAGAUCAACGGUUGAAUGACAUUUUGGUGGCGUAUAUUAGAACGAUGUAUUUGAUGAUAUUGAUAAUGAUAUAAUUAUACAAUGUUUUCAAAAUAUGAAAAUGUGUAGGCUACAAUUAUAGUGAUAUAUUGACUUGUUUUUAGUAAUACGUUGUUUUAGAAAAAUUGUAUUUUAAUUUUUAAUCAAACAAUGAAAAAUGUGUGGCUUCACAAUCAUAUUAGGCUUGAUAAAACCAAUUAUCUUCGGUGGGAAAACCAAAUUCUGAAUGUCACCAUGGCUAGUGGAUUAGAAGGUUUUAUCGAUGGUACAUCUACUUUUCCAUCAAAGUUUGUUGUACAACUGCUCAUUGGGUCGAAAUUUUUAUUAACAUUGCAGUAUUAUGACUUCAAGCUUUUCAUUUCCCAUCUCUUCUUGUUUUUCCUGAAUUUGCUUAUCAGAUUCUUAAAUUGCUUGCUCAGACCCUCUACCAGAGAAGUUUCCCAAUCAAGAAUUUGCUCAUAAGAUUGUUGGUUAAGGGAUUCCUUUAAAUAAAAUAGAAGAAAGACAGUAAAUUUUCAGAGAAGUUUCCCAAUCAAGAAUUUGCUCAUAAGAUUGUUGGUUAAGGGAUUCCUUCAAAUAAAAUAGAAGAAAGACGAUAAAUUUCCAGAGAAGUUUCCCAAUCAAGAAUUUGCUCAUAAGAUUGUUGGUUAAGGGAUUCCUUUAAAUAAAAUAGAAGAAAGACAGUAAAUUUUCAGAGAAGUUUCCCAAUCAAGAAUUUGCUCAUAAGAUUGUUGGUUAAGGGAUUCCUUCAAAUAAAAUAGAAGAAAGAUGGUAAAUUUUCAUGUAUAUCAAAUUAAAACAGCAAUCUCUACAUAUAGAUGUUAGUACGCCUUUCCAAGGCGUUACAAUAUUUCUAGAACCAGCCUAGUUGAUACGAAACAAAUACAAAAAGAAAAUUUUAUUAUUCGAAAAUCUUCCACCCUGUCUAUCCCCAAAGUUCAGAACAGGAGGGGGUGUUUCUCCUUUUUCAGUAUUAUUAUGUAAUUGACUCUUCGUGUAAAGAGUUGAUUGAAUUGAUUGACUCAGACGGAUAAUAAUAUACAUGGGGGCGCCAACAAUAAAUGAUUAUGUAAUUAUACUUGCUAAUGCAAAAUAAGUAUAACUUCAUUGACAUAAACGAUAGGCAUCAUUUUUUACUGCUAUGCCAUCGAUUUCCAAGUGACAAACUAGACUAAGAGCAUUUAAACAUCUGAAUUCUUGAACACACCAUUCUUUCAAAAGAUUUUCAAUGUGUCAAAUUUGAAUAAGGGUCCUUACUAUUCAUCAAAUUAAACUACUGGCUCUAUCACAUUUAUCGACCUUUAGUUCAUUCUUUUGGACGUACUCCAUAAGGGUUAUCUAACAUAUUAGGCCAAUAUUGUAGAUUACAUACUUGUCCAUGUAAAUUGAUUUAUCAAAUGAUCUUGUAAUUGUCCACCCUCAACUCCUCCAGUAAUUUGUCUUGAAUGUCCUAUAUUUUAAAAGCGUUAAAGCGUCCCUUAUGGUAUCCAGGUUCGAACAAGUAGCCAUGGACGUGUCUUCGAUUUGACAUUGAAGUACUAAGAAAUGAAAUUAAAUUGCUUACAAACUAAUUAGCUCACGUCUACUCUUCUACAAUAUAAAGAUAGCUUACUUGAGCUUGGUAUUUUUCGCAACAUAUUCCAACUAAUCCAAUUUUGAAGUCAGUAAAACUGUAAAAUUGUCUAUCAACUCAAGUACAUACUUUCUUUGACUAAAUGUAUGCUUUAGGAAAUCCGUAAAAAUAAAUUGUCACGAGUCGCGUUAUCUAAUCAUACCAAACUUGCCACGAUGAAAUCAAAACUUAUCGCGACCAAACUAUUGUUAUACGCAACAUCAUGCACAUAAGAUCAUAAAUUUUAUGCACAAAUCUUUCAGAAGUCUACAGCUUCGAUUUUCAAACCAUAACUGGAGAAAGCAUGAUCCACGUCUGGAAAACAUAUUAAGCGCUUUCAAAAUUGCUUUGAGUAAACCUAUCAAAUGAAAUAACAUGCAAUCUAAUAAAUGUUUUCUUGAUAUGAUCUGGAAUCUGAGAUGUUAACCAUGACAACCGAGACAAAAAAAAAAAAAAUAAUAAUAAUAAUAACUAUUGUUUCAAAAAGCCCGUGUCGCAAGAUUGAAGUACUCCUGACCUCCUAGCUAGACAGAGGUUCAGGAUUCGUCUUCGUCUUCAUCUUUGUCCUCGUCUUCAACUUCAACUUCAUCUUCAAAAUCUACAUUAUCGACCUUUGCAACAGGAGAUGCUCACCAAAACUUGUUCAACUGUUUUAGAAUCUGAAGUCCUACGUCAGCGACAGCGUUGGCCAUUGACCAGAUCACUAUUCUUUUCAGCUUAGGCGAUUUUUCUAGUAAAAGCUUAGUGACUGCCAUCUCAGCAACUGUGCCUGAAAUAAAAUGCAGCUUCACUUUUUGAAGUCGAUUUGAAGUUACAUCUGAGCAGUCUUGCACUUACAGAAAAUCUGGAAUAGGACUAGCAUCAGCAUUUGCAGCACUCUCACAAAUCUAGACAUUAAAGCAAGAUAUCACUGAGCUUAAACUUUUGUUUUAAAAUGGAAAAUUGAAGAUGUAAAUUGUAAUGGUCAUAUCCAUCACUUACCUCGAAUCUCAGUUCCUCAAGGUUGAGGGCGCUGCUGAUCAAGCACAAAACACGAGAGUUCAUCCAAUAAAUUAAAAAAUAUAUAAAAUAACCUCUGAUCAAGCACAGAACACAAGAGAGUUCAUCCAAUAAACUAAAAAAUAUAUAAAAUAACCUCUGAUCAAGCACAGAACACGAGAGUUCAUCCAAUAAAUUAAAAAAUAUAUAAAAUAACCUCUGAUCAAGCACAGAACACAAGAGAGUUCAUCCAAUAAACUAAAAAAUAUAUAAAAUAACCUCAGAACUUUAAGGUGGAUUAAAGUAGCUGGAAGCCUUUCUUGGACUUGACCUGCAGCCAAAAUCUUGAGAGCAGUGGUAAAAGCACGAUCUAAUAUAGUUAACUUGACGAUUUCAAGGGAUUGUAUUUAUAAUCAAAAAUACCUUAAUGACAGUAUAGUUCAAGAAUAUUUUCUGAAGGCCAAUAAACUUCAUACAAAAGAGAAUAAAAAAACUGAAUGAAGUUACAUUUCCCAUCUUGCAAAAUAUUGUCAACCACCCAAUCAUUAUGUGAAGCAACAAAAAUUAUUGCAAGAAGAGUGAAUUUCUUAAAACAAAACAAUGAUGUAGGAAACAUGUCAAUUCAAAGUGUUUUAGCAUAGGAGCAUCAAUUUCUAAGUAGUCAAAUUUGUUUGAAACAUUCAGCAACAGUUUCUCCAGUAAUGGGCAGCUAGAUAUCAAACUUCCUAAUGCAUACAUCAUAAUCAAUUGUCACGUCAAGCAAUUCCAGCCAAAUCAUCCUAUUAAAUCCUUCAAAGCUUGGUGGAGGAGGAUUGAUCAAACAAGACAACAGCUUCAAAUGUUUCAAAUGUAAACACAUAAAUAGUGAAGAAGGCAAUGUGUACUGUUCUCCGCUCUUGAUUUUAAAGGUGAAUUCUUCAACACUGUACUUCCAUAAGAUAUGUAUCAAGUCGUCAAUGUCUGAGCAAUUUUAAGUUUCGGAAUAACGAAGCUCAAUUUAGUUAUGGGUCCUUUACGAAGCAAAAGAACCUUGUAAAGGAUCAACAAGAAUUUCAUUCUAGCUGAUUCUAGGUUUCCCUCAUAUUCUUGCCAUAGGGUCUCAUCAAAUCUCAGUUGGGGUAGUUUGACCCAUUUAUACCUCCAUUGUUUUGACAAAAUACUUGUCUUUGCAGCAUCAUGUAAAGUCAAAUGCAUUAGAAUGCUAUCUGCUACAUUGUCAGCAAGGUUGCUUACCCUAUCAACAGGUUGGAACUGGGUAAUAUCCAUUCUGCAGUGUUAUUGAAAAGACAACCCUUUAAUGACACCUCACAAGUAAUAAAUGUAUAAAAUUUACCUUAGAAGUAAUAUGCAUGCACACGGUAGAUAUUAAAGAUCCAACAUGAAGGUUUCCCCAUUGUCUUGCAUUAUUUUAAUAAUCCUACGCAAAAGUUUUAACAGUUAAAUUUUCCAUAUUUUAUAUCCCAAAAUUUGAAAAAUGGGGAUUACAGUUUCUUAAGCAUGGAUACACUUGCCCUCAUGCGUUAGAAAUUAAAAAAUUAUAAAAUAUCGGACACAACAUGUGGUGUGUUGAACACAUCUGCCUUAAGUCUAGGAAAUUUAAAACUGAUAUAUAAAAGAAUAUACGCCACGUGACAUAUUGGUAGUAGAAUGAGUGUCAUCCUUCAUAGCUGGUUAAAUUAUCAAAACAUUCAUAUGUUACCCACCAGGAAAAUAGAGACAGGUUUCACAAUUGAAAUUUACAUUUAUACAUGCCCUCGACAAAGUGGCUGUUAAGGGAUAUAAACCCACAUCAAAUAAAGAUGAAAAUAUAAAUCAACUUAUAAGAUUUUGUGCUACUCCUAUUUAUAAGGUUGAUCUUUUAAGAUGGAACUCUCAAUCUUAACAUAUCAGAGACAUUAAGCUCUAACAAACGAUUCGAUCCGAUUAAGAAUAUAAAAAAAUGAGCAUACGGACACCAAGAUUGGUUUGCUCAAAAGAGCCACCAUCUUGCUGUGGGUUUGUUAAGGAACAUAAUCUCAUAUCGAAUAAAGAUGUAAACUUGGACUAGUUUAUAAGUUUUGGGCUAUUCCUCUUAACAAAGUUGACAUUUUAAGAUGGACCCAAGUCUUAAAAUGGUAUGUUAAGGGAUAUAAUCCUACAUCGAAUAAAGAUGGGAACAUAGACCAACUUAUAAGGCUCUCGGCUACUCCUCUUAACAAGAUUGGCCUUUUAAGAUAAACUAUAAAUUUUAACAUGGUAUUAAAGCCCAUUAAGCUCCAACGAACGAUUCGAUCCGAUUAAAAUUCAAAAAUGAGUACAUGAAUUUCACUAUUGGUCUGCUCAAACGAGUCAUCAUCUUGUGGGAACAUGUUAAGGAAUAUAAUCACAUAUAAAAUAAAGAUGAAAAUAUAGACCAACUUAUAAGGUCUUAGAUCACUUCUAUUAACAAGGUUGAUCUUUUAAGAAGAAACCCAAAAUCUAAACAGUGGCAACAAAAUAUUCAUGUUGUCAAUCCCAAAUUUAUUGGGAUUAAAGUUUAGUUUGUAGUCAUAGAUGCAAAUCUAACAUAAAAAUGUGUACUGCUCUUCACAUAGUAUCCUUGAUGAUGCAGUGGUGCCUACCUGUUAUAAUUCGAUGGUUAAACUAGUUGUGAAUCCUGAUGACAGAAAGUGUGCUAGGAUAAUAGUUUGUAGAGUGUUCUAAAAAAAAAUCUCUCUUGUAUAUGAGCUAGGCACCACUUUUAUAGGUAGAGACUACUUAUGCAGAUGGUGUGUUUCUUCAUUUUAAUAAACCCGUUGCUCGAGUUUUCUCGAAAUUGAGUCUACCAUGAAAUAGGUGAUCAAAUGGAUUGACUCAGUCAGAGAAUUGAUUUAGAUAAGGAAAGAGUCUGGUCGAAUAUCUAUGUCCAGUCUGACCAUAGGUUAAGAAACAAAAAAGAAAAUCAAAAUACCGUCUAUAGCUACAAUGUGACUGCUUAGAAAAAUCUAUUGUUCGAAAAUUAGAAAAGCAAAGUAUCAAGGAAAGUUAAACUUAACAAACUGACUAAUUGCUAAACUAAUUCUAUUUACAGUAGCCUACAGAGUUGAGGGUCAUUUUUAGGAUUUUUCUUCCAUCCUCAUCAUCUCCAAAGAAGUCAAUCUUUAUAUAAUGUAUGUAUCAAUAGACUAUGCAUUUUACAUUCAACCCCACCCCAUUAAAAGAAAGAAGGCAUCUUCUGGUAGUAUACACUACUUCUGAAUCCUCUUUUAUCCUGUCAUAAUAUUAUUUUCUGCAAAUUCCCCAAUUUGUGUUGCAAAAAUAAAAUCUCAUUGAACAUGCAGAAAACAGUGCAACUAAAGAUUUGACUCAUAAAUAAAACACUACACAUUUCUACAAAUAUUUCAUAUAAAAAGUUAAAGGGAGGGACCGUACAAAAACUGUUUCAAUUUAAGAAAAUAGAAUCGCACCUGUAAUGGAGAGAGUGAUGGCACCGCGGCGGAGGGGGUUUUGGAUUGCAAUCUCAAAGGAAAUUAACGGGGAAAGGGGAG